UCCAGCCCUCUCUACACCAACACGGACAGUCUGACUGUGAUUACUCCAGUCAAAAAGAAGCGGGGUCGACCAAAGAAGCAGCCUUUGCUCACGGUGGAGACGAUUCACGAGGGCACUUCCACCAGCCCAGUCAGUCCCAUCAGCAGAGAGUUUCCUGGCACCAAGAAAAGAAAGAGACGACGCAAUUUAGCUAAGUUGGCCCAGCUAGUCCCGGGAGAGGACAAACCCAUGAGUGAGAUGAAGUUUCACAAAAAGGUUGGAAAGCUCGGUGUGUUGGAUAAGAAGACCAUCAAAACUAUCAACAAGAUGAAGACGCUCAAGAGGAAGAACAUCUUGAACCAGAUCUUGUCCUGUUCCAGCAGCAUGGCUCUGAAGGCCAAAGCUCCCCCAGAGACCAGCCCUGGGGCAGCAGCCAUCGAAAGCAAACUGGGCAAGCAGAUUAAUGUCAGCAAGAGGGGAACCAUCUACAUCGGCAAGAAGAGGGGCAGAAAGCCAAGGACGGAGCUGCCGCCCCCAUCCGAAGAACCCAAAACAGCCAUCAAACACCCCAGGCCUGUUUCUAGCCAGCCGGACGUUCCAGCCGUGCCUUCCAACUUUCAGUCCCUCGUGGCAUCUUCACCAGCAGCUAUGCACCCACUUUCAACCCAGUUAGGUGGGUCCAAUGGCAACCUGAGCCCCGCCAGCACUGAAACCAGUUUUUCAGAGUUGAAAACUAUGCCAAAUCUCCAACCCAUCAGUGCUCUUCCAACCAAAACCCAAAAGGGAAUCCACAGUGGAACCUGGAAGCUGUCCCCACCCAGGCUGAUGGCCAACUCCCCUUCACACCUCUGUGAGAUCGGCUCACUGAAGGAAAUAACGCUGUCCCCCGUGAGUGAGUCCCACAGCGAGGAGACGAUCCCAAGCGACAGUGGCAUCGGGACGGACAACAACAGCACAUCUGACCAAGCGGAGAAGAGUUCAGAAUCCCGACGGAGGUACUCUUUUGAUUUCUGCUCCCUGGAUAACCCGGAGGCCAUCCCGUCCGACACCAGCACAAAGAACCGGCAUGGCCACCGGCAGAAGCAUCUCAUCGUGGACACCUUCCUGGCCCACGAAAGCCUCAAGAAGCCAAAGCACAAGAGGAAACGGAAAAGCCUGCAAAACCGUGACGAUCUCCAGUUUCUGGCCGAGCUGGAAGAGCUCAUCACCAAAUUCCAAGUGUUCAGGAUCUCCCACCGGAGUUACACCUUUUACCACGAGAAUCCAUACCCCAGCAUUUUUCGGAUUAAUUUUGAUCACUAUUACCCGGUGCCAUAUAUCCAAUAUGACCCGUUGCUCUAUCUUCGUAGGACUUCAGACUUGAAGUCAAAGAAGAAGCGUGGUAGGCCUGCAAAAACCAAUGACACCAUGACAAAGGUGCCUUUUUUACAAGGGUUCAGCUACCCUAUUCCCAGUGGAAGUUACUAUGCACCCUAUGGAUUGCCUUACACAUCAAUGCCUAUGAUGAACCUUGGUUACUACGGUCAGUACCCAGCUCCGCUGUACCUAUCGCACACGCUGGGAGCAGCCUCCCCGUUCAUAAGGCCAACAGUGCCACCACCUCAGUUCCACACAAGCUCCCACGUAAAGAUGUCUGGGGCAGCUAAGCAUAAAGCAAAGCAUGGAGUACACCUGCAGGGACCCGUUGGCAUGGGCCUCGGUGACAUCCAGCCAUCCCUGAACCCUCCCAAGGUGGGCAGCGCCACUCUGUCCAGCGGUCGGCUCCACAAGAGGAAACACAAACACAAGCAUAAGCACAAGGAAGACCGGCUCCUGGGGACCCACGACAACCUGAGUGGUCUCUUCACAGGCAAAGCCACAGGCUUCUCCAGCCACCUCCUGAGUGAGCGGCUGAGCAGCGCAGACAAAGAGCUCCCGCUGGUGAGUGAGAAGAGCAAGCAUAAGGAGAAACAGAAGCAUCAGCACAGCGAAGCCGGCCACAAAGCCUCCAAGAACAGCUUUGAGGUGGACACCCUGUCUAACCUGUCGCUUUCUGAUGCCCAGCAUUGGACGCAGGCCAAGGACAAAAGCGACUUGAGCAUCGAGUCUGUGGACUCGUGCGCUAAAAGGUACUCUGGCAGCAGCGGGGAUGGCAGCAGCACAAGAUCAGAGAGCCUGGACGUGUUCAGUGACAUGACCCCUUCGAAUGACAAGUGGGACAGUGACAUGAGUGGGAGUAAAAGGAGGAGCUUUGAAGGCUUUGGGACGUACAGGGAAAAGGACAUCCAGGCCUUCAAGAUGAACCGCAAGGAGAGAAGUUCCUACGACUCCUCCAUGUCUCCAGGUAAGGCUAAAUUUCUCUUCAGCCUGGUACUCCCUAGAUGUUGAUUGCUGGGCUUGGGACUUUGGACACCAUCUUUGGCAAGUUGGGUUCACUAAUUUGCAAAGAGGUGGGAACUAAAUGACAAUGAAUGUCCUCACACAGUUGAGCUUGUGCAUUUCAAGCACUGUUUACUUGGUUUUCACUGUCUUUCCUCUGUCCUGGAGCCAUUGCCUGGGAAACUGUGGACCCUGAGGCCACCCUCACUAGCUGCCUGAGCUACAGGCAUACCUAUUGCAUUUAUGCUUUUCAUUAAAGGUGCUGUUUUUAGCUUCUUAGGUCCUGAUCUGAUGGCUAGUUUGGGAGGCUAAUUAUAUAAAGCCUCCAAAACUCAUUAGAUAUACCAACAAGAUUCCAAGAAUACCAAGGCUGGAUGGAAAUGAACAUCUUAGUUUUGUGGCAUUCUAUCUCUAGAAGUCACACAUCCAAAGUGUGACAUCUCCUGCAAAGUCAAUGGAAGUUGCCCCUAGUGUAUCCUGAAGUCUAACUGAUCAGGGAGUUUCAGCCUCAGGCCAUAUUGUCUUUUCUUGAUCCACGGGCAUUCACAAAACUGCCCUCAGCAGACCCCCCAGAAUGACACUUGGCUACAUUCAGACACUUGCCAUUUUCCUGCACUAAGGGAAAGGGGUCUGGCUGAAAGGUGCUUUCUGCCUUGACCACCCCCCAACACAACCUUACCACUGAAUUGGGAUUUUGUUCAUUGACCUCAAACUGGAGUGUCAUUGCUGCUAGAAAGACUCCACUCUUGUCAGUUGCAGGCAGGGUUUCUUUGCUAACCUCUCCACUGACACAGUUCCUUCCCUGCCAGAGAGCUUCAUACUUUGGCAAAAGUAUUUCAGCAUCCCUGUCCAUAUGUCACAUACAUGAUAAGACUCUUAUAGAAUAACAGAGAGAUAUUUACUAGGAAUACAGUGGAAAUUUCUUUCCUGUGGGUUGCAGAAGCUAAAAGAAUAUUUUAUGUUUCUUUUGCCCCAAGUAGUAUAAGACUGGUUUUAAAGAACUAAUCAUCCGUGAUUAAGGUUUAGAUGUAGUGUCUCACCUCUGUGUAUGAUGCAUACCCCUCACUCAUUCUUUCUCUUCCCUGGGGAGUCCAUAAUUACUAAAGGUGAGAGCAGUCUAUUUAUGAGGAAUGAAAGAUAUUUUCUAGGCCAGCAGAUUUCAGGAAGAAAUAUGAUUAUGAGUUAGAAACCACUUAAAUAUUGCCCCAAAUUGCUGCUAGCUUGUGAGUUGUUGUGAUGGUAGAUGUUAUCCUUGGUUAAUGAAGAGACCAAUUAGCAGUCAUGCCUUCUGCAUUGGCUGAAGGUGAUAAAUGGCCCACCCUUUGUGCAUGCCCAAAGGUGGAUCUGGUUCUGCCAUUUCUCAUUGACAGACAUUGCUGAAAGGGCUUGGUUUUGUUCAGAACCCAGAUUAAGCCCACCUGAGCAGGGGGCACUAGGUUAAGCUUGCACAUGAGAGAUACUGUUGAUCCCUUUCAGUAUGAUGAUUCACAGGAUGUAAGCUAAUCAGGGACAGAGAAUGUUCUUAUAUUUGUAUAUUCUGGGAAUUAUUUAGCUAGAAAAUAAUGGUGAUCGAUCAUUGCUAAGAAUCUACAGACAAGAAUUCCAACUUUAUAGACCCACGAAGCAAACCUCAGAGGACAAACCCAGCUGUUUUUGCACAUUAAGUUUCUCAGCAGUCUUUCUAGAGUUUUCCCAUGACCAGACAAUUUUGCUGGAUGCUGGUUGACUUCAAAAGUUCUCCAGCUGGGGUUCAUCUCAUCACAUCACUGAGAGUAUCUCCAAGGGAACCCGUACUCUAAUUGUACUGCUUCCCUUGUGUUGGCUUGUGACUUAUUCAGAAUUCUCCCUACCUCCUCUCCUGUUGUCUCAUUUGAUCUUCCGCCAGCCAUAAGACGGAAAGAAACAGGCACCAGGACAAUGUCAUGAAAGAAAUCUGGAUUCUAAAAAAUGGAUAGUAAGCCCAGUUCUAUUAUGAACUCCCUGUGUGGCCUCAGGCAUGGUUCCAUUUCCUCAGGGUACUCUCUUACCAUGUGUAUGCAACUCAAGGGAUACAAAUAGACCUCUCUGUAUAGUGCAUUUUAGUCCUUGAAGCCUUUUCACAUACCUAUCUUCCUCACAAUUUUCCUGUGCUCCUUACAAAUACAGGUUCAGUAUCUCAUAUCCACAAUGCUUAGGACCAGAAGUAUUUUCUAUGUGGGGUUUUGUUUUGGUUUGGUUUUUUGGAGAUGUUAGUCAGUACAUAAUGAGAUAUCCUGAGGGUGAGGCCCAAGUCUAAACAUGAAAAUCAUUUCUGUUUUCUAUCCCCUUAUACACAUAGCCUAAUGAUAAUUUCAUAUGGUAUUUGCAAUAAUUUUGCCCAGAAAACACAGUUUAUUUGUGGUAUGGAAUUUUCAUGUAUUUUGGAAAAUCACUUCAGAGUUUUGGAUUUUGGAGCAUUUCACAGUCUAGAUGUUCAGACUAUGGAUGCUCAACUUGUACUUUUAUUACAUUGUUGCAUAUCAAGACUUAGGUCCAAAUAGAUAAAGUCGCCUUCCCAGGUUCAUAAAGCUGUACGUAUUGAUUCUAAGCAAGUCCAGGGCUUUACCCUGUGCCUUGAAGUUCAACCACAUGUCACCCAGUUGGUUAAGAACAAGUCUAGAACACAGGUCCUGGUACCCAGCCUAGUGCUCCUCUGUGUCACCACUGCAGAAUCCCAUUCAUCUUCUGAUAAUGUGCCUUAACCAAAGGAGCUGGCAACAACAUCAUAGGAUACUUGCAAAAUGGAGGAAGUAAGGGAACGAGGCAUGCUUUUAUUCAUUCCUCAGCCAAGGAAGGAAGAAUCCUUAUGUCCUAACCCUUUCUAAAUACCAGCCUAGAAACAUCUCCAGACUGGGCUUUCAACCUCUCUGCUGAAAUCUAGUUCUCUGAGUUAUCUUUACCAUGUCUUUGAGCCAAUCUUUGUGUUAGAUGGUUCACUUUUCUGCAACAUCUUAAUGAAUCACAAUUGUUGGUUGCUUCCAUGUCUGUAUAACUUAUGUCUGAUGGCCCUGCUCAUGUUGUCGACCAUCUUACUGGGUCAGACCAGAUUCCCCACCAUUCCUCUCCCUUCUAAGCCUUGUCUUCUUCAUUCCUAUACCCCAAAUGUCCCCUCUAUUUCUGACAUCCCAAAGCAUCAGGGGAAAAUGUCUUUAGCAGCACUUGGACCCCAAUGUCAGUUUGUCACAACUUUCUGGAGCACAUUCACCUUCAAAAUUUGUUUGUGAUAUGCUCCCGAGAGGAAAGCAGUAUGAAAAGAGGGAAGCUGAGGAGAAGAGGCCAAGGCUACUGGAGGCAUGAUGGGCUCUUCAGAGACGAUAUGAGUAGAGGUGGUGGAUCAGCUCAAUGAUACUAAGGGUCAUGAUUGGAAAUAAGCAGUGGCCACUUUUUCCUUCUCCCUUCUGAAUUCAUUUCCCCAGCAUCUGAAUGUCCUAUUGCAUGUGAGCUCUUCUCCUCUAAAAUAGAAACGGCACAAAUAUCGAUGUCAUCCCUUAGCCUCUUGAUGGGCAUGUUUAGGAGCUGAGUAGAGAGGGAGCUCUGAGUGCUCCCCGAGAUCAGAGCUGAUGAAAGGCACCAUACAGAUGUGUGUCAUUACCAUUCUAGGGAGAGGAAUUAGAGACCCCAUUUAGCAGUGGCAGCAGUUGCACACUCCAUUUCCUCUUCCCUGCUUGGAAAAUCCUUCAUUCUCUGUCCCCUGACCCAGCAGAUGACUGCAUUGUCUUUGUUACAACACACCUAGAGCUUACAAGUUGUACAGACUCCUGACCAUUUUCUCCAUAUUUUGUUCCUUCUGCUUCUUUGUUUUAGAAGACAGGGGCUCUUUAACCCAUUUUAUAAAUGCAUACCAUCUGCUAAAUCUCCAUUUAUUAAAAAAAAAUAAUUGUUUGGGGCCAAAACAAUGGAUAAAAAGUGAGAUGGCACCAUCUCAUCAUUGGAAGAAGCCUCAUCAGCCUCAUUCAAGCCUCUCUGUCACCAGGCAUUGCUGUCUCUCACAAUGCAGCAGAUCCCCAGAAAAGCAAACCUGUCCAGAGUUGACAGCACAUGGUCAGAAUGAUGUCAUGUUCCCUCUAAGCUAAGUUCCCACAGGUAAUAAAGAAGUCUCCAGUAUGAGUGAUGCUCUUCUGUUCAGGCUACUUGGAAACAGUCUUUGCAUAUUUUGACCUUAUUAUGCCAGGUACUGAGACAGCACAACUACUGCUGUUCAGGCUCCUAUCAGAUAAUGGGAAAACAGAGAGACAAUAAAUUUGCAUGUGUUACCUCUUAGCUCAAUGCCAUUGUUAGGCAAGGAAGCCAUCCCUACUUCCCAAAUGUCAAGUACUUGCCUCAUGAUGAAUGGAUGCUGAGAAUUAAUCCUGAGCUCACCUCGCAGAUAUCAGAAUCCUGCCAUGUAGGUAGCGGGGAUCCCCUGAGCCUGGCCUGCUCCACCUCUUCUUGGGGCUUCUGUCUUGCCCUUUGCCAGCUCCUCUUAUCAGCACUGUGGGGGAUUUUGGAGGCAGCAUCUGCUGUCACUCUGCAACAGAAAAAGGAUGUCCAAGCCAAAGUAAUACAAAAACCUCCUCCAAGCAGCCGUCCACAGAAGGGAAUUAGCCACACGGAAGAAAUGUCAUGAAACCUAUACAGAAGAAGCAUACCAGGGAAGUUUUCUAAAAAUGGAAUAAAAGGAAGAAGAGGACUCUUGGGAGGAGAAAGUUAAAACCAGAAGACAAAAAUAAUAAAUGCAAAGCUCAUGAAGUGUAGUCUGUGUAACCGUCAUCCAAGAUAAAGUCUGCAGGAGGAGAUGAAAGAUUAAUUAAGUAAUGGCUGCUGCAGCUCAGGUGGGAUUAUGGGUACCUGUGCAAAUCUUGUCUUCCACCCUAACAGGGUGAAAAACCUCUUUUAAAAAAAAAAAAUGACUCUCCUCAAUAUCCCAAUUGGGACUGUAACAGUAAAGUUUCUGACCAGACCUGAUAAUCUAGGAUUCUAAAAGUCUUCAAUUUAUUGCAAUGGAAUUUAAAUCUGAAAACACACACAAACACACUCAGAAUAGACAAUUAGGAAGAAAAUGCCCAAGUUAUUGGACACAUUGACCAAAAAUAAAUUGAUGUUCAAUGAAGGAUUAGAAUCCUGUGGACCACGUUUCAAUUCAUAGGACUCAUCCCAUUGGUCUUUGACUCCAGUCACUUUUAGGAAUUUUAUAUCACCUUUUGGGAAGAUGGGGGUCCUCAUGCCUACCUCCUGCCAACAAAUUAGCCAGCUCCUCGUGCAUGCUGAAACCACACUCACCAUCUCAGAAAUAAACAGGUUAGAGGCAUUGCGUGGCGGUAGACAGAGCGCACUUGCACUCAUAUUUAGACUCUGAAUUGAAAGAAUGUUAAUAAUGUAGAUAAACACCUCAUUUUGCUGAUGAGCAUACUGAGGCUUAAGAAGGUCAAGUGACUCAUUCAAAAUGACGUAUCUAAUUGGUCGAAAGGCUGAGACUGGGAAGCUUACCAUCAGGGAGAAUGGGGAAGAAAGAAGGAGAAUAAAAGAAAAGAACAGAAAGGUGAGUCAUGGGAGAGAUGUUAAGCUAUAUGUUUUCUUUUUACUGUGAGCAGUUGUAAAAGGUAAGCAUCUCUUUGACAAUAAUCCGGUUUCCAGGCUACCUCAGGGGAACCAUGUUAGGGACUGGAAACGAUCUUCAUGGCCUCCGAUGGAAGUCAUUUUUUUUCCUUUCCUGUCUUAACAAUUGCACAUACUUAUUUUAUUGAGCCUCCUAAGGUUUCCUUUUGGAAACCAAGAAUUAAUCAAAUUAAAUGUUGUAACCCAUAACUUUCUGGCAAGGAAGAUUAAAAAAACAACCUAGACUCACAGCAUCUUUUUUGCAACAUUGACAUCAGAAAUCAAGCAGUUGCACCUUUGAAGCAUGAAGCCUCUGGGUCAUUUAUCUUCCCACAGUUGGCAAAUGUCCUCCUGUCCUGUUAGAAAUUUUUAUUUAUGCCUUUGUGGGAUUAGGGAAUGAUGUAGAUUCAGGUGCGGGUACAGAGAGGUUAUAAUCCCCACAGACAUGACUUCCAUUUAACAUGGGGCCCUUCCUGGCUGGAGAAAUCAGUACAGUGUGCUUUCCAAAGGCUGGCCUGUCGCUGGGCAGAGAUAAGGACAGCACUGUUGGAAGGAAACUCCAGAAAACCAUCUCAUCACACCACAUGUGGACAAGUAACAAGACUGAAUACUUGCUAGGAUUGUGGUCUAGCCUUGAGCCCCUGUAGCACUUAAUUCAAAUUGACUCAAUUCAAGAGAAAAAUUUAAAAUUAUUUAUUCAGUGCCAAGAAUGUAUUAUACAUCUUGGUGCAGUCCUGGGAAAAAUAUUAGAAUUGACAACUAAUUCAAUGUUUUUGUUGUCAAAGAAGGCACACAAUCCACGAUCCUCCAUAGGGGAAGAAAUCAGCUACUACUCAUGAUAUUAGAAAUAGAUUAGAAGGGUUGUGAGUAUAUCACAGAGAAAAACUAGGCUGACCCAGUGAUGGUGACCCAAAGCCAUGCUUUCAGUAAAGGGGGAGGGAUGGAACCAGGAGGUACUUCUUUAUAGUAGUUGCCAUCUGAGAUGGGUCUAAAGGAUAGAAGAGGCACCUAUGGAAGGAAACUACAGAAAACCAUGUCUUCACACCAUUCAUGAACAUGUAAUAAGACUGGGUAAUUGUAGUCUAGCCUUCAUCCACUGGAACACUUUAUGCAAAUGGACUGAACAGAGUGGAUGGUGGUGGAGACAAUGGGAGGAGGGUGGGAUGUACCACAUAGAAAUGGAGCCAUGUAAACACAGGUAUUUAGGGGGAGAUAUCCAAGGACUAUUUGAUUAAUGGUAUUUCAUCCUGUCUUAUUGAGGUUUAGAUCUGCAGCUAGAGAAUCAGGGCAAAUAAGAAUAUUGUGGUCAUAGUUUGAACGGUCUAUUUCCUACAUUCAGAGGAUUGUUUAAGUAGGCAAUCUUUUUAAGAUGAUAAAGUCAUGAAAUGACAACAUUAUAUUUUGACUUUCUUUCCUGACCACUCACUCCCUGAAAUCUGGAUUGAACAAGUACCUGUCCCUGCACUCUUUCUGCUCUGUUGUAAUUCUCCACUGUGGAUGGCCUCCACCAUGAUGCCCUUCCUGCCCUUCCUGCCCCACAACCCCACCCCCAGAUUAUAAGUCUCUCAGAAGCAUCAUUAUCGACCCAAUGCCCACACAAAAGCAUAAUAAUAAGGAAUUGUUAUUAAUUCAUCUCUUUCUCUCUGUAGCUAAGGAUGGUUCCUAUACGUUGGCCCUUGGCAACUGGGAGAGUCAUGGCACAUGAGUCAAAUUAUAGAAAUCAGAGAGAGAAUCUGGUUGGUACUGGAGGCAAUGAGCUGUUAAGCCAGCAAUAAAAAGUGCUGUACAGAGGUGGGGCUUUAUCCAAGGAGAGAACCAUAGGGGGUGAGGAAAGGGAUGGAAGAGAGGACUCUGCCAUUCACCUUAAAUGGAGAGGUAUAGUAGAGGGAAUCAGGAAAAACAAGAAAAGUGUUGCAGAGGGGUUGGGGUUAUAGCUCAGUGGUAGAGAGCUUGCCUCGCAAGCAUGGGGCCCUGGGUUUGAUCCUCAGCACCACAUAAAAAUAAAGAUACUGUGUCCAUCUAUAACUAAAAAAAAAUUUUAAAAAAAAGAAAAGUGUUUUAGAAAUACUAGAAGAGAAGGGAAGGGUCAAAGAAGAUUGAAGUAACAUGAUCAAGAGACCCCGAAGCUGCAGAGCUAAAGAAGGAUGAAAAUAUGAGUGAAAAUAUUGGCAGCCCUAAAGAUAACCAAAAUAUUAAAAAUUAUGUUUUGAGUGCCUUGGUGGCCUGAAUGCCCAGUCCAGGUGGCAAGAAGUUGAUGGAUAAGUGGGUGAUGAGAAGAUGAAGGCAGCAGUACAGAAAGUAAGAGAUCUGUUGUGCCUCUAGCAGUGCUCAGCUUCUAAGGAGACUGUUCCUGACUCAGCUCUUGACGAGAAGCAGAACUACUAUUCUCAGUAGGUCUUAAGUCUGAGGCCCCCUAGUUUUGGAAGCAUAAACCCAAUGCCAGAGUCUCUUUUACUAUUUCAUUGCACGUCCUUAUGACAAACAUGCAUCCAGAGGGUAAAGGUUAUAAUACUUGAGAAGAAGAAACAGAUUCCAGGCCACAUCCCCUUUUCCUGCCCAUGUGGUAGGAUUGUUUAUCAUGAUACUGACUUUUUGUAAACUUCUGAAAACUCCUCUCUCUGGUACCAUGGGUGUUGGCAAUACCACUGUGAGUGUAUGGAAGAAUCACGCAAGUUAUCACAAGUCUUUUUUUUUUUUUUUUUGAGAGAGAAAGAGAGAGAAUUUUUUUUAAUAUUUAUUUUUUUAGUUUUCGGCGGACACAACAUCUUUGUUUGUAUGAGGUGCCGAGGAUUGAACCCGGGCCGCACGCAUGCCAGGCGAGCGCUUGAGCCACAUCCCCAGCUCUUAUCACAAGUCUUAAUAAAAGUAUUUUCUCUGUGUAUGUGUGUGUGUGUGUGUGUGUGUACGAUACUGGAUUGUUGAUUUUCCAGAGCUCUUUACUUUUUUUGUGGAAUAAUAUAUAUUCAUAAAAAGAUUACACUUUAAAAAUGAUUUGGAGCUCUUUAGUUACUCAGUGCAUAGCAUACGACAGAGGAAAUUAGGAUGACCAUAAAGAGAAGAAAAAGCACAUACUUGAGGAGACACAUAGAGAGUAAAUGUAGAAUGCUUACUUGGUGGUCAACAAUAUAGCUAUAGGGAUCCAGAAUGAUAAAUAAUAAGAAUGUCCAGUGAAAGACAAAAUCCUGGGGUGGAAUCUUGGAGAGGAGUCCCUAAUGAAAGAAUGAGUGAAUAUGGCAGGAUGAGCCAAGAUGACCAAAAGGGAUGAAGAUGCAUUGGGGUAAAGGAAGGGACCUGGAGAAAUCAGUACACUCUGCUACUGAAGGUAGCAGUUGAAUGAGAAUGGAAUUUUUAAAGAGACAUAGCUGUCAUGAUUGAAUGAACACUGUGUCAUGGAGGAAGGUCAGAUGCAUUGAAAUUAAAGGGUGCUAAGUUUGAUGGGUACUGAGCUUGGUGCUAGGUGCUGGGUGAAAUACCUGGGUGAAGAAAGCAGGAGACAUCCUGUCCUCAAGGACGUUCUAAAGCUAUCAGGAGGCAAAGGUAGAUAUAGACACAUAUAUGAAGCAAUUGAGAAAAUAAUGGAAGGCCACAUAUUCAAUGACUAGAAAUAAAAACCCAUUCCAUAAGAAAAAAGCUCAUGGAAUAAUAAGAUGCACUUAGUAAAAGCAAGUUGAUGUUGGUCUUUGCAGUAUGACAGAAAGAUUCAAAACAAGUUGGGUAACAAGGAGGCAUGUGGGUAGGGUAGGUGGAUAGAAUAGAGAGGUAAAUCCCAAAGGAGCCUCUGCUGUGUUUCACCCAUUCUUCCAAGGUGGGCUGGAGGAGGAGAAGGUGGGCCAUAAAUCAGUAUGGAGAUAGGGUUCACCUUGUUGAUGCAGAAUCUGGGGAUAUAAGGAGAAAUCUGCCAUGGAGGCUCAAUCCCAGAUAGCCCUUACACCUGAGCAGGGUGUUAUGCAUUUCAAAUUGUGUUUCUCUACUUAAAAUCCUAUGAGGUCUGUAGAUAGGCAUUGCCUUCCUAUUUAACAGACAAGAAAAUCAAAAUCCAAAGUUGAUCAACCAGUUUGGGACAGAAAAAGCACUGGAUCCCAGUUUUCCUAAAUUUUCCCAGCAUCACUCUCUUUUUCCCUCUAUAUUUCUUAAGUCUUUGACAAGGUCGAUAGCAUGACUCAGCUUCUGAGUUAUCCCCCAAAAGAAUGCUUGCCAGUGAAUUAAAUCAUGGGCCCCAGAAUAAGGCACUAGCUAAUAGACAAUUUAGUCUUUGCUAAAAAUUGUUUUGACGUAAAGGCAGCUCUUUGGAGCCAAAAUUAUCCACUCACAGGAUGUGGGGCUGAUCCUGUGUGCAGAGCCAUCUUCUCACCUGAAGAAACAGAGCUUAUUGCAAGAGGGGAGUUUAUUUUCAAGGUGGCGGGGUUAUGUCAGUGCCUCUAAUACUGGCCCAUAUCCUGCCUCGAACUCUGUCCUUGACUCUUGAGCUUGGAUGUUGAUCUUUUCUCCCUCCUGGUUCAGACCUUCAGACUCCAACUGGAAUCUAAACUGUUGACUCUGCAGCUCUCAGGCCUUCAGACUACACCACUGACUCUCCUGGGUCUCCAGCUAACAGAAUGCAGAUCAUGGGACUUCUUAGCUUCUGUAAUCACAAGAGCCAGUACCUUAUAAUGAAUUUCUAUCAUCUAUCUAUCACCUAUCUGUGUAUCUUAUUAGUUCCAAUUUUCUGAAGACCCUAAGACAGAUUUUGGUGCAGGGAAUGGUUCUAGAGUAAGAAUCAAAAUGUUCAGUGCAAUCUCCUAACAUCAGAGAGUGACAGUAAGCAAGUAGGUACUCAUCCAGUUGAAUUGCACUACUUCUUCCUGUGCACUUUAUUGGCCCUUUGCGCCUCCUUCUCUUCUCCCCACUGUCUCUCUUUCCUCUGUUCAAAUACCUACCUGCACAACUUAGGAGUGGGAUAGACUGGGCUGGUGAUGAUGUCACCUUGGCCUAAGGGCAAGUUCUUAAUGGGGCUUUGAAACCAUCAUGGAAGAGUGUAUUGCACCAAAGUGAGCCAAUAUUGCUGUCACCAUGCAGUCCACACAGGCUGCAGACCUGUUCCUGUAAAAAUAAAAAUGAUGUAUUUGAGGUCUGCAUGAUCCCAUUUGGCUGUGAGUAUUUAUCAGGUUUCCUGGCCUCUUGCUUAAGGCUUCCGGUUCCCCUUCCCCGUUUAUCUGAGGGACUCAGGGCCCUACUUCAGAAGUGCCAAGAGAUCUUGGUUUCCAAGUAUUGGCUCCCUCAGGUUUGUUCCCCUGGCAGAGCAUGCCAGUUUCCCCUACACCGUGAAAAUCACUAAGACCCCCAAAACACUUUAUUCAUUUGGACUGACCUUCCUCCAGGUCAGGAUUGCAACUUCUUAGUCCUGAGCAAUGCUUUUCGACUUCAUUUUUCAUUUUGAUGAUCCUUUUGACAAUAAUAACUCAGGGCCAAACGCUAUUAUAUCCAUCUCCUCCUUACACCUCUAACUAAAUAAAUAUAUUAAUUAUUGAAAUGGAAAAAGGCAAAUGUAGUCGUUUUUCAGAGGACACCAAUGAAGGCGACCAUAGGUAAAUGAAUAAUUGAUGCCAGUUGUAGAAAUAUCAAUUCCUGUUGAAUUGAGUCCAAAAUUAUCUGGCUUAAAAGACCCUUUGUUAUCUACCCUAAGGGGUCUCACUUUGUUUUCUGAUCAUUUUCAGCUUACUCUGACUGUGAGCUCUGGUGAAUCUCUCCCUUGUCCUACAGAAAAUACCAUAAUUAACCCUUCAUCUGAGUCUCCGAUCACCACAUUGCCUUCCUUCUUGUAAUAUGCCCUCUCCUUUUCCAUCUGGCUUCCAAAUUUUACCUUAACCUUAAUUUGCUUAACCAUUUUGGCAUCUUCUUCUUGAAUAUCAUUAGUAUAUUUCCUGUUAUUUUAGUGCAAAUUUAUAUGUGGCCUUGCAUUGUUUAUCUUUAACUUAACCCAGCCAAAUCAAAUUUGAAUAGUGUGGAGCUCAGAACCAUGCCUGCCAAACAUCUCUGUAACUUGUUCAGUCCUAGAGAUGGUGCUGAGUACAGACUUUUUUUUUUGGUUUUUUUUGGUAUCAAAAAUAGAUGCCGGCAGUACUUGACCAUGGAGUCACAUCUCUGGCCCUUUUAUUAGGUCUUAUUUAAAGACAGGUUUUUGCUAAGUUGCUUAGGGCAUCACUAAAUUCCUUAGACUGGCUUUGAACUUGUGAUACUCCUGCUUUGGCUUCUGAGCUGCUGGGAUUACAAGAGUGCACCACCUUAACCAACUGAAUACAGAUUCUACUGACCAGCUGACCAACUGUGUCCAUUCUUGUAGACCAGGAUGGGUUGCUGGCAUACACUUUGAGAAGCAUUAGCUUAAGAAUAAAUUCCUCCUGCUAAGGCAGUCCAGUAGAGCAAGAGAAGCCCAGGAGUUCAAGUUUUCAGAUGUAGAUUACGAUGCUCUAUCCAGCACUUACUGGUAGCAUGACCUUGGGCAACUUAAACUUUUUGAUCCUUCUUUUCCUCAUCUGAAAAAUGAGGCUAUUAAUACCUGCCUCGCUGAGUUUUACUAGAGCCAAAUAAAGGUAGAACACUCACGGGAGCAUUAACACACUACUUACCAUGUAGUGGUUAAUAAUGUUCGUUUCCUCUCACUUCCACUGUGGAUAAUAUAUUCAAGCACAGAAAAUACAAAACAGCAGAUUGUUAUAGAAGGCUCCUUCUAUAAACAGCAGGAUUCCCUUCCCAAUCAUGCUCUUACUGGGGUGAAGUUAAAUCUGUUUCUGAACAUACACACAUGGAGGGGCAGAAAUUAGCUACACUAAGGAUGGUAUUUGGACACAGGUGUUGAGAUGCAGUUAUGGUGGAUAAGUAACAAAAGUACACAUCUCACCCAAAGUUCAUGUGCAGGACUUGCAGGUUUUCUUGAAAGGGGUGGCAAUUUCAGUCCCCUGGCAUUUGGUAUGUCCUAGAAAAGAGUAUUAAGUAUUCUCAGGCAGUACCUGUUCUAUAAACCAAUUUAUCUACUUACCUCUGCCAUACAAACAUGGCCAUAAGAGAAUUAAUGAAAUGUGUAUUCAUUUCCAUAACUGUCGCAACAAAGUACCACAGGUUGAGCUUAAAGCAGUACAAAUUGGUUGUUUCAGUUUCUAAGAGGGAGAAGUCCAGUGGGCUCUGCUGGGUACUUUGCUUGAGGUCUCUGGAGGCCGAAGUCAAGGUGUGGCCAGGACCUAAGGAAGGAUCUACUCCCAUUGCCAGGUUUUGACUGGGUAUAGUAGUGCAUAAGCGCAGACCACUAGAAUCAGAGCAGUGGCAUUGUACUUACUUUUGGUGGUUUAAGUAGUUAGAUCACCAUGCAAGUUCAGUACACAUCUGAAUAGCUUAACAAAACUUUCUUUCCUACAUAGGCAGCAAUGCCCUUUCCUGCAGCCCCUACCUGAAUAGUAGAGAUUUUUUUUGUUUAUUUGUUUUGGUUUGGUUUGAUUCUGGAGUUUGAAUUCAGGGACACUUAACCACUGAGCCACAUCCCCAACCCUUUUUAUUUUUUUUGUAUUUUAUUUAAAGAUGAGGUCUUGCUGAGUUGCUUAGGGUCUCACUAAUUUGCUGAGGCUGGCUUUGAACUUGCAAUCCUCCUGCCUCAGCCUCUGGAGCUGCUGGGAUUACAGGCUUGUACCACCAUGCCCAGCGGAAGGGUUGAGUUUUAAUGACUCGCUCUCUCAGAGUGUGCUGGUAAGGCAAAGUGACAAUCAAAGCUGCCUGUAAUCCAGGAAGAGCCUGCGUGCGAGGAGAAGGUGGCUCAGAACAUGUAUAAAAUCAAAAUACUUCUCACUCUGGAUUUCUUUUCACAGUUCUGAAUCUGUGUUCUAUUCCAUGUGAAAAGUAAAAUAACUCCUGUGCUUGGAUUUCUUGCUGACAUUUCUUUUUGGUGGGAGUCAGGGUGGGGGCUUGCCCAGAAGGCUUCCUAUACCUCAUGGAACAGCUCUAUGGCAUUUUCAUUAAAUACCAACCACCAGAAUUCUCAUAAUCACAAAAACAUGUGCCUUCUCUUCACAUCCACUCAAAUUCUUUCUCUUGUUAAAAAAUAGAAAGUUCAGAAAUUAAAUUAGAAAGCUAAACUUGAUAUCUUUAAUUCUUUUGGUUUCAAGGGGGAAAAAAAGAAAAAGCUACGGUUUUCCUAAUUUCCUUUCCGUUAAAUACGCCUGAAUGGGGAAAAUUGUACCAAACGUCUGAAGAGUUCAGACUCUGACAUGAGGGGAGGAUUUAUAUUUCCUUGCUAUUAAAAGAGAAGAAGAAAAAGCCCUCAGUUAUGUCUAAUCUUCAGGAACGCAGUGCCCUGUCCAACCACAAACUGUUGGCAGCCCUGUAACCCUACCCAGAAUGUUCUCUGAAGCUUUCUCCCCCUUCCAAACCUUUCCUGUGAAGUUAUAAAUCUCGGCAUUUAGAGACGUUUUUAUUCAAAUAAAGUAUGGGCUUUGGGUUGGCUCCUUUGGCAUUGCUUCUGCCGGUGGCAUGAGAAAGAGAGGGCCCCAUGAAAAGCAGGCACUCUUAGCUGGCAGGAGUCUAGGCUGGCUUUGUGUAUGAAACCCCCUUUGUCCCUCCUACAACAAGUGCCUGCUUGACGAAGCUGGUUGGUACCUCCACGGUGCUACCCAGAGGAGACUUGCCCUCCCAACACACUCCUGAUGUGGGGGGGAAAUAAAGAUCACCCUCUACCUCUGCUUACCCCAUCGCAUCUUCUGUCACCAGCUGGUGUCCUGAUUUCUCCAGGCAGCUGUCCCUUAAGGUGUUCUUACAGGAACCCAUCGCUGUGGCCUCAAGUGUCACCGCAUGUGAAGAAAUCCCAAAUCAUGUCCAACUAAGGUCAAACAGGCAAGUGGACACCAGAAAUCCACUCCUGUCUUGGAGUUGAGGAAUCCUAAUUCCUUAACCUGCUACAUCUGCUUAUUUUGCAUGCUUCGGAAGAGUGACUUAUAUCUUUCUUCAAAAUAUAUUCUUGUUCAUUCUCUCCUUUGAUCAUCACAGCCCUGUAAGCUGAGGACCCAUCUGAAUUCCUCCAGGGAGCAGCCCCAGCAGAUUUGCUUGGGGACUCAGUUCAAAAUGUGAUGGGCACCUUCUGUGUUGGGGCAGUGAGCCAUCACUAAGAGGAAAUGGGAAAAGAAACCGGCUGACCCAACAGAUCCAACUGGAAGGCUUUGGGCAAAUGAACUAAGCAAACUCCACCUCUGUUUUCUGAGGUCUUAAAUGGGAUCAGCAGCAGUUACUGCCUUGUGGGGUGUGUUUGCUUAUGAACUUGCAGCGUAAUGCCUGACUCAUAGGAAGCAUACAAUAAAAUAUUAAUCAAUUGUAGUGGUUAUUAAACAAGUAUUGAGCACCUAUGAUAUACCAGCCUCUUAUACUUUUUAUGUAGUGAUUGCAGUUGCUCUUCAGUAGAAUAUACCAUUGAUGGUAUCAUUUUAAAUGUUUAUGAUUAUUUUUAAGCAAGUGUGUAUUAAAUGUCUACCUGCUUUGUAUCAGGGAAUACCUAAAGAUUCCUGUGAUGUAGUUGCUGCCCUCCAAAAAUUGCCCUUCAAAAGAGAGAGAUGCACAUGGAGGCAGAGAAGGGCAGUGGGACGCCUGUGGUACCCAGAUAGUGUGAGGGGCAAGUGGAGAGGGAGAGUAGUCAGUGCUCCCCAGAUGGCCUUGUAGGUCUGGUGGCUGGGCAGACAGAAAGUGAGGGUCCAAGACAAGGGCAACCAGGAGAAUAAAGACUGGAGCUGUAAAGAAACUGUGCUGAAAAGGAUGCACAGAGUCCUAGUGAGGCUGCCCAGUGGGUUAUGAUGAGAGGGGAUGGCCAGGUAUGUGCUGGGGAGGCAGGGGAAGGAGAGGGCUGUUACACCAGGCUGAGGCUCAGAGAGGCUCUCUGCUUCAGCGCUGGGAGAAACCCCCAGGUGAUGGAUGUGGCCUCUUAAGUUCAGUGAGAGGACAAGAUGUAUUAAAGCCUGGUGAAACAGAAGCCAAGCAAUCAAUGAGUCUAUUUAUUUAUUUAUUUAUUUAUUUAUUUAUUUAUUUAUUUAUUAUGAAUGAAGAGGAGAGUGAAAGUUCCUGAUCUCUUUAAAAUGAAAUAAGAACAUCCCAGACACCCUUGGUGCUAAGAGCAAGAGGAAGCAAGGGCAAACCAAUUUCAUCUGACAUGCAGCCAUUUUACAGACUUCACUUUCCAUGCACAUGUUAAAGAUGCUGCAGAGAAAAAGAGAAAAACAACAAAACAAAGACCUCAGUAGGAGCAGUCUAGAAUUUUACAGAAUUGGCCUGUGAGUGACUUUCUUUAACAAUUGGAUUAUUGUCUCUUUGCCCUUCAUGAGCCUGUACUCCUCACAAAGGCACUUUUUGAAAUCUGAUUCGACCCAUCCCUCUUUAUUAGCUUUUGUGUUUUUGUGGCCCUGUUAUCAAUUCCAUGAGGUGUAUAAAGAUUAUAUGGAGGUAUACAAAGAUAUGAUUGGAAAUCUGUAGAUCCACCAAGAGAAGCUCUUCGCCAGGGAGAUAUUUGCAUUCUUUGACCUUAAGAGUCCUUCUGCGGUUAAAAAGAAGAAGAAGGAGGAGGAGGAGGAGGGGGAAGAGGAAGAAUAAGAGGAAGAAGAAGAAGAAGAAGAAGAAGAACAACAACAACAACAACAACAACAUCAUAAAGAACCUGGAGGUGUAGUACGGUGAACACCGUCUGCAUCUUCAGUUCUGAUGGAUGCAGGACAUUUGACAGUCUCCCCUGUGAAUCAUUCAUUUACCCCUUCCCAUUCACCACUUGCCACAGAGAUGUAAUCUCUAUGUGGGUUCUACUGCCUUAUCAAUUGAUGGCCUUACACUAAAAUACAUUCGCUUUUCAUGUUUUUCUCAUGUUAGUCCAAUCAUUUAAAAAAUCUCUUAUUCAUAUUCGGUUUCUGGAAGUUCAAAUGUGAAGAUCCUGCUUGAUAUCCCCAAACUAAUUCUUGGCACUCUCAAGCACUCCAAUAAGUAUGAAUAGAUGUUCUAUUGAAAGCAGAAACUUUUUAUAACAAUCAAAUGCAUUUAUUAGAUACUAAAAUAACCAAAAAUGGAUGCUUGUCUACUAUACGACAUUUCAUAGCACUUAACAUACUGAUGAGCAAUGUGAAUCUGUCUACAGAGGAAAGGUUCCUUUUUUGCAACUUACCUGACUACACAACUCUCUUUUCUGCAAAUGUACCCAUUAAAAUAUCAAAGAAUACUAAUAUUCUGCAGAAGAUGGUUUGGGAACUACUAAUCUAGUUUAAUCUCCUAAAAUUAAAAAUGGCAGAUUUAAGGAUCAGAGGAUUAAGUGUCCUGAGAUCAAGACAUAGUGGCCAAAUCUGGAAUAAAAAGCAUGUCUUUAAGCCUAGGACUCUCUGCUCUACCUUGAGGAAUUAUUUCCUAAAAUAUCUACUGUCACCUUCUGUGGACCACGCAGGUAUAUUCGGUAGGGAUGAGAGAGUCUUGGCAGGAGAGGAGUGCUCAUGCAUGCAUGUGCGAGCACGCACACACACACACACACACUCAUUCAUAUGCACCAGCGCUCCUCAGGGCUUUGGGCCCCUUCCUCACAACACCUAGGAAACGUGCUGGAACAUGAAGCAGGUGCAGGGGAGCAGCAGAGAGCCACAGUGGGACUUGGAGGCCCCUUGUUUGCAGUCAGUAUUAACCCUGGGCUGUUUCAAAGGCCAAAGCUUGGCUCACAUUUGAGAUCUGAAGCUCUGACAUUCAAGAAGCUCCAAAGCAAAUGAACCUGAGUGAGUAAAUAAUUAAACCACAAAGAAAAAGGCAAUAUUGAAAAAAAGUUAGUGAUCUGGUGUCAACUCAGGGACACAAGGCUGUUGGGAAGUAAUCGGGCCUUUAUCCACCUUGCUAUGGGGCACAGAAUCUGUAGAGAAGCCGUGAGUGAGCCAUCCUGAGUUUGUGGCCUUAACAACGGAAUCCAGGAUGAGCUACAUUCAGGGCAAACAGGGAAAUAAUUGGCCGUAGGUAUGAUUAGUAGAUCCUAGGAACAUGAUCUUCAUUUGUAAUAUCUAGAUUUGAACGCAGCUCCAUCACACUCUCUAGCUGAGCAAGGUGCUUACUUCUAUGUGCUUUGACUUCUCUGCAAUAUGUAAAGAAUGAUAUUCUGCAUCUACGUCAGAGAUAUGUUACAAGGACUGAAAUAUGGACUUCAUAAAGCAUAUAGGAAGCAAAUGCUCAAAAAGUAUUUAUGUAUUUAAAUUUUUAUUGUUUGCUAAUCUGAAACCCACAGGCCCCAAAAUUGCAACAAGAAGUACAAAAAUGGCCCAUGGAAUUAGACAUACCAGCAAUUGAGUCUCAACUCUGUGAUAUACUAGCUCUAUGACCGUAUCACGUAACUUAACUUCUAUGAACCUCGGUUUGUACCUCUGUAAACUGGUAAGCCAUAGAGCCUGUCCUGGGACUUACUGUCAAGAUUAAAGGUGCUGAUCUAGGUGAAGAACAACCUGUAAUAAAUCAUCACUCUAUGGCAGCUCCUAUGAUCUCUGAGAUUUCUCCCAUUUCAGACCGUGAAAGAACUCUUUAACCUUCAGUAUGGGGCCAACCCCGAGGGCAAGGAAAGGCUUCCUAUCAUCAGGAGAGGGUUCCAUGUUUGUCCCCUCAGGGAUGUGCUGGAAGGGAAGGUGGAUCAUUGUACCACGCUUUCUGAUUCCAGGUAGAGCCCUAGAAGUGUUUGGGGUCACUGUUCUGGUCUAUUUUAGGUAGCUGUCAAGGAGGAAAUGGAGGAAUGAUGUGUGGACAAGUAAUAUUCUUGGAAAAGAGAAGGAAAAAAAGAAAAGGAGCAAAGAAGAGAGGGAUGGCAGAUAAGCUGAAUCCAACUGUGGCAAUAAACCCUGGCCAAUGUACAAUCAAGAAUGAGCAGGAGCCAGAAAAACUGGCUGCAGCUGGCAGACGUCCCAAAUCCUUCUGUAGAAUGAGGGACCUCGAGUGGGGAAAUGCUUCUUGACGGAUGAAUUGGAUUGUGAAUGAAACACUGCCUUCCAGGCACCAGCCUUUGAAUUACCCUGAUAUGUUGAUUUAAUUCAGAACCUUGAUGUUUCCCCAAACAUUGACUUUUUAACCUUCAUUGUCUUCUGAUUUAUUAGUGGAUCACUGUGCUUUUUAUGUUUCCCUGGUAGAAGUUAAAACAUGUUUCCUGGAAUGAUCCUGUAACCUGGGAUGGAUCUGGGGGCUCAGAGCACAGAGGCCAGCGCACCCUGUAAACACAGGCAUGUUGAACCCAGCUGAAAGCAAAGACUCCCUUACUUUUCCCUCCAGUCUUUUUUGUCCCCUUUAGGUAUCUGUCCAGGAAUGACUGAUCAUUGCUUCAUAGAGAUAUAAACAAUGCCGGUGGUAAAAUCUUCCCCAGCUGGUCUACCCAAAAGAUAAGUGACAUGGUACACUUUUCAGCUAGUGUCAUGUGCUGUGCGCUCCCUGUUGUUGAGAUUGGGAUUAACUACNNNNNNNNNNNNNNNNNNNNNNNNNNNNNNNNNNNNNNNNNNNNNNNNNNNNNNNNNNNNNNNNNNNNNNNNNNNNNNNNNNNNNNNNNNNNNNNNNNNNNNNNNNNNNNNNNNNNNNNNNNNNNNNNNNNNNNNNNNNNNNNNNNNNNNNNNNNNNNNNNNNNNNNNNNNNNNNNNNNNNNNNNNNNNNNNNNNNNNNNNNNNNNNNNNNNNNNNNNNNNNNNNNNNNNNNNNNNNNNNNNNNNNNNNNNNNNNNNNNNNNNNNNNNNNNNNNNNNNNNNNNNNNNNNNNNNNNNNNNNNNNNNNNNNNNNNNNNNNNNNNNNNNNNNNNNNNNNNNNNNNNNNNNNNNNNNNNNNNNNNNNNNNNNNNNNNNNNNNNNNNNNNNNNNNNNNNNNNNNNNNNNNNNNNNNNNNNNNNNNNNNNNNNNNNNNNNNNNNNNNNNNNNNNNNNNNNNNNNNNNNNNNNNNNNNNNNNNNNNNNNNNNNNNNNNNNNNNNNNNNNNNNNNNNNNNNNNNNNNNNNNNNNNNNNNNNNNNNNNNNNNNNNNNNNNNNNNNNNNNNNNNNNNNNNNNNNNNNNNNNNNNNNNNNNNNNNNNNNNNNNNNNNNNNNNNNNNNNNNNNNNNNNNNNNNNNNNNNNNNNNNNNNNNNNNNNNNNNNNNNNNNNNNNNNNNNNNNNNNNNNNNNNNNNNNNNNNNNNNNNNNNNNNNNNNNNNNNNNNNNNNNNNNNNNNNNNNNNNNNNNNNNNNNNNNNNNNNNNNNNNNNNNNNNNNNNNNNNNNNNNNNNNNNNNNNNNNNNNNNNNNNNNNNNNNNNNNNNNNNNNNNNNNNNNNNNNNNNNNNNNNNNNNNNNNNNNNNNNNNNNNNNNNNNNNNNNNNNNNNNNNNNNNNNNNNNNNNNNNNNNNNNNNNNNNNNNNNNNNNNNNNNNNNNNNNNNNNNNNNNNNNNNNNNNNNNNNNNNNNNNNNNNNNNNNNNNNNNNNNNNNNNNNNNNNNNNNNNNNNNNNNNNNNNNNNNNNNNNNNNNNNNNNNNNNNNNNNNNNNNNNNNNNNNNNNNNNNNNNNNNNNNNNNNNNNNNNNNNNNNNNNNNNNNNNNNNNNNNNNNNNNNNNNNNNNNNNNNNNNNNNNNNNNNNNNNNNNNNNNNNNNNNNNNNNNNNNNNNNNNNNNNNNNNNNNNNNNNNNNNNNNNNNNNNNNNNNNNNNNNNNNNNNNNNNNNNNNNNNNNNNNNNNNNNNNNNNNNNNNUUCUAUAUAUUUCUAUAUAACAUAUUUGCCUUUUCUAGAAGUUGAGCACAAUGCAGAGCUGAGAUCACUUGGGACGAAGGCUACCUCAACUCCAUGGAAGGACUUUCAUGGACACGCUGACCCUUAGACUUAAACCCCCGAAACCGCAUUGACUACCCACCACUACUGUAAAGUAAGAAGUCAACUCUAGUAUCUUCAGUGUUUUUGUGCUUGAAACUUGUAUUCCUAAAAACUCUGCUUCCAACUUUACCCCUAAGCCUUACAUAUGCCUGGCCCUUUGUUCUAGGAUAACUUCAAAAGAGUUGCCUUAUUUAAAUAAAAUCUAGAGUAUUACUGGUGGUGUCCAUGAAUUGUGACUUAGCUUAAGACUUAGUCCACAAUCUUGUAACAAAAUGGUAGUCAGUGAAAAUUUAUGAAUAGUUUUAUUUUCCAUGAUUUCAAACAUAAUUUAGUAAAGUUUUUUCCAUGGAGAUGAUCACAAAGCAUUAUACUUUGGAUAGCAGAGUGACAUUUUUUGUGUGUUGAAUGAAUCUAAAAUGUUAAGCCAUUGAUUGAGCUGGUUGUCUUGCUGUAUGAAUUUGGUAAGAAGGUGUUUUAGAGCUAAGUGCUAGCAAAUGGUCCACGCAGAUACAGAAAUCAUCAGGAAGGCUUACAUGUGGAGGCUCUGAGAGAAAUCAAACAUGGUCAAGGCUCAAGAAGAUUUGUUUCAUGCAAUUUAGUAUUCAUUAUGUUUUCUCAAUACCAUGUAUUGCAUAGGAACAAUAUUCAUAGCAGUAUUCAUAGGAGAUUGGUUCCAGGACCCCCAGCAGAUACCCAAAUCCAUGGAUUUUUACUUAGUGUAUGUUUCCUCUGCAGAUAACACACAUAUCCUCCCCUAUAAAUUGUUGUUAUGCUGUGCUGUCUAGAGAAAAAUGACCAAAAAAUGUCUCCACACAUUCAGUAGAGAUGCGAUUGUUAAAAAAUAUUUUCAGUUAUGAGCUGUGUUUGUAGCUCAGUUGGUAGAGCGUUUGCCUGGCAUGUGUGAGGCACUGGGAUUGAUCCUCAGCACCACCUAAAAAUAAAUAAAUAAAAUAAAGGUAUUGUGUCUAUCUACAACUAAAAAUAUUUUUAAAAAAUGUAUUUCUAAUUAUGUAGUUGGUUGAAUCUGUAGGUAUGCAACCCACAGACACAGAGAACUGUUAUUGUCUGACAAGGCAGAAAUAUGAGAGUCUCCUGGUUCUCUGUUCAUGUUCCCUCAUUUAAUAGAUUUUUAUGUACAAUAGUUACUUACUAACUCUUGAUCUCUGCUGUCUCAAAACUUCUGUGGAUGUGAAUCUGAGGUAAGAAAAAACUCAAAUUUGACCCAUUGUCCCUGUGCACCCAGCACUGAAUAUCACAGUGAGAGCAGUAUCCAAGAGGUGUGGUAUUUUGUCUCUCUUCUUAUUUUGGUGGGGCUGGACAAAAAGCAAACCAGAGUCUAUAAUUUGAUCUCAGAUGUCGAUGAAUGCUGAGAAGAGGAAAAGCAGCUCAGAGGGCACAGCACCCCCCCAGUGAGGUGGGAAUCUUUUGAUAGUGGUGUCAAAACAGGCAUUUUAUAAAUUGAUUGCUGAAAUAAGACUCAGGAAAUGUGUAGUUUGCACAGUAAAUUGUUUUUCAGGGCUCAGCAUUAUUCGAUUACAACUUGUGUCCCUUCACAAAUCAGUGGUGUAGUAGGGUUUGAAAUGGGGAAUUUUACUAUAGUAUGUAUUAAGAGGGCCAAUUUCAUAGAUCAUAGAAUCUCAAAGUUAGAAGGGACCUCAGAGGUCAUCCAAGCUCGAAUAGCUUCUCUGAUUUGCACUCACCUUUUACCAUAUUCCUCUUACUGAAAGGAAAAAAAAAUAAGUCUGGGCUCCAGAAAUUCAUUACUGUACAAGACAACCAAGCCGUUUCUGAGCAGACCUAGCCUCCUCUGUGGUUCUGUUCUCUGACAAGCAAUACUGUAGGGAGAAUCUCCAAAGGUCUUUUCUUUGUUUCUCAAGCCUGCUCACCUUGACUGAAUGCACAGGAGUUGCAGGUCACCUGCAGGAAGACAGGUCUCCACUUCUGCUGCCAGAUUUAGAGGCAUCCUCAUCCCUAGAUUAAGGGUAUGUAGCAGGUGGAAGGCUGCAGUGCCAGGCUUUAGGGAAAAGGCAAGCACCCUGGUAGAAAAGCAAAAACUAUGGAGCUUCUGGGCCCAGUUCUUUUUUUCAAAUGACCAUGUGGGUGUGGCCUCCACAGAGCGAUACUUCUUUCUGUAUCUCAGUUUGUACAUCUAUAAAAUAAAAGUUGUUUUGGACCAAUGAUUUCAAAGUGUGGUCCCCAGACCAACAACAUUUGCCUGACUUGUGAACUUGUUGAAAAUGCAGAUUCUCAGACCUUAUCCCAGACUUUCUGAAUUGGAACUUCUGGGGCAGGAGAUCAGCAAUCUGUGUGAAUAUUGAUGCACGCUUAAGUUUGAGGAACAAGCUGUGAGAUCCUGUGAAUCUGUAGGGCAAAGCACUGAAAAUUACAGCAGCCCACUUGUCCCUCAGUCUCUCUAUAUGCUGUUCCAGUGGCUUUACACACACACACACACUCUCUCUCCUUGGAUCUGUGAGCCAAGCUGCAAAGCCAGUCUGCUUCAGGAGGUGAUUCUGACUCCCAGCACAUGUACCUCCCUUAAAAAUCUAUAUCCGGUCUCUCAUGGAAUCAAUGCUUACAGUCACCUUGUGUCUAAGCAAAUUGAAUAGAGCUGGGAUCUCAAGCAAACGUACUUAUUUAUUUCAUGACAAGGGAAACAACUUUCAGUUCUGUGAGACUUGACACCUUUGUCAAUAAAAUCUGCAGAUUGCACAAUAUAGAGUUGUUUUAGAAUUCAUCUUUCUGACAAUAACAGGACUUUCCAAGAAAAGAGCAUCCAGGGGUUAUUAUGGCAGCCACAUUUUUGCCCUGAGACCGCUGGCUGCCUUGCCCACGUUUACAUUUUGCAUAAGAACCACUCAAUAGAUCUUCAUCAUCCCAGAAAUGAAUAAGGAAAGGCUUUUAAAGCUCAUGCCCCCUUUGUAAGUUAUAUUUUUCUUUUCUGCAUGUCUAAGGAAGGAAACCAGAUUUGAUUUGAUUUUUUUAAGAAGCUCUUAGUUUUAAUACCUGAUUAGGAUGCAAUAAGGUCGAACUUGUGUUUUGUUUCUAAUUAGCAAUAAAAACAACAGGGCAUUACGUCUGCAGUUGCUUCACUGUAGCAUCUUUCCAAGAUUUUCUAUUCACGCUGUUCGAAAGUGCCAUAUACAUCGGAAAUGUGCGUUUAUAUUCAGAGCGAGCUUAUUGUAGGAAGCAUAAAAAACUCCCCGUAAAGCGGAAGUUUGGGGAAGGUGGGGUGGAGUCGUAGGUAGUAAAAGCCCUCAAUUGCUUGAUUGUGUGAAUUGAAGUUGCUGGUAAAGUCGGUUCCUAUUUGUGGCUUCACAGCUCUGGAAUAAAUGACACUUCAAUAACAUUUUUCCUAUACAGUUGUAAAAUAUACAAAUUGGGUGAGGAAAAUGGUAGCAUCAUUGAAAUGCAUAAAAGCAAAAAGCAAGGAAGUAAGCAUAUGGCAGGAAGCUGAGCUGGGGAGGCAGGGGACACUGGCUGGAGGAUCCGAACACCUUGGCUUUGUAGAGCAGUUGCCUUAGGGGCCCGGAGCCCAGGCUCCAUCCUUCCACAUCUAAUUUGGAUGAUUCUGUGAUUAUUAUAUCAGUUAGAGUAUUCCCUGCCUAGAGAAUUUGCUUUUUUCUUUAUUCAUGGCUCUGGCUUGAUUUACUUUCUUUUCUUCCCUUCCGAGUUUGCCAUGACCUGCUGAAAAGAAUAUGAAACCAAAGGACGACAUAUCUUUUUCAUUUUUAUCCAUAGAAAUAAAAUAGUAAAUCUGGUGAGCAAUAAGUUGUGAUCCGUGCCGAUCAUUACAGGGACCAGAAGCUUUAUGAGUACUUUUAAUACAACACAACAUUUGAUGUUGCUCUUAUUUUAUUUCUGUUCCCACUGCAUCAUACAAUCUCAGCAGGCCUAGAAGAGAUACUUUGGAAAACUUUUUCUUUAACCUCUACUUUUAAAGCCUCUUUGAAAGUGAGGAUGGAUGGCUUCAUGGUACACAGAGGACUCCAAGGUUAAGUGAGGAGUCUUGGGUUCCAGGACCCAAGACUAAAUCCAGCCAGUUGUUCAUUGUUCUAGGACUGAGGAUGCCUUGGUUUCCAUAUAUUAUUUUAUAGAUGGCAAUAUCAAGGCCUAGAACAAAUUAGGGACUUGCCCAAGGUCACAGAAUGGCUUAGUGUCUGCCACCACUAUAAUUGCAACUGCAGUAUGCAAGCCCCUGAGAAGGGAGUCCCUGAUAACUUCUAUCCACUGUGGACUCUCAGCCUCCAGACCUGAGCCUUGCACAGAGCUCAUUGGGUGGAAACCAGGUCUGUUGAGGGAAUCAUGAUUAGGAACUCUGAAAAAGGAGAGGAGGGAGAACACAGAGAGAGCUAUUCCAUUUCACAGAAUCAUAGGGUUGGAUGCACUCGCUCAAGCAAAUGGCUUUUGUGUACAUAAAAACAUGAUUAUGGAAGAAAGGUAUGCACAGCCUCCCUUGGACACAUUCUCUGUUACAUUCAAGUUUUAAUAAUAAUAAUAAUUAAUUUUGAGGGCUGACAAAAUGUUAGGUGCUAUCUUAAGUGUUUUAUAGGCUUAAUUUUAUUUUUCCACUGACCAGCUCGAAGAACUCAGCACUACUAUUAUCUCGAUUAUACAGAUCAGGGAAAUGAGGCGUAGAGAGUUGAGGUUGCUUUCCAAGGCCGUGGAGUGCACAGGGAAGAGACUCAAGAUUUGACCUGAACCACCCAUCCUCGAACCCACACUGGUGCCCAGGGCAUCGUGGCUCUCCUUGCUGGCCCAGGUUUUCAAGUCUAAGUUUCAGUUCUUCUGGCUGCAGUAGCAGCCUUUGUUCCUCUUGCCCAGUAACACCAGAAUGCUGAACAGUCCCUGCCAGGGCUUCUUCUGGGUUUGGGGACAACAUUUAACUACCUAUCUGGUUAAAUAACCCCCUAUUUGUAACCCUUUGUUCUGUAAUGAUAUGAAACUUUGGGAAGAACCAGAAGAUUAAAUCCUCAUUUGUCAUCUUUCUUUGCAUAUAUGAUCCACCUUUUCUGAACUUUUGUCAAAAGAUGAUUGUUCCUGCCCUACCUAUCUUAUAAAAGGUAUGGAAUCAAAAUACCUAAUAUCAUAUAACUACAGAAUGAUGACUAUAAUGGUAAGGUGUCUAUUAUUAUUAUUACUACUAACCCUCUAAUGGAGAUAUGUUCCAAGACAUCCAGUGUUUUCUUAAAGUCAUGGAUAGUACCAAGCCCUAUAUAUACCAUAUUUUGUCCUAUACACAUAUCCCUAUAAUAAACUUGAACUUAUUAAUUAACUUAGAUUCAGUUAGAUUAAAAACAAUAACUAAUAAUAAAAUAGAGCAAUUAUAAUGAUAUUACUAUAAUAAAUGUUAUAUGAAUAUGGUUGCUCUCUUUCUUUCUCUCUCUCUCUCUCUCUAUCUCUCUCUCUUUCUCUCUCUCUCUCUCAAUAUAUCUUCUUGUACUGUAGUCACCCUUCUUGUUGUAAUGAUAUGAGGUAGAGGAAUACCUUUGUAGGAGGUAUUCCUACAGAAUGAGAUGAAGCAAGAUGAAUGAUAUAGGAAUUUGCAACCUAGCACUAUGCUACUGCGUGUGAGUUACUUGAAUGUGGGCAUUGUGAUACUGCUACCAUCCUUCUCUUAACCAAGACAGCUAAGUGAAUUAUAGGCAGGUAGUAUAUGCGACAUGAAUACAUAGGACAAAGCAAUAAUUCACGUCCCAAGUGAGCAGAGCAGGAUAGUGCAGGAUUUCAUCACACUACGCAGAACAUGGGGUUUAACACUUAUGAAUUGUUUAUUUGUAACAUUUUCCAUUUAAUAUUUCCCAGACCAUGGUUGACCAUGGGUAACUGAAACAGCAGAAAGUGAAAUCGCAAAUAAGAGAGGGGACAGUACAUCAUAAAGGUGCUGUAUGAAUUAAAUGAGGUCACAGAUCUAAAGCACUCUACUCUCCAUAGCAUCUGACACACAGGGGGCACAUGUUGGUUAUUAUGUUACCAAUAAUUACCAUUAUCAAUACUAAGCUACUGCUACCAAUACUAAGUCACUGCAGUGAUUUAAAGUUUAUAUGCUCAAGGCCUCUGAGAUAAACAUUGGGAAAUGUUUCCAUUUUCAAAUAACUUAUAACUGUCUUGGAGUCUCACUUUCUCCAGAUUUUUAUCUUUCUAGAGCUGUGCUUUUCCUCUGUCUCUCUCUUAAUGGCCCAAGCAACUCUAUGUGUGAUGAUAUAGCAAUAAUCAAAACAAUGCUGGUUUCAUACCUGAACUAAUGUUGAGCUGUUUUACACUACGGAAUCCAUCAAGAAUACAGGCAUAUUUAUUUUAUAUGAAUCUCACACAAGACCACGGUUACUUGUAUGAGGAUUCUUUUUUCUUUUCCUAAAUUGUCUUAACUUAAGUGUAUAAUGCAACUGUUCAGUUCUUAUGAUGUCUAGGUGCACAUCUAUCAGUUUGUCAGUAAUCAGUCUGUGAUCCACUAUUUAGUAUCUGAAGGAUUACUUUUAAUUUGCUUUUAGGGUUAUGAAUUCUUCAUUGUUCACUUUCAGUGUUCAGCCUUUCACCAGCCACAUUGUCCAAGUACUACGAUUUCCUCGUAGAAGGCUGGAGAGGCCCUGCAGGGACAACUGACAACAUUUUCUGUUUAAAAACAAUAUUUGGAGCAGAGAACCAGAGUAUGCAAUAGCCCUCUAGAAUCUUGUUCCCAGAGGAAAGGAGAGGCUAACCUGUAGAAUUUCUUGCAAUGAAGAAAAAUAUACAUUAUGUCCCAGAGUAGUAUAAGAACAAGCAUAAAGUGAUCCUGCUGCUUCUAGUGUGCAUAACCAAGCCUCUUUGUCCCAGUAGAUGUUGCCUCUUAAGAUGUCACUUAAGAUGUCACCCUGUCACCUUGUCACAGAGGUACAGUCAUAUGUUAACAUACUCACUGUUACUUCUCCAGAACAGCCCUCAGAGUUACUGUUUUGGCCACUAUCUAGUCACAUACUCAGACAGGAGCAGAUCAGGAUAAAGCACUGAGGCUCAUGAAGUCACAACACCAAAUCCCCAAGUGAGGUCCCUCACCAGCACAGUGGUGGGCACUGGCAACAUGACCCCAUGCAGCCAUCUCUGCUCAGAAUGUUUCAGAGCUCUCUUGGAGGGUCUUUGAAGCCCCACCAUAUCCUUCCUUCUGAAAUGUCUUUGUCUUUGGAAGGAAGAUGUGAUUUAUGGACACAGCCAACUCACUUGGAGCCAAGUCUGGCAGAGAGGUCAAGAUGGGUAAUGGUAGUUUAGAAUUACCCAUUUUAGAGACGAGUGCUGUCAAGAGUUUUCUCAGAGAUGUGUGGUUUGCUUUUCACCAUGAAGGUCAGGCUGUUUAUUUUCUUUAAGCUUACAGUAGAACAAUACACAUAAUUAAAACAAAUUUAUUGUUGAUAGCUGCAGUUCUGAACCCUGUGUACUAUUGCAAUUUAGCAGAGCGGCACGUACUCAAGUGAGAGUGUGGACCUGCGUGUAGUCAAUCACAUGUAAAUCCACAGAUCAGUCUGCAGCCAGACAGAUGAACUAUAUAGAUAGAUACAACUAUAUAGACUGUUUCUCAUGGAAUAUUUUUCAUUGCCUUUCCCCAGGCAUAGUUUCCAGAAUUCUCUUGUAAAUGUGAACUUCUUAAAUUGUUGAUAUUCCUCUAAGAUAAGCAAUUCUUAGCCUUUUUUUUUUAAGGUUACAUACUUCUUUUAGAAUCUGCUGAAAAUUAUGUACCCUUUUGUAGAAAAAAAUAGAAAUAUGAUUUGGAAAGGAGGGGAAAUGGAUAUCAUGUUCAGAACUUUUGGCCUAGGAUUUACAAAGAAAACUGGCCUGAACUCACAUCAUUUGAUGUAUUUAUAAAAGUGUGUUGAAUAAUGACUUUUUAGUAGAAGCUGAGAAUUAUUUAUUGUAUAGCAUCUUUAGUUAGUUAGCUGAAUUUGAUUUUCUGGCUAUAACUAAUAAAAGAAUGAAUGAUGAUAAUAGAAAAGGUGAGACAUUUGUGGGUCACUUUUUAUUGGCAUUUGAAAUUAAAAUCAUAUGAAAGGUUUCUAGUCUAAGGCAUAACAGGCAAGAUAUGCUUUGAAACUUUUCUGAUUUAAAAAAACAUUUAAAAGGAAAAGGAAUUGUAAUAGAUCUGUUUAAAUGUAUAACUAAGCUGUGUAUGUGGUGCACACCUGUAAUCCCAGCAGAUGGGAGGCUGAGGCAGGAGGAUUGAGAGCCCAGCAAAAGCAAGAGGCUGGGGACAUGGCACUCUGAGCUCAACCCCUGGUACAAAAAUAAUAAUAAUAACCAAGUGAUGGUAAGGAUGGGGAUUCUUAGAAGCUAACAAUGAUCAUAAAGCAAAAAUAAAAACAAAUAAGUAGUUUGAAAGUUGAUAACUUUUCUAUGGGCAUCUGCCAACCCUGGCCAUCCGGACUUUGGGUAUUUUGAAUGCCCAAGGACAAAUGUAAUGUCCCUGUACUAUGGGGAAUGUGGUCCAAAAUUUCUUCAAAAAGACUAGAUUUUUAUGAAACAAAAAUCUAAGCAACAGAGUUAGGUAGAACAUAACCCACCCACAAAGAAAGAAAGAAAUCUCAUUUAUCUCUGCUCUGGAAACAGAAGUAGACCAGUUAUCUCUGAGAAAUAUUAAUCUCAAGACAGUUCUCAUGUGAGUUAGGGUCCAACCCUUUGUGACUUGAAAAAGACAAGCCCAAAUUUUCAUUUAAAAUACUCCUGGGUUGGUGGAAAUACUAGGUACCUGGCAGAUAUAAGUCUAUGUUGCCUCUCGAAAAAUACUUAGUGAUCAUGUCUCAAAGAAUUCUUAUAGAUAAAAUGCUAAAAUCAUAAACCAUGACAAAAUAUCAUAAUAAAAUACAUGAAGAAACAAGUUUUUGUAAAAGUCAACAGAAACUACACAGAGGAGAAUUAGACCUACUACAUUUGCAAAAGCAUGAACCACCCUCAACUAUAAACGAAGUAAAGAAUGAUAAAGAAAGCAUUGAAAGAAGAUUAAGUCCAAUGAACAAGGUAUUUUGAAAACUACCCAAAUUCUAAAAAUGAAAUAUGUAAUCAUUUAUAUUAGAAGCACCAUGAUAGAUGAUGUUAAAAAAAUAAGUAUAACUAAAGAUAGAAUAGCUGGAAGGUAGGUCUAAGGAAAUCAUAUGUAAUAUAGACAAAACCGUAGAAAAUAAUAAACAAUGGUUAAGAGAAAUCAUAAGAUAAAGAGCAAGGUUUUUCAUGUACUUUACUGAAGUUCCAGAAAACAGAGAGUAGAAAAAAUAAGGCAAAGAGUGUAUUUGAAUAUAUCAUCUUUAAUAUUAAUUUCCAGGAUAGAUGAAAAGCCUAUAUCCCCAAAACCAGAAAGCCCAAGAAAUUUCAGAUAGAAUAUGUUAAAAAGUUAUCAAAGUAGAUAAGUCAUAAUCAGGCAACAGUCAGAGGAAAAGAUAGAAAGCCUUAAACAACAAAAAUCCAAUUGUUAGAAUUUUAGCCAACUUCUCAGUAGUGACAAUGAAAUUCAGUAGACAGUUGAAAAUUAUCUUCAAAGGAUAGAAAAAAUAACCUGUCAUUCUAGAAAAAUAUUUAUAGCAAUACCAUCUUUCAAAAAUAAGAAUAAAGUUAUUUUAAGCCUAACAAAACUGAGAAUGUUUGGUACCCAAUAUAUUCUCCCUAAAGAGAUUUCUGAAGAAUGUACUUCAGAAAGCAAAAAUAUUAUCCCAGAAAUCUGAGAAGUAAGGAGAUAUAGUGAACCCAGAGAGUGGAAAAAAUGUGGAUAAAUUUAAAUUUAAAUACACAAACAUUGGAUGUACAAACAAUAAAAAUAAUCUUCAACUUAUAGUGUUAAGAAAAUGAUAAAAGAAAUAAAUGACGUAAAUAGGAGUUAUCAGGUUAAAAUAGCUUAAGAUUGCUUAAUUGGUCUAGGAAAGGCUAAAGACAUUAACUUUCAAUAUUAUUGCAUUAAAUUUGAAUGACAGGCUGUCGGGUAGCCAGUAAACAGAUUGUGUUAAAGGUGUGACUUACAAACUCAUAGAAAAAGUUGAAAGGAAUGAGAUAAAAAAAAAAGACAUAAAAAUAAAAAAGAAACAUAAGAAGCCAAAAAUUAUACAAUAUAAAGCACAAAUCAUCUAAAUAAAUAAAUCAAUAACAGCAACAAGAAUCUUUAAAAAGGGUUCUAAUCAAGCUUCAAAUUCAUAAUUCAGAAAUAUGCUAGUUAUAAAGCAUACACAUAAAAUAUAUGAAAAUAUGUGACACAAUAUAAAGGUAUGGAUAAAGACAUUCCAUACAAAUGAGAAUAGAAAGCUUCUGUACUUAUAUUAAUAACAAUCAAAAUAAUGAUUAUUUAUUAUUAUUUAUCAUUUAUCAUUAUCAAAAUAAUGAUUGUGGUUACUAACAACCAUAUCUAACAAUUUUUACCUUAGGGAAAAAAGUUAUUGGGAGUCAGAAGUGUCAGAACACUAUCUUAAUGACAACAAACACAAAAUGACGAAAGAAGUUAUAACAGGCCAAUUUUACCCACAAACAGAUUUGAAAAUCCCAAAGAAAAUAAUACAAAGCCACUCUAACCAAGUUUAACUCAGCAGUGCAAUUUUUAUUUAACACUAGGAAGCAUUUAAUAUCAUUCCUCAUUUUAACAGAACAAAGGGCAAAAUCCAAAUGAUUAUCUUGAUGCAGAAGUUAUUUGAUGCAAGUUAGCAUUCAUUUGUGAUUUAAAAAAAUAAAAUAAAAUGUUUUCAACAAACUAAGAAUAUAAACUUCUAAAUCCUGAUAAGAGGUAUAAAAAAUAUAUAUCUCUUCAGCAGGCAUUAUACCUAACCAGGAAUCAUUGAAAGUCUUCCUUUCAAUAUCAGGAACCAAGCAAGGAUGCCCACUGUUUAAAGAUAUUCAAAGUGGUAUUGCAGGUUUCAGCCAGCAAGUUAAGGAAGUGAAAAAUUGAAAGCAAAGGUUUGGAAACUAAAACUCAAACUGUUAUUAUUUGCUUAUGAUGUGAUAAUACUGAAAUCCAAAAUGAAUAUAAACAAGCUCUCCAAAUUAAUAAAUUUAUAAACUGAAAGUUAUUAAAUACAGAAAAGCCUUUGGAUGUACAUCUCUUUUUAUUUUUGGUAUAUAGAAAUGCGUAUUGACAAUAAUAAAAAAAUACAGUAUGUAGAAAUACAUCCAACAAAACGUGUAAGUUUUUUAAAAAUGAGACAUAUUUGAAAUAUAUUAAAAAACAAAUGGAAAAAAGUUGUUGAUGAAUAGCAUCUUUGCCAUAAUUAAGUGUAUCAGUUUUCUCCAAAGUGAUCUCUAGAUUUAAUAGAAUUCUAGUCAAAAUUUUAACAAGCAGAUUUGUUUUCAACUUUAUGAUUUAAAAAGCCUUAUGAAAGGUAUAGGAACAGCUCAGGUAUGAUUAAGAAGAAAAAAAGAUUGAAGUCAGAUAAAUUAUGUAAUUAAUUUUGAAAGGUAAAACUUUGAACUUUUAAAAAAAUAUAAAACAACACUUUGUGACCUCAUAAUACAAAAGUAAUUCUUAAGACAAAACUGCAAACCAGAAAGAAUAAAUAAAUCUAACUAUCUUAAUGAAAAAUUUUUAUCAAAAGACUUGAAAAAGAUAAUAACUUGUCAAUUGGGAAAAUAUUUGCAUUUCAUAUAACCAACAAAGGAGAAUUCAGAAUAUUUAAAGAACUUCUAUAAUUGAUAAGACAAAGGAAAGCAACCUGAUUUAAAAAAAAAAUCUAGAUAAAAGAUAUGAAAAGGCAUUUAACAUGAAGGAAGACAAGAAAAAUAUUCAACCUCAUUCAUAAUCAAGAGAAUGCAAAUCAAAGAUGCAUUAAUCAGAUUGCCCAAAAUUAAAAUCCAAUAAUACUAAGGAUUAGAAAAGUUAGAAAGCAAUGAGAAUUCUUUAUACCCUCCUAGUGGGAAUAUCAGUUUGCUCAACCAUUUUGAAAAACAAUCUGACAUUACAUAGUAAAAUUAAAGAUGUAAUUAAAGUCUCCAGAUCUCAUCUAGCAGAUCCAUUCCUAGUUAUCUCCUCCAGAGAAAGAGAAACUCCUGCACAUGCACAUCAAAGAUAAAUUCCAGAUUACUCUCAGGGAAAAUAUCUUCUGUAAUAACUAUGAACGUUAGACACAACUUGAGUAUCUAUUGAUAGGAAAAUGGAUAAACAAAUUAGUGGGCUAUUCAUACAGAAGAGGACUAUUAGCCCAAAAAAGGAAUUAGCCAUAUAUACAUAUCAGCCUAAAGGAAUCUUGGAGAAUGUUGAGGAAGCAAAACAUGUAAGUUUAUUUCUACGAAGUUUCGAGAUAUGAAAAAACAAACAACAUAUUGUUCAGAAAUGCAUAUGUACACUCACCAUAUAGUGAUGUUUCUGUUAAAGACAGAUGACAUAUGCCAUGGUGGUCCCAUAAGACUAUAUCAUCUAGUGAUGUCGGAACCAUCCCAGUAAAAUACACUUUAUGAUGCUCACACGAUGACAAAAUUAUCUAGCAAUGUAUAUCUCAGAUGGUCUCCCUAUCAUUAAGUGGCACCUUUCGGUAUAUGAUAAAACUGCAACAAAAGGGGGGGGGGGGGUUGGGGGAGUUUGGGCAACAUUAUUAUGUAUGUUUAUGCUUUACUCAGACAUUCAGCUAAGAAACUAUUGGAGAUAAAGACUAUGCCUUAAAAUUACUCCCAAGCCUUUACUCUGGUGUGAGAAUGAAUCUCCACUAGAGGCAAGAGGACCUUUCUCAAGUUGACCCAAGACACAGGCAAGGAGUGGGGGUGACACACAUGGGAGAGCCAAAGGUACUGCCAAUACUUUUUCUUGAGCUGACUGUUAGUGGAUAACUGGACACAUUAUUUACAUUUUGUAAAUGAAUAUAUGAAGACCGUAUUUUUAAGUGUAGAUACAUAUAUAUACAUAUAGCAUACACGAUAAUUACAUGUAUAAAGUAGCCAAAGUUGAUAUACCUACAUGAAAAUACACAUACUACAUAUGCAUAUGCUUUAUGUGUAUGAUGUGUGGUAUAAUAAUUUAAAAACUCAUGGAAUUAAGUUUUUGGAACAUGGCUAUCUUAUUAACUAAAAAAGAGCAGUAGAUAAUAAAUGUCCCAUGCAUAGCUAAUUAUUCUUUCUCUUGGGAAAGGUUUAUAUAAUAAUUCAGAUAUGUGUGUGUGUAUAUAUAUAUAUAUAUAUAUAUAUAUAUAUGCAUAUAUCACAUAACCUAACUGAUACUUUGAACUGAUAUUUAUCAGGAAAAUGUUUUUUUAACCAACUUAGAGAAAUCAAAGGCCUCUAGUGAAGUUAUAACUAAACAUUUAGUGACUGCUAUGCUUGUUUCUCUUUUCUCUCCUUUUCUCUAAUAAUAUCAAAUGGUAUGAGACUAUAGAGAGGGCAUUUAAAUAAAACCUGAGGACCAGGAGCAGUGUUUGCCUUGAAACAGUUUUCUCGAAAGAAUUUGUCAGAGAAUUAAAGAAACCAGAGCUUGCUCACCAUGGCCCAGAUUAUGGGUAAAGCCAGGCUCUCGGUAUAAAGGUGCUUAGAACUGCAGCAGAACGGUCACUAGUGGCGUGGGAUUCAGGGGCCUAGAUAGAAGCCACCCUCUCCCCUUGGUUUCAUCACCUCUGCACAGCCACCCUUGGGUCAGUGUGACAGUGAAAAAGAAGAUAUCCACCAACGGGAUUGUGACUCUGUUGGGCACAGAAUAACUCCAUCCAUCAAAGAUAUCAUGGCUGAGGGAGGAGGGUAUAGCUAGCUCAGUGGUCGAGUCCUUGCCUAGCAUGUAUGAGGCCUUGGGUUCAAUACCCAGUACUGCAAAGGGAAAAAAAAAAAAAAAGAUACAAUGGUUGAACCAACUCUGAGAAUCCUUCCCAUUUAUAUCCAACUUUGUGAUCCCCAGAAGGCCUCCACAUAUGUUAGUCCAUUGGAGUUGAUGUGAGGAGGGGAAUCAAGAGGCAGAUGUUAGCAUUUCCACUUUCAGGACAGUCUCACCUCCUGAAAGGUGAGAUGACUCCUGUCACAUCAAGUCAGGCAGGUCGUCUGGCUCCUACUCCAAUAAACUUCCAUUCUUGCCACAUAGGAUUAAAGCAGAAGCAGAGGUAGUGGGAAAGGCGGAUAUAGUAAGGGAUGGUCAAAGAAAAGGAGAAGGAAGAAAAAGGCAAAAUGAUAGAAACAGCUGUGUUUUAGCAGAUCUCCGCUGAAGGGUCCCGCACUGCUCCCUGUGAACGUCAUCCUUCACUGCAGGAGAUCAGUUUAGAAUGAGAGGUAGUACUGGCCAUGAGUAUUUGAGAGUUGAAGCUUAAGUCUCUCCAUUCCUGUACCAACUGUUUGUUCUCUCUGCAGCCCCAUUGGGCCAGUAGCAUCUGCACCUGUGCUAACAGCAGAUCCUCUGGCUCUUCAGAGUUGGCAUCCCUACUACUCUGGAGAUAUCACUUAUGGGCACCAUAAUGUCAGAUUGGGCUCAGACCUUCCCAGAAACCUGCCAUCCUAGGACCUCCCUCUGCAGCAAGCACACACCUUCCAGCACUGGAACAAACCCAGGCCUUUCACUUGGCCCAUUUUCCAAUUGGCACCCAACUCUAAUCCUUAAGUACUGCAGCCCACUGCCAGCCUGAUGCCGAGUAUUCCUGUGUAACUUUUUUUUUUUUCAUUUUUUGCAAAGUUCUAGCCAAGUCCUGGAAAGGUGCAAUGAAAGACAAGAGCAAACAGCUUCCCCUUAGGUGGAGGUCACCAUACAAUAGUGCAAUUCUUGAGAUCUAAAGACCGAGUUUUUUUUUUAAACAAGCAAUUUGAUCUCUAUUGCGUUAGUGUAAAUUGGAAAUGGAUACCAUAUCUUUAAUGCUAAUUAGGCAUUGCAUUACUUAGUCUUCCAGGCCUCAUGUAAAUAACAAUUAGCAAUAAUUUAGCAGUUGUACAUGCUGGCAUCUUCUAAGCCAUACCAUUGUAUACCAUUCCAAAUUCCUUUGCAUUAAUUAGGAUCAUAAGCCAAUCAGUACUAAUUAGGAAGAAAAUAAGUAUAAUAAUAAAUGAAACAAAAUUGGUGAUUUGUAUCUGGUCGGUAGUUCCUUCCCUCUGCAGUUCAUCAAAUAGUCUUAAUGCGUAGGAACUUCUUGUAAUUGAAACUAAUUAUGAGGUUUCCCCUGCUACUUUGAGCCUCAUGUUCAAAUCCCACGAAGCUCAUUAAAUAAGUAACAAAACUGAAAUCUUUAGCACAUAUUGUAAGUUGGAUCAUGUUAAUUAGCACCACACGCAAAAGGCAGCGAGAAGCCAUUUAGCAGCCCCUGCACUAGUUACAGGGAAGGGAGACUGGGAUCGAAGCAGUUCUUUGGGGCUUGUAAGAUGCCAGGCCAGUGGUGCAUGGACAGUGUAGAGAGAAUGUCUGGGUGAUAGAGCAGCUUUGAUGGAAGGGGCAGAGGGAAUGAGGAAUCCAAAAGAAAGCUUCCCCUGGACAGGUGCAUUUCCAGAAGAGCCAGUUGUAUAUGGAACACACAUGAGUAGGGUGAUCAUCCAGUAUGGGGGAGUCUCUCCUGACUCCAGGAACUUGCUUGACAUUUGUGCGGGUACCACUUCCCUACCUUAGGUCCCUUAUGGAGCUUGUCUUCUCAGGGUGGAGUGGUGAGCAUUAAGGACCCCAGAGAAUUAACUUGCCCUGCACAGAGUGAAAUUGUAUAAACAUAAACCCAUGUGUCUGUUUCUAGUCAAACAUAUGUACCAUUCAGUAGACAUAUUGACUGUAUUCACAGCUUCCAGCGCUGAUCUAAAUGAUUGCCGCUCCUUUCUACAUACAGCUAGAUGUGGAGAUAGCUCUCCAGGCCUCGAGUGGAAGGUGCUGGAGAAAUACGCUCACCCACCAAUUCAUCUUUUGCCCUCCUCUGGGUUGCAGAACAGUCUAAAGUUAAGCACUCAGGAUGAUGCUGGGAAAGACUGGAGACAAAGAGGUAAAUUUGCAGGGAUAUUGGUUUACAGCCUACCCACCUACAGUAGAAGAACUCCAUAAACAAUAUUGUUUACUGCUGUUUCAUGAGAAGUACUUCUAAAAUAACCCUCACAGAAAGCACUUGUUACUCUACCAUUCUGACUUGUCAAGUUUGACGGCUUGAUGAGGGAAAAAAGACUGUGACAAGAGCUUUUCUGAUAGCCAGCCGAAUCAGAGCUAAGGACAUCUUAAACUGUUACUGUUCGCCUUCCUUAUUUAGGGGUAAAGUCCUCGGGUUCUUAUGCAGCAAACGGUUACUAGCCCUGAGCCUCCGUCAGGCUUCCACUAAGGCCUUGUUCCUCUACAAGCCAGCUCCCACUGUUGGAGCUCACAGAAAUCACUGCUUUUUAUUUCUCUUCUCACUCCUAUAGCUCUGGUUAUCACUCUGAGAGUUACACAUCCGUGGUUCUAAGUUGUCUAAUCAUCAUCUUACAAGUAAUACUUGGGUCUCCGUAAUCAGAUUAUUACUCAAGAGCAGGAAUUCACGUGUGCCAUUCUUCUUUGCAGCCCGAUGGAGUCCGACUCAGGCUGAGAACAAAAAGUUGCCAGUGAGUCCUGAUUUGUUGACAGUGACACUUUUAAAAGAGCACCCAGAAUUCAGCCUAAGAGUGACACUUUGAAAGUACUGAGAUAUGAUUUCAAUUAUUCUUAUAUAGCCCUCAGUAUUUUGUAUAAUAUUGCAGUGUGAGUGAAUGGGAAGGUGAGUCUACUAAGUGAUACCUGAGAAAUAUCCUGGGACAUGUCUGGUGUGCAUCCAUUUCUCUGGCAUUGUCUUAUCUGACAUUAGUAGAUCAUAAACUUGGAGCUUUGUCUACACAGGCACAAUGGGAUAACAAGUUAGAACAACCUCAUAAAUAACUCAUGAUGAUCCUUCUUCCUGAUGCUCCAUUCUAAAGGGGAAAAUAAUAGCUAUUAGUUUGCCUGCACUGCUAAAAUUAGCUGACCUGGUUAAUUCAUUUCAUACUGUUGGAUUCCAUUAGUCUGUGUAUGCACAGCCUCACACAAGUAUUUUUAAGGACAUAAUUCUGAAUCAUGUAGCACUGGAUAAUUGACAAUGAAACUAAGAUAAUAGUUAUGCCUUGCCACUAGUGGUUUACAGUCUAAGAGAACUCGUGACUGAUCAUAGCAAAAUUAAUGACAGCCAAAUUAAGAUGUUCAACCAAGGGAAGGAGAAUAAGGAAAACAUAAAAAACUUGUUAGUCUUUUUUUUUUAGCUACAGAUUAGAGUGGUCAAUAUUCUUUCAACCAUACUGCGGUAUCACAUAAUGUAGCAGUGAUCUGUUUGCAUGCCUGCCUCCCCUACCUAGUAGCACUGCUCUGUGAUCCCUUCAUUAGCAAAAAGACCAGCAAAGGGUCUCAGAUGGUGUUAAGUAAGAGUAAGAGAGAGCUGAUUUGGUAUGAAGAUGCUGGGGCUGGGCAUCUGAGCCAAAACACCCAUCACCAAUACAGAAUGAAGCAGGAAGUUGGUUAUCAGGAACCCAUAUAGACAAUUGGACUUGGGCAGACAAAAGCACGCUUACAUCAGGAUCGAGUUACUAAGCAGAGGCGUAGUCCCAAGAGAAAAGCAAGAGCCAAGAGUGAGAACCAGUCCCUGGGACAGAGCAGGAGUCACAGUGAACAACCAGGAUGGUGGGCAACCCACUGUGGCCUUGAAGCUUUCUGAACAAGCUCCUGCCUGAAAGCAAGGCAUGGUGAGGUGGGAACUGAAGACCGUAGUUGGAAAGAGUCCCGUGGAUCCUUACAAAGCUCCCACCCUCCUCCAGAUCUGUUCAAAAUGGAUCUAAAUCUUGCAAAAUGUAAUUCUUAAAUUAAAAAUACACACAUUUUGAGUUUGAUAAGAAAACCUCUUAAAAUUCUAUAACAAUUCAUCAGAUAAUUUUCUUGUUGGAAAGAAAAAAGCAGAGAAAUUAUAAUAAAUAAUAUAAAUAAUUUUAUAAUAAAUUAUAAAAGAAUAUAACUAAAGAAUGACCAAGAGUGUUGGCGCACACCUGUAAUCCCAGCAGCUUGGCAGGAGGAUUGCAAGAUUAAGGCCAGCCUCAGCAAUUUAGCAAGGCCCUAAAGCAAAGACCCUGUCAAUAAAUAAAACACAAAAAGGAUGGGGAUGUGGCUCAGUGGUUAAGUGCCUCUGGGUUCAAUCCUUGUUCCAAAAAAAAAAAAAAAAAAGGAAUAUAACCAAGAACUAAGAAUGGUGGAAACUAAAAUGUUGUUAACAACGUAUGUGAUUGUGAUUAGAUCCAUAUAUCACCAUAAAUGCACAAAUACACACACACACAUAUGUGCGCACACAGGCUAGAGAAGUUUAAACUGGUAAGAGUACAUACUUUGAUCCACUUAAGUGCAAUAUUGAUUUACAAAGACAGACUGAGGCAUCAACAAAGAUAAGGCCAGGAGGUACUAAAAGUGAGACCCUGAGAGUGGGACCCCAACAAAAUAGAGGUUGUAAGAGUGGAGGUCCUAACCCCCUUGCAGACAGGCUGCACAUGCUCAUUCGCCCAAAUGCACGCAUGCUUGUUCACCAUUCAUUCUUCACUUGCUGAACCCCUGGCUUGAAUCCCGUACUGCACCCAGUGCUGGAGCACCACCCACAGUGGUGGAGCCUGGAUCACAGCACGACCUAGGAGUCAGGACAUGGGUUCAAGUCUCAGCUCCUCCACUUGUUAAGUAAGAUAAAGCUUUGGCUUUCCCAUCUUAAAAUGAAGACUUUAGUAAUUCUUCCCUUUCGGGUUGUUGUGAGGAUUCCCUAAUAACUGAAAAGCUCUCAGGCCAGUGCUUGCUACAAAAUAAGUGCCUGAUAAAUGUUUGUCACAGCAGUUUCAAGUCAGUAUUCUACAAUGGUGGAAAGUAGAGGGAGGCCCUUGUUGGCUCUCAGGAAGAGCUCAUCAAUCAGGAGAGCUGUCUGCACGGGGUGGGCUGCCUGAGGAGGCAGGAAGCUGGUCAUCUCUGCCUGCGUGCAUUCCAGCAGAGUUCAGGUUUCUGAUGCCCCGGAGCUUUUAGAAGAGACUCCUGUUUGAGGACAAGGCUUUCACAGAUGUACAGCACAGGUUUUUCCAACUCUACAACUCCUAAUCCUGUCAUUCUCCAAGGCAAUUAUGGUGGGGAGGAACUGAUACUUCUCUUGCACCCUGUGUUCUGGACUUUACAAAUAUGUUAUAACUUGAAUUUUGUGAAAUCCCUGCAAUGAAGUCAUUACUAUUUUCCUUUUGCAGUUAAGGAAAUUGAAGCUUAGCAGGGCCAAGUAACUUACCCCCCCAAAAAAUGGCACAACCAGCAAGAGUCGAAAAGACCAUGGACCCCUAAAUAAUUCAUGAUCUUUCCAUCACUCUACCUGCACUGUCAGUAAACUCCUCAAGCUGAAGAAUGCCCUGGAAACUUGUUUGAGACAGAAUGAAGUCAGGGUGGGUGAAUGAAGUGCAGAGUGAAAGGUAGCAGCUCCCCUGUGCAUUAUCUAAAGCACCCUCAUCAAAAAAUUUAAAAACCAUAGUAGGCUGCCUAAAAAUACCUCCCAUCCAACAAGUCAGAAAAGCUCCCCAGAAUAUCUUCACUUACACACAUUUUUCCCUUCUUGAAAAAAAAAAAAAAGCCCUCUCCACCAUGGUUCAGGUCACUGGCUGUUUUUCCCUCCAUUUAUCCAUCUCUCUCCACACUAGCCACAUUGAUGAAAGACAGGCCCAAAGCGAGCAUUCCAAAAAUUCACCUUAGAAUCCCAUCUUCCAAAUCUGGGAUCUAAACUAAGUAAGGGGUGGAGGGAGGGUUGAAUGGAAUCUUUUUUUUUUCUUCUCCUUCUUCUUCAAGAGGAACAGAUUACAUUCUUGAGUCCUUUGCCAUGUUAUAAACAAGGCUGAGCACACAGCAUUCCUCCCAAAGCAUGUGGUCUUGUUUUGAAAGGCCUGGUCUCCUCUGGAAUUCACUGUUUACUUCAGUACUCUUCUUCCCAUUCAUUUGGGAUUGGUUUUAAUUUGAGCGUAUUAAUGGUGGCCCGAGAUGGUACAUUUCUUUUCUUCAUCAUCUCCUUUCCUUCAUCUUCUUCUCCGCCCUAUAUCUUUUAUAAUUAAGUUUUUAAGCCUAUAAAUGUUCUGAAGGGCAAUGUCAGCCUUUAAGUGCGUACUCCCUGGGUGGGUGGUUUCACCCUCAUAUCUGAAUUUGCUGGCAUGUUGAGGAUCUUUUUCUAAAGAGUUAAGAUCUCAGCAAUACCUUCACCUGACAAAAUACUAUUGAGCUUCUUUCCUUUGUAUGGAAAAGUAUUAGUUCUUUUUUUCUUUUUCAGGCCAGCUUUAAGGGGUCAGAGAAAAUGUGAUCCUGGGGAAUCCACUGGAAAUAUAGCUGAAAAGUGAAACAUUGAGGUCAUUAACCUCUCACUACUUCUUUGGGGAUUGGUAACAACUUUAAGUUGUUGGGAUCAGAGGUGGGAGAAGAGUUCUUGGUGUGCAUCAUGUAUGAUAUGGAAUAAUUAGAUUAGUCCAUUUAAGAAAUAUACUGAUUAUAUAUAUAUAUAUAUAUAUAUAUAUAUAUAUAUAUAUAUAUUUUUUUUUUAAGUAGAUGAUUAGGUCCCUGUCUCAGUACAUCACAUUUCUCAAAGCCCCCAUUACUCAAAGUAUAUUAGAAUAUUUCUGUAUUAUUAGAUAAUGCAAAUAUGUCAUGUUUUUUCUUGUAAAUAUCCUCAGUGUUUACAAGGAAAAUUUUUAUCCUCUGGGAAUAUAGGGAGUAUACCUCCAAAAAUGUAUCUGCUUUCAAAUGUCACCUUCCUUGCAUACAAUGCUAGUAAAUCAGUGCAUUUUGUACUUCCCAAUUUGUGAUUACUACAGGAUCCCGGGGCCUACUUAGUUCAUCUAAUCACAAUCUGAUUCUAAUGGUUCCAAAGCAACAUUGGAACAAUGGCAUUACCUUUGGAAUGAGUAAUUUGCCUUCUCUGAUGACUUGUUUAUGUAUGUGAGUUGGGUCCUAGAGGAGCUGGAGUAGACUGCAGUCUAACGCAGCCAUCUCUAUCAUGAGCCAGGUAUAUGGCAGUGCCUACUCUGGGUGCAGCCUCUCAGGAAGUGCUUCUGUCUGCAAACAUGUGGAAAAGCAACUAGACCACCUACAUCUCCACACUCAAACCACCCUCAUGUGAGUCCAACAAAAGACUCCACCUCCCUAUCCAUGUUAAGAACAGUGAUGCCAUGAAAAUAUAAAAGGCAUCAAUAAUCUGAAAAUCAUUUUUCUUAAACUUUACAAAGUCUAGUACACAGCUAGCAACCAAAUAACUGUUCGUGUUAUUAACCUAAUAUGGUGGCUCUAUUUUCAAAUUCAGACUGAGUGACCUUUCCUAACCUUAUGCUCUGAUGUGGGUAUGCCUAGUCCUUCAAUAAAAUAAUUUCCCACUGAUAUGGUAGUUCUACUCUGGGUCAGGGGGGUGAUUUUGACCCCCUCCUCAAACAUUUGGCAAUGUCUAGAGGCAUUUUUUACCACUACUUGGUGGGAGUUUCUACUGACAUCUAGAAAUUAGAAGCCAGGAUGCUGAUAAACAUCCCAGGAGACAUAAGGCAUCCUCUUUUCCCCCACAACAAAGAGCUAUCUGCUCUUAAUGUCAAGAGUGCUGAAGUGGAGAAACCCUGGAUGAGAACAAGUCUCACCAGGUGAAAAUCAAGGCUGUGUAUGGCAUAAACAUGACAUAGCUCUGGCAAAAUAUCUGAACACUCUUGUCUUCUUUGAGCAAGAUUUAUUGUGGGGGCCGAUCACUGUGGCUCCCUUUAAUUCCUACAAGGACAUCAGGAAUGCAAUAAGUAGAUGUUGCCCUUGGAAUCCCAAAUCCAUCUUUUCUGCACCUGUAUUUGAUGAGGUUUGGCCUCCUUUCUUGCUGGUCCUGGUUCAUCCUGUCUUAGGCAGACACACAGCUCUCUGCUACCCAUGCUUUUUAAAUUUUCCCUCCCAUUGCACAACCAGUUGCCUAUGAUAAAAUCAAAGAAUAGUAAACCGGAAAGCGCCUUCUGGUGAUCUUUCCUGUGAAGAAAUAGGAAUAUCAAUAAUUCAGGUAACUAUCCUGAUAGAUGGCCAUAUGACAGGAUUAGACCAGGUCUCCCAAAAUCUAAUCCAAUGCUCGUCUCCCCAUUUGGUUUUUACCAUACUUCUGUCUUGUUUGGCAUGGACAGCUGAUUUUGUACUCGCCAUGAUAGAUUUCUUUGCAUGCCCAGGCAGUACAGUCACAAACUUAAUUCAAGGGUGAGAGCUUAUUUCUCUUUACUGCUGGACCCUGCAGAGCUUCUGGAGUGUGAAGCUCAAUCCCCUGACUUUUCUGCCGAGAUUAGAGAAUGGCUUGCUUUCUUCAGUUCACUCCCAAUGUCAUUUUAAAAAUACCAUUAAUUGACAUUGGGAGUGAUCCUGAUAAGCUUUGCUAUCAUCAUGGCAGGGAACACACCAGGAAUAUAGCCAGUGUGGGACAAAAGGAAUUUCAUGGAUUGUGAUUGAUAUUUUAAAAGUAAAUAGGUAGAAGAAGCUCAGUGAUCUGCAAAGUGCUGCGAGGGUUUUGCCACAGCAUCUCAGUGAAGGAAUGAAACCAAUAUUGUGACAAGACAGACAACAACCAUCAUCACUGCCCAAGAAAAAUGUUAUAGUGAGAAUAUACAAUCUCCAUAUACUAAUUAGUCACAUUUCAUUCCCUUGAAAUUUGCUAAAACAAAAUGCUUGAUGGUUAACCCUUGCAAUCCUCCACGUUAAGGUGGUUUUCAAACCAUUUUUUAUUUCACCAUAGUGAAAGAACAUGAAAUAGUGAUUUUUCUGAUGGACGGAGAAGAAAAAUAUGUAGCUCUACCCACCCAGCAACCAACUGUAAGGUGGCCUGAUUGUGGUAUUCCCAUAGGGUCAUAGAGUCAACAGACUCUUAAAAUUGGUAAGAAAUUUCUAGACCACCCACACCAGCUUUGAGAGUGUUCAUGCUGGAUUUGGGUCUGGGACUUUUAUGUAAAAGAGGAAGUGUGAAAUAAGACUUAGGGAAAAAAAUGCUAGUGCUGUCAUCACGGUUGGUGGGGACCAGAUGCGAGGCCACUUGCUGACUGACCAAAUGAGGGAAUGAACUUUAGAUCUGACUCAAGAUCUGACUCAAGCCCCCCCUUCUCCAUGAAGUCUUAACAACUUUCCUAAUCAGCACAUUUCCUCUUUAGCUCAAAGCUCUACUUAAUAUUUAAUCAGCUUGCACUUACUGGCUCCCUUACAGUUCUUCCUAGAUUCAUUUUGUGUCUCUGCAACAAUAUUAGUUUGCUAGGGCUGCCAUGACAAAGUGCCCCUGGUUCAGGGCCUUCAAUGGCAGACCCUCAUUGCCUCACAGUUCUGGGGCCAGGAAGUCUAAGGUCAAGGCAUCAACAUGGUUGGUUUCUCUUUAGGACUUUGAAGGAGGCUCUGUUUGUCACUUCUCUCUUCAUGUCUAAUGGUUUGCUGACAGUCUCUGGCAUUUCUUAGCUUGCCAAAGCAUCCUCCCUAAUCUUAAUGUAGUACAGCACUCUCUCUGUGUACUUGUCUGUCUUCAGAUUUCUUCUAUUUAUAAAAAUACCAGUCACGUUAGAUGGGGGCGCAUCCUAAAGACUUCCUUUUAACCUGAUGUGUUCUUCAGCUUUCCGUCACUAAAAUGAAAUGCCUGAGAUGUUAAGUCAUAGAAGUAAAGUUUUCUUUGGCCCUUGGUUUUAGAGUUUCCAUUCCAAGAUCAAGUAGCCCAUUGCUUUGGGCCUCUAGUGAGGGCAGACAUCAUGGUGGAAGCUCAGGGCCAUGAAAAUCAAACUGCUAGUCUCCUGAGCCAGGAAGCAAAGAGGAAAGGGAAGAAACCAGGGUCUCAUAGUCUUCUUCAAAGACACAGCCCCAAUGAUCUAAGGUCCUCCUACUAGGUCCCACCUCCUAAAAGUUCCAUCACCUUUCUUUGGUGCCACCCUGGCAACCAUUCCUUUAACAGAUUAGAUUUGUUGCGGGGGGAAGGUGUACCCAAACUUGGUUACCUCUGUAAAGACUAUUUUCACAUAAGGUCACAUUCUGAGGUACUUAGGAGUAAGAAAUCCACAUAGUCUUUUUGAGGGGGACUCAGUUUGCCCUACAACAGCAACUGAAUCGUAAAGUCUUGAGGGCAGGAAUUGUCUUAUGUUCACAUAGACUCUAUUCCACCAGGUAAACUUCACAGCAUAAAAUGUUUGUUGGUUGAUCAGAAGUGCAAUGUGGAGUCAUGAUUACAUGGUCUCCCCACCUCAGGGUCUGAUCUCUGGUGGAGAUGCAGAGGGCCGAUUUGCAUGAGAUUAUCCAUUAUGAAGUCUGUCAAAGUAUGCCUCAUUUCCCCCAGUUACAAUUCUCCUCAUUACAAGUUGCAAAUUUGGAGAAGCUCUGGGUCUCCACUGUGCCACUCACGGAAGAGUCAGCGUCCCCUCAACUCAUUCCAAAGCCAAUAUUUGCCCCACAUAGGUUGUCUCUUCAUAAUUCUGUUUCCAGUUCCAGCUGAUCCCAGCCAAAGGAUCAUGUUUGUUUCAUACAGUUGUUAUUUUUCUCCCUUGAGUUGUGGUAUUAUAGUAUAGUAGACUAUUCUAUCUUGUUCUGUCUUCUUCUAAAAAUACUAACUGUAAUACAACACACAUUUGAAGGCCUAGUUGAUGAAAUGGAACAGAACACACUAGUAAUGCUAAAAGCCUCUCUCUAUUAUUCUCUCGCUCUAAAACUUGCACUGACCCCUGAGAACCUUCACAUAAAGCCCAGUAAGCUUCCAGAUGAUGUAUCUGCCUCAUUGCCGGCCAUUUUCCCUACAUAAUUCCUUGGCAUGGAGACAAGCUUUGCCAUCUCAUAUAUAUGAACUUUUUCCAUUUUCCACUUUCCUACCAUCAUUAGGAUUUGUUUGCAUAUUUAUGGUGGAGCUAUUGAUACUCGGCAACACUCAAAAAUGAGGCAUUUUCUGUUCAAAGUAUAGUCAGCUGGCCAUAUUUUGUCUUUCCAUUAGUCCAACUCUUUAUUGAGUUCAAUAUAAUCCAGAGAAUUCUGAAGCUAUUCUGAGAAUAUAAAAGUAUUCGGGUUGAACCAUAGAAAGUUCUGAUCCUAAGGUCAAAGUGGACCUGUCGAUUCAGGGACAAAAAGACCAGAAAGGCAGGUAUUUGCUUAGAAUCCCCUCCAGAAAUGACCCAGAAAUGCCUCCAGAGCUUCCUGGGGCAUCAAAGGGGCUCCUUCAGAGCCCCUAAAUUACUAAACCCAAGCUUCAUGAUGUCCCAAUUGGUCCCUGAAGCUUUCCAUGCAUUCCGGAAAAGUCGACACCGCUGCCGUUUGUACAAAUAAGAGUCAAGUUCAGAGAGAGCUCAGAGUAAGUCCCUGGAUAUCAUUUGAUCACCAUCUCCCUUUUCUUGUGGUCUAAGCAGCAUUAACUAAACUUCAUCUUGUCCCUAAGCAACAGAGGUUUUCUUCAUCAAUCUCUUGGGCGUUGAGUAUACAGGCAUGAAGUCUCAGUGAUAAGUCACAGGGGUCCUGCUAGCUCUGGCUAGAAGCCUUGUUGUAACAUUAUGUGUAGUCUUCAUCAGAGACCAGGUAUGUUCAUCAGGGUCCAAUGGAAAUUUUACCCAAAUUUGCAUCUCUCCCCCAUCCACAUAUCAGAAUGAAAUCCAGAUGUACUUCCAGGAAGGGCAGCUGGGGUCUGCUCUCAGGGAGAGAAUGAUGCUGAAGAUCACAUCCUGUUCCUCUCUCCAAGGAAAGCAGCUAGCAGAGAUUGAAAGAACAAAGGCUUUGGAAAUUGACAGACCAGGUUUCGACUUCUGGCUCCAAAUGUUGACUUGUUCUGGCUCUAGGCAAAACGUGUGAGAUAUCCAAGCCUCAGUUUCUUCCUCGAAGAGGAGAAUGCUAAUGCACGCCUCGGAAAAUGAAGGGAGAAAGAAAAAUUCACCCCUAAGUUCCUUGUUCUUUCUUCUAUCUCAAGGCCAGGUUCUGACUGACCAAUACGCUAAUAAGAGCAGACCCCAAAUCCUAGCAAGAGCUUGGGAUUCAGCACUGACCCAAGUAGGUGGGAAGGAGACCAGACCCACCUCCCUUCCCCGCUGUCCAGGUUGGGUCUGGGGCAGACACAUGGUUACAACAGCGUCAGAGGGAUGAAGGUAAGGCAGAAGAACAGAUAGUGUCCCCUUGACCGUGGGGCAAGAUGUGGUACGUCACUCCAGACCUGGCUUCCACAGAUUAAAAAAACAGGAGACUGGGGAGGUAGUCGCCACCACUCACUGUGGUGGCAACAUGCCUGUGUAAUUAGGACUCCUCAGAAGUCAUGUUCUCAGAUAGGAGGACACAGGAAGAAGUAUGCUCCCUCCCAGCCGCCAGCCGGGCCUGCAGGCACCGGAAGGAGUAUUGCUCUCAGCACUAGGCACCGCAGCCAACCUCACAAAAUGCUUUUUUGGUGUUUGCCAACAGGGAAGCUCAGUCUGCAGCUGCAGCCGCAGGUGCUGGCUACCAGGUUCCCCGUGGCAACCCAGGUGUGUGCCAGGUUAGCAGCUCUACCUUGGAGAAAUGGCCUGUGACUCAGAUGCAUGUGGCCCAAAGCAUGGAGUGAAGUUGGGUCCCCCAUGGUGGGAAGAUAAUGAUUGUGCUGGUUUUUAUGGGGCACAAUAUAACCUCAGCAGGUGGUUCGGUAGUGGCAGUGGCUUUUAGAGGGUAUGUAAGAUUGCAGCAGGCUCACUGGUAUUUUUAUUUUUUUUGUCUGAAGAAUUUUUGUUGUUUGUUUCCAUUGUUAUCAUUGAAUCCGAUUAUCAUUCAUGGCUUUGCUCAGGCCCUUGGCUAAUGUGUUUACUGCCUCCAACCACUUGGUAAUUCAUGUUUAUAUUUGUAUAUUUUGUAGAAAUGUUCACCUCUAAGAUCUUAUUUGGGCCUCUUUAUGAAAUGAUGAGUGAGACAGAUUAGGAAUUGCUAAGCUGGCCUGUUUGCUUUGUAAACUAAGGCCCAGAGAGUGACUUUCCCGGUUGUGUUAGGGAGCUAUGACCCAGAUCAGGUCUUUCGAGUCUGAGCACCUUAACCUUUGCAGUCUACUAGGCUGCUCGCGCCUCCUGCUAGCCCCUGGGUUUUUUGUUUCCACUUGUCAGUGAACUGUUUAAUCACAUGUCUUUUCCUCUGAUCGGUUGUGGUCUUGCCUUUGGUACACAGAUCAAUGCCUGCUAACCACAGUCUCCCGCCGGGGAGGGUCUGUUACUGAGCCUAGCUAGAGAAAGAGGAAAGGAAAAACCCUGGUUUAUAACAGCAUCUCUGCCUCUCCACACUCCUCUGCCCUGCAGCCCCCAUUGCCUUCUGCAACUGGCCACCCCAAAAAGCUUGUUUGGGCGUGCACAGACGUGGUUCCUGGAGAUUCAGACUGAGUGGGACAACAAGGUGGCUUUACUUCUGGGCCCAAAAGCACUAUGGCUAAAAAUCAUCUGAUGCUUUCAGCCCCAUCAUAUUGGUAUAUUCACACCCUAGUGGACUGUUAACUUCUAAUCCUUUUCAAUAUAGGAGGAAACUGGAGCCUGGGAAAACCAUAAAAGCUGAUAAUCCCCAAAUUACAUAUGUACACACACACACACACACACACACAGAGGUUUCCUACCACUUUCUCUGAAAAUUUUUAGGAACUUGAAAGUGCCAUGUGUCAUGACAUUUUUUAGCUUAGGCAGAUGUUAAAAUAUGUUUACAUUCCUUGCACCAAUAACUAAGCACACAAUGCAGAAAGCCCAGAAGGUUUUUCAAACAGUGCUGAGAUGGCAUGCAUCGUUGCAUCAUGGAUGGUUCUCAUUGGUCGCACCAAGAAAAGUUUCCAGGAUCCCUCCCCUCUCUCAAACUCACAACAAACUGAAAAUAACAACAGCAAAAACAAUAAAAAUAGCAAACCCUAACUGAACACUUACUAUGUACCAGACAUUGUGUUAAGUGCUGUAAAUGUAAAAAAAAAAAAUACCCAUUACUUAUUUAUUCCUUACAACAGCCCUACAGAGUUGAGCUCCAUGAAUAUUUACAGAUGAGAAAACUCAGGAUUAAGAGGGUUAAGUAAUUCCUCAAGGUCACCGCUAACAUAGCUGGUGUGGACUUAUGCUACUGUCUAAAGGAAAGCAAAGCUCUUAUUUUAAAAGGCGAAUGAUAAUUUUAUAACUGGAUGCAGAUAGGAUUAUAUAUGCUAUUCAGUAAGAUGAUAUAAUUCAUAUGAUCAAGUAAAAUCAAACAAUUUACUGACAUGGAUGCUCUGGGAAUGCCAAAGAAAUAUGCAGCACAGUUCUAGGAUUACAGUCUGCUAACGCUAAAUAAGAUAUAAACAUGUGAAAACAAAUCACAAAUUUGACUCUGAUUUGAUUGAAACAGGACUAUGUUGCUAGCUUCGUCGACUUCUAGGGUGGAAGAGACUGGUACUGGAGAGAUAGGUGCUGUGAUAAGGGCGUGCACCACCAUGUCACACCUGGGAUCAGCCCCCAUAAUGAUCUGGUCAAUGAUUAAACAGAUAAACCCACAAGACCAUUCAGACAAAUCUCCUCCUCAGCAUGGAAAUGGAAAGCAGCAGCUCCAGGGCCUCAGAGACCAUAGAGCAGCAUUUAUCCUCUCCUUCCAGGACCACAUUCAAAGUGCUGACCCCAAGGACAAGAGGAGGAAAGGGUGCCUUGGUGGGAAUCCCCACUCUGCUUCCUUCUUUCACAAAGUCUCACUAGGAAAAACAGAACAAAAAGCUGCUGAGUUGAAGAGCAUGCUCAGCACCGUGCUUGACUUAUGUCUGUAUCUCUUCUUCUCAGGGGGCGGGUGACAGCCUGCUUCAUGGCCAGUUAGCACCAGUCUUUGCAGGGGACUAUGCUAGAGCUGCACAUGUCAGUCUCAGUGGUCUUCCAAGACCUGCUGCCUAUGUGCUGGCUCUUUGUGCUUCUUCCCCAGUCAGACCACAUGGUUCUGAAUGCCACCUCUGCCCAGCUGCCUGAUCUUGGGUGAGCCGUUAUUCCUUGAAGAUGACAGACGGAGAUGGUGUGAAUUAAAGAAAACAAUCCAACUCAUAGUGAUGCUUUGUAACUGGUUACCUCUUAUUUUCAUGGUUUUGAUAUUAGUAUUGUCAGAAAUACUUCAUAAGUUUGUUUUUUAAAAAAAAAUAAAGAUCAUGGUAAAAUAAAGACCCUAGCAAACAACUUAAAAAGGAAAAUAAAUGAAAACCUUGGCCAGCAUUAAGGGCUCUAGAAAUGGUAGGUGAAGUGAUCUAAGGUUCCAUCCGUUGCUGAGGAUGGACAGAUCUGAACCUUGCUGUGACCAAACGCAGCCAGGGCUUGUUUCUGUCACCUAUAGUAACAGACACAAAUAUGGAAAUGACUUUCAUGAAGGAAGGAGGUUAUACUCAGAGGUUCAUAGAAACAGGAGACAUGACAAUGUAACACCACGCAGGGCCACUUGGGGAAGCACUCAGGAGGCACAGGGCUGAGGGUGAAGCUUGGGCCAAGACCUUUACCUGGUUUCCAUGGGAAGGAGUAGGAGAGGCUGGGUAGGCAGAUUUAGGAUUGGCUAGCUGCACAAUUUCAGCAGACUCUGGGGUGUAGAGAGUCCCCAGUUGUCCUAUACUUAGCCCAGAGGAGAUACUGAGGCAGGAAAGUGACCAGGCUCUCAAACUGAGAUGCAGUUGGCAGGCCUGCCUCUGUGUUGGUUAGUCUGCAUAGGAAAGGUGCAUUCUAGGGGAGCCCUCCUCUCUCCAGCAAUUAGCUAACCUGGAGGUGGGGCAGAUUCUGCAAGGUCAGCUGGACCCCCAAAGUCAAAGCUUCAUGAAGUACAAAAAAAUAAUCAGGCACUCCAGUCCUGGGUGGCACAGGAAUAGGGUUGCUAUUUAUACAUGGCAGGGUGAUGGCUCCUGUCAGUCUAAUAGCCACCUUAGACAGCUUCCAGUUUAAGAAGUGCUGUGGCUGGAGUAGCAGGUAAGGUGGUGGGCUGGGGCCAGCCCUGGUGCCCUCACUGCUGGCCUUUUUUAGUAGUCAUGUUGAUCUGGAAAAGCCCUGGAGGUUAUCCCUUUAGUUUUUCACUCUUCCUGAUUUGGUCAUACAUGUCAUGAGUGAUGCUGUGGAAGUUUGGUUGCCAGGGGAUCUCAACAGGCCUGCUUCUAGGGCUGGAGUCCACUUAGACACAGACUACCUGGAACCUUGUCCACUCAGUGGCCUUGACUCACAUCCCACACCAGGCAUCUCCAAUCAAGCUGUGAGGUCUGAAGCUCUAUCCAUGUGGUUGACAGACAAGAUUCUCCCACCAGGUUUCUCCUGCUCUGUUUUUAAAUUUGCUGUCAAGAAAAGGCCCACAGUGUCCAAGACACUUGGGAAUACACAGAUGUGUUUAAAUAACUUGGUUUCUUCUCAGGUUCUGCCUUAAUUCAAUAACCCCUUCAUUCUUUCAUUCAACAAGCAAAUGUUGUUUGGCAGAAAUCUUUUUUUCCUGAAUUCUAAGACAGUACAGCCAAAUGAAUCACUGAGCUUUGGGACUCAGAUUCCCCACGGUGGGAGGGGCAUAGAGAGCCAGAGUCAGCUGCACAGUGUGCAGCCAGAAUGGAGGGUGGGAAUGGAGGGCGGGAAUGGAGGGCGUUAGGGAGCUAGCCAUAGCCAGCCAGUAAGAAACAACCGAAUACAGUCCAGGGGCAGCAAGAUGGUGCAGACUUCAAGGGCUCUGAGGAGUUGGUUUUAUCCCAUCACCUGGUUGGCUCUGGUCUCCUUCUCUGGCCACUGAAACCUUCCCUACCUGUGACCUGCCAUCCUACUUGACAGGAACAAAGGAGGAGGAUUUGCUGAUGAAUCAGGGCACAUAUCGCCCCCCCCCCCACCUCAUGGGAAGAAUCAUUCAGAUGUGUCCUCCUGCUGUUGAAUCUGGGAAGCACACUUCAGUUUAAGCCCACAUAACCAUGGACAGGUUCAUAUAGUAAGUUAACAAAUGUGCUCUUGUGUAACUGGGAAACUGGGUUUAGCUUCCUGGUCUAGUAGCUGCUGGUCUAGUAGCUGCUUACUGAAUUUUCUCCUGGUGUAUACUCAGGAGACAAAAGUCUCCAGAGGACCCAGUGUUUAGUUCUUAAUAGGGUCAAGAAGCCAGGACUUCAUGGCAUAGUUUAGUGGUUAAAACUUGGAGGCCAGCUUGUGUACAUUUAAAUUCUGAUUCUACCAAUCAAUUACUGUGACAAUAAAGGUGAAUUAUGUACCAUCUCUGGACUUCAGUUUCCUCCUCCAAAAUAUGAGAAUGAAUACAGUGCCCCCCCAAAAUAGGCUUGUUAUAAAUGUGAAAUGAAUUAACACAUGUAAAGGGCUCAGGGACUGUUCCACUGUUAUGAUUCCCCCACCAUUUAAUGUGCCCCCAAAAGCUCAUGUGUUUCACUUCUGAAUGCUCAGAGAUGACAUGCUUAGAUUGCAGGAGUUAUUACAUAAUUGGUCAUUAAUUCAUUUAUUGGAUAAAUAACUUGAAUGGUGGGGCAUGACUGGAGGAAGUAUGUCUCGGAGUGUAUGGCUCUGGACUAUAUCUUGUCCCUGGCUUCUCACAUGCUCUCCCCACCUCUCUCUCUCCUUCUUAACUGCCAUGAACCGAGCAGCUUUAUUGGGCCACUGCCUUCUGCCAUGAUGCUCUGCCUCACCUCAGGCCAACUAUGGACUAAAACUCUGAAACUAUUAACUAAAAAAAAAACUUGUCCUCCUCUAAAUCAUUCUUGUGGGGUAUUUUGGUCACAGCAAUGAUUAACUAACACACCUAUUGUAGCACAUCUGCAAGUUAAGUAUCACUUAUCACUAUUACUAGCACAGUUGUGAUGAGAUAAGAAGAAUCAGAAACCGGAAUGUAGCCAAUAGGGCACCUUCUUUGGCCUCUCUGCCAGGUAUCAGGGGUUCUCUGGUCAGUAUCAUGCAUUCUAGUAUUUGGGAAGGAAACUCCUGGGGUUUAGAUUAAGUUCCUGCAUGUUUUCCAGGGUUCAGAGCACAAAGGGUAGAAAGGAAUGCUUCAAAACCUGGCCAGAACAGAAGAAGCUAAGUGAGCCACAGCAAAACACUGAGGUGAAGCAUGUAUCCAGGUGACAGAAUGAGACUAAUUUCUCACUUUUCACUCUUACUGGUCUAAGCAAAAUAGAUUGUUCCAUAGGAUGUGGCAUGUCAUCUCACAUCCUGGCCCCAAUCAGAAAUCUACUCUUCUGCAAUAUCAGUGGUUGGUAACCAAUGACUGCAUGGAACUUACCUUCUUUGCUGCCAUCACCAUGAAACUUUUAUCUAAGAACCUGACCUGAGUCAAUACAUAUAAAGUAUUUAGCUGUACUCUGACCUUCCCCAAGACCUUCAAAGACACUAGACACGUAACUACUUUCCUUGGGUGAGCAUCAGCAUGCCUCCUAAUACCCCACCCCUGUCCCAGGCCUUUUAUGGUUGCCAGAAGGUCAGAGGCCUUUUGAAGAUGUAUAAACAGCCUUUUCUUUAUGAAAUAAGAAAGGAGCAUUGGGCCAUGCUUCAUACCUGUAAAUCCACCUUUAUCAAUAUGUCACACCAAAAGCACAUGUAUAAUGAAAAGAAAUAAGGAAGUAAUUGGUGACAAAAAAAAAUAUGGUAUAGAAACAAAUCUUGGGUUGAACAGAGAAAAAUAGAUCUCAAGUGUUACAUAUGUAUGUCCAUAAGUCAUCUCUUAACAAGGAGAAAGAAAAGAGAUUUGACAUUUGGUCAUGAGGAUAUUGUGUUCUUGGGCUGGAUGCUGUUAUAAGACACUUCAUUCAUUUAUUCUUCAUCAUUGCCACAUAAGAGGAAUUAUUAGCAUUUUACACUUAAAGGGAACUAAGGCCCAAAGUCCACAGGCUCCACCCCUUGGGAAGUUACUUCCUAAAACAGGUCCUCUGAGCCUCACUAAAAGAUACAGUGCAACAAAAGAAAUGGCAGCCCGGGCCCGACAGAGCUGACCAGCUAUUUUAUUUUGCUUUACAGAGGCAAAUAAUUAGUUUGAGUCCUUGCCGAGUUUCAUAGAAACUGGACUGGUGGGGGUGGAGGGCGAUUUUCCCUUAUAUACUAUUUUAGGAAAACCCAUAAUUGAAUCUAAUUUCUGCAGCUGCCAUUGGAAGGCAGGAUGGCAGGCACAGCAUCCGGGAGACAGCACACCCGCAAAGCAGGGUGGAAUAAGCCAGAGUGCAACUGAGAAUCCCAGGGCAGAGGGCAGAGCCCCUGCCCACGGGUGCCACCCAGGCCAGGAAAACUGAUGGGUGCACGUGGCCCCUGCAGCCCCUACCGAGGGAGGGCAAGCUCCUCCUGGAGCUCCUGUGGCGGGGAACCUUCUGAAUCUUUGUUCUCUCUCCGCCACGGCUUGUAAGUAUUAGUCUGAUGUUGUUUACUUCUUCUCCCAAUCUCUCCAAGGAAUAUGAUUCACACGUUUUCAGAUUUAUUUGAACAAAAUGCAAUAAAUAUGCUGCUUCAAUUUUAACUGCUGGCCUGUAGCCAGGGUUUUUAAUGAAUCUGGCCUGUGCUACUGAAGUGUUCCAGGAUCUCCAGGGCUCUGGGCACUGUGAGAUUAUACACACUGGUGUGCGCGCUCAUAUGCACGCGCGCAUGCACACACACACACACACACACAGCUCCCACCUCCCCCUACCUCCCCACCUCCUAUUCCCUGAGGGGCGGUGACUCACAGUCAACUGCAGGUUUUUUCAGAACUGACUCUGGUUAAAAUUAGCAGGAGCCUUUAUCGUUCAAGGAGAGGAGGAUUCCUCCGGCUUCUUUCAUGGCUGCAUGGAAAUGCCAUCUUUUAAUUUCCCCCCCACACCCUCUGUUGAAUUGCUCUACCCUCCUCCAAAAGCUGCCAUCCUCAGCCUUUUUUCUCUUCCUUUGUUUUCUUGCAAACGGUCACUAGACCAAGCCCAGCCUGUGGGGACUUCCAUAUAAAAACAGCUGGCUAUGGGGAUUUAAUGUGGAGAUAAAAGGAUCCUGAAUUGAUUUUCAGCACAACCAAACAGCCAGUGCUCCAGGCUUUGGAGAAGUGGGAGGGGGGGGGACAGGAAGAGGGACAGCAAGGUGGUGGGGGGGUGUAGCACACUUUCUCAUCAGCCCCAGACCCUUGUCACUAGGAUCCUCUCCAACUCCAAGAACCUACAGCUCUGAAAUUUUGUGCUCAUAAUGACCACUUUGGUCAUUAUGGGUUUGUAUCUGGAAAUCCCCUUAGAGGGAGGGAACCGUUUCAGGGAGGGUCAAUUUUAGAGCAUAGGACAUGGUUACCCACAGGUGACAGAGAAAAAGAGGUAGCUUCAAAGAUCCCAUGUAUAGAUAGAGUAGCUAAAUUCCUCUCAUGUGGAACUAAAGGAACCCACCACCUAUUUUUUUUUCUUUUAAAAACAAAUCAUAGUCUGAUCCUUUCCAUUAUUGCCAGUGACUUUUAUGGAUGCCAAGCCCCGGAGGACCUCUCCUCGCUUGGAAUGACCCUCAACACCAAAUUGCAGAUUGCUCUGCAGGGUUCUGUCUACCCUAAUUCGUGCCCACCUCAUUUCAUGCCAUCCCCUUCACAAUCAGGCACAGUAAGAAAGAAACUGCAAAGGCAGAAACCUGGGCAGGAAAGCCCAUGAAAGGCUAGCUGCUCUUGGUGAGUGGGGAAGAGGACCUGGGUUCACAGGUCCAAGUUAGAAUCGGGUCACCAAAACACAGGGUGAUUUCUGGGAGCGUCAGUUUCCUCGUUGGUGGAAUGAUGGGGAUCUGCUCAGUGAUCUCUUCCAGCCCUGAUACUCUGUGAUUCUGACACCUGGGUAUGGACUCUCCGGAGCUCUCUCUGAGCAUGUUUUACCCCUGUGGCAUUUCAAAACUAAGACUCUCAUCAUCAAAUUCCUCCUCCUCUAUUUUUUACUUUCUUAAAAUAAAAUAAUAAAUAGCUCUUAUUUUUGAUAUGAUUACUCAAAUCAAAAAAAAUCACAUAUUCUUACUUAUCACAUUCUUAGAAUUGAAAAUAUUUCUUUUAUAGACUGGAGAAAAACACCAUCCUGCCUCGACUUCAAACAGUAGUGUCCAUGGUGAGGUUUUGGAUGCAUUCAGCUGUUCUUACCUGGACCAUUUACAAACACCAAUGAUGUUCAAUUAAACACAUUUGUUAAUCACGUGAUAUUUUGCUAGCCCUUCACUGGGUGGACAUUAUCAGAAACCCUCGAAAAAUAUAGGACUCUUUCCAACUUACUAAUUAUCUUCCUAGGAAAUCAAGAUUACUGUGUAAUAAUGAUGUUAAAUACAACAUGUCCGCAAGGAGUGUUGUGCUGGAUACUGGACAGAUUUUUCCUGUAUUUAAGCUUCAUAGAAAAUUCCUGAAGAUGUCUCUUUUUGUCUUCAUUUUAUAGACAAGGAAUCUGAGGCUUAAGUUAAUUGGUCUAACCAAAGCAGAGCAGUAACCGAUCAUAUCUGACUGACCCCAAGCAUUUGAAAUGUCAUGUUCGGCAAGUAUUGAACUGAAUGAAAGCACAGCCUCCAAAGCUAUGGUGGAAGCAGGUGCUCCUGCAAGGUCAAGGAUGAAGUUCUACAAAAGGGAGGAACCUGCUGCUUGAGUUUGCUCUGAAGGGAAGAAGCAGGGAUAGCCCAGGAUGAUGGAGGGGGCACUGGUUCAGAGGCGAGAAAGAAAGUGACUCCGAAUCAAGGUGCUGUUAGGAACACAGAAGACCACUGUUUUCCACCUCCAAUGCUCUUUCCUAACAGGAAAGCCUUUGAUGAGAUAAUUGGAGAGAGCAAACCUUCACCUGCCCAAACCCAGGACCCAGUAAUGCUCAAUGCUGGAUUUCCUUCAAGCAAAUUCCUAGCUUGAGGAAGGGCUGCCCUCAGAUAACUUUGAUUAUUUUAAAAAUGGUGCUUAUAAAAACAAACACAUUCCACUUAUUACAUAACCAAGGAUGGAAAAAUGUUUUACUGUCAGUUUUAUUACUUGGGAAAUGUAAUAAUUUCCAGGUUUGAAAAAUACAGUCAGGGACUCUUUUUUUUUUUAAUCUUGACAAAAAUUGUAUAUAUUUAUUCUGUACAACAUGUUGUUUUGAAAUAUGUGUACAUUGUGGAAUGGCUAAAUGGAGCCCAAGAAUAUAUCCAUUAGUUCUCAGUCUUACCAUUUUUUGGUGACUUGAAUCUUUUAAAAAUCUUUUUUAAAGUCUUGCAUUUAUUUCAUUGGCAUUUCCUGGCUAUUUUAUUUCCUCCCUGAAUCCUGACCCCAGCCUUCUUUCUUGUAUUAAGGAAGCUUAAUUCUAAGGCUCAUGUCAAAUCUGGCAGCUCUUUCUUGGCUCGGGGUUCAUGGAUAUUUCCACAGUUGUGGCCUAUUUACACAUUCAUUCACAUUGUGUGUUUUUGUUGUUUUUCCUUUUUUCCAACAUAUUUCACAACUUCUUUAUCCCACAUUAGGCCAUUACCUCCUUGAACCCAGAGCUAACAAGACAGAAUUCAGAAAUGAGUCAUUUGCUGACAAGGUCUCUUUCCCUUACACUGCUGCCCAAAGGAUACACAUAGGAACCACCUCUCAUUUUUUCUGACACUUUCUGGGAUCCAAACCCUAAUGUGUCAUUCUGUUAUUUUUAACAGCCGUGGAAAAGAAAGACCAUUUAAAGGAAGAUGUGACAGAGACUUGGGUUCAAAUUCCCAAUGACAUUGAUUUGCUGUGAGACUUGAGGUCUACUUAACCUUCUCUUCAACCUCAUUUCCCUAAAUACAAAAUGUGGUUACUCUGAUCUACCCUUUAAAGUAAUAGAAUUUAGAUUUAAAAGGACAUGUAUAAUCAUUUGGUUUACAACCAUGGAUAGUGAGUUGAUCCUGAAAUAACCAAAAGGACCUCAUUAAAAAGUGGCUUUCCACAAGACAACUCCAAGGCAUGCCUUCCUGAGUCAUUGUCACCAGGAGGCUUCCACACCUACAUGACAGAAACCCUCAGAUGAGUCUGAACCUGACUGAGUUUUCCAGGCUGACCAUAUCCAAUAACUAUGGCAUGUCAUUUGACUUACUGGAAAGAAAUAAGAACUCUGAUGUUUUCUCAAAAAUAGAAGUGCUUCCCACAUCUGACUCUGAGAUCUUCACUUGAGAGGGCCAGGUAUUUUCCCUACUGUUUAACAUCACACGAAACUCUUCUCUGUACCCAAGAUGCAGAAUCGAAGGAUUUGGAGACCAUGCCAUCAUCUCCUGAGUCUCUGUCCUGCCCCCUGACAGCUUUCCUCCCUGACCAUCAACCAUGCUAUGGAUGCUCAGAAUUAAUCCCUGAGCCAGAGGGCAAAAUAGUCGGGGCAACGUGGGUGCAGAGUGGCUCUGUUGCAUAAUCAUCCAUUACUGGGGGCUGUUUAUGUUUAAGUCCUAUUCUUCAGUGGUCAUAAAUUCAGUUUUUGUGGCUUGUCUUCAGUCAUAGUGAUCCUCAUCACUGCCCUUUCUCAACUAUUAUACUAAGCCUUCCUCAUCCUUGUGUUGUUCAGCAGUGCCAUUUUGAUCAAAGCCUCCUAAAGUCCCUUUUCCAUGGUAGAUGCUCCAGAGAUGUUUGUUGAAUGAAUCAAUGGGCAAAUGAAUAAGUACAUGAAUAUUCUCAAUCUGUGUCAAUGCAGUGGUAUCUAUAACUUGCUGAGCUGACUCUAGUUUAUAAAUCAAACAAAACAUGAAAUAGGCUAUUUUUUUUUACCAGUUAUAAGGAUGCCAUAAUUGAAAGGUAUAAUGUACCUGCCUCUUUAGGAACUGAUAUUAGUCCCCCAGUGUGAUCCAUGCCUUUCUCUCCCCAUGUCUGCUCACUUGGUUAAACUACCUGCAUGGAUUCUAUAUGCACAUCUGUUCUCUUACACCCAUCAUUAUUCCUGUUCCCUCCCCAGCUCGCUCAUUUUCUUUCCUAUGUUCAAAGCUUCUUUAAUAAUCUGAGAUUGAACAUGGGUAGGAAAAUUGAGGCUGGUCAUGAAGUUCCUCAAAAACUAUCCAAUACCCAGCCCACGAAAGUAGGAAGAAAAGUUGAAAAUCCCAGUGCAAAUACAGAAAAAUUCACAAGUGUGAACCCAUAUAGUAGAGACAGAGUUAAAUUCUUGAAAACAGUGUAUAACUUUCUGAAAACCCUCACUUUUCUAAAUAGUGAGCUGUCUUAAUGAAUACCAUAAGAUUUAACUUACAAAAAUAUGAUUUAAACGUGGGUUUAGGUGUCUUCUGAGCAAGAACUGCAACUGACUCAGUGUUGCCCCCACCUCCUGCUGUAGUGCUUACAAUGGAACUUCUAGUGCAGAAUUUGUCCAGUAAAGGUUGAGGAAGUAAAAAGGAAAUGGAGGUGGGGAGGAUAGUGGGAAUUGUAUACAGUGUUCACACUGCUGAACCACUCUGCAUCAGAGGUUCAAUUUCUACCCUUGAUUUCCAAACAUCAUUUGUUGGCCACUUUCUGGGAACACACAGGGAGCAGCUUUUACCCCUAUAAUCAAGUUCUGCACAUACAGGACAGGCCAUCUCUUCUCCACAGCCAGGUGGAAAUGCUUCAUGGCUCCCCAUGACCCACGGAUGAAGUCCAGGCUCCUAGUUCCAUUUCCAGCCCAACCCAGGCUGUAUCAAGGGUGACCCUGCAACCACCCACCCUGGACACAUGCACUGUGGCCCCCAGGAGUCCUGGCCUUUCCCCACAUGGGCCAUUAGAUUUUUUUGCUUCAUUCUUUAUCUAUGCUGUUUCUUUAUUCUGAGAAUUUCUUUUAUCCCCUUUCAGCCAGUGCUUCCAAAUUGUUCAAGAACCAAGUAAAACAUCAAGAACCAAGUAAAACAUCACCUCUUCAGUGAUGUCCUUCCUGUGACAAUAGGGAAGUCACUCAUUGUCCUGGGUAGUCACAUCUUGUGAACCUGACCCUGCACUCCUGAUCACAAAGUACUGACAUUAGCCUCUGGCACUUCAAGGCUAAAAAUUUAUCCUUGUAUCUUCAUAUUUAAGCCUGAAGAAAGGAUACUAUUACUAAUUACAUAAUUGAUGAGAAACUGAAGAACAGAGAAGUUAAACAAUGUGCCCAGCUUCAGACUAAGGGUAGUUUGUUUGACUGUGAGAUAAAAACUGCGUAUGUGGGCUCAUAGCUUUCCCUUUUAACCUCUUUGAAAUGCCCCUCUUCCAUAAAAACAAUCGCCCUGGUUAUCUUGGUACUUUUACUAUGGUCUCUAUAUUAACAUAAAUUCUAAUUUGUAGUCAACCAGGUCAAUUAUUUAUGUUGUGUCUGAGUUAUCCAGUAAAUAAAUUCCAUUUUCAACUAUUGUGCUAGAAUAUAUGCUAGUUAAAAUCACUCUCAUAAAUCUCUAACUUGGUCCCAGGUGCAAUGGAAGGUAACGUGGGUAGUCUUUCCAGCUCAGGGGAGAUUGUUAUUUUUAUUUAAAUUUCUUGUUCUUGAAUCUUGUUUCUUCAACUAGAUAUUCAGCUACCCAAAGAUUGAACUGCUUCUUAUACUUUAUGGGUCCCCCAUAGGACCCUGAGUUGCUGUCUUCACAGUAGGCAUUAAAACUUUUUUUUUCUGAAUAAAUUAACACAUGAGCCAAAUUGCUUCCUCUUGUCAACCCCCCCACACACACACACACACACAAUUUUUUGAGACUGUUGCAUAAAGUUGAAUAUUUAGGAGUUGACUUUGCUUCCUGGAGUGUCAGCUAUCAGAGAGCCACGAGUUAAUCAUGACAGGAGAGAUGGGGCCUUUAUCCUGCCACCUUACCUCUAAAUGGUGAGCCCCAUCCAAGCUUUUUGUAGCCUCCCUUCCAAUUGCACUUUAAAUAUCUCAUGUUUCCUGGACCUCUUCCUGCCUGGCCUGUUCUGAGAAUUCUUUGUACCAGCCACAGUGCUCAGCAAUUUAUAGGCAUUAUCUCAUUUAAUCCCUGUAACAGCCUUCAAAACUGAAGCUUUGAGGGGUUAAAUCACUUGGACAGGGUCAAAUACUUAGUUAAGUGACAGAGCUAGGAUUUAAACCAGGGACUGACUGGGUCACAGCCUUAUCCACCAGCUUAAAACUCCCUUUCUUUCAAGUGGUUUAUUUCCCAAUUACUCAGUAACACGUUUGGAUUCUACUUCUUGCAUGGAAUGUUUCCAUCUCCACAUCUUUGUUUUGCUUUUCUCCACCCAUCCCCUCCCCCAUUUUAAAAACAAAGAUUAAAUUUUUUUUCACAGAUAAUUCUUGUUGUCAACUACCAUCUCAUACUUACCUCUCUAGCCCUAUGACCUUAAACAGUUUGAAACUGUUUCUCCUGAAAUGCUCAUUCCAUUUUAUUCAGCCAGUCUUUGGCACUUCCUUUUCUUGACCUUCCAAAGGAAACUCAGAGUACAGAAGUCUUUAUUUAUCUCAUCUCGAAGUUAGUCCCUGAGUAACUGGAUUGUCCUGUGAAUCUGAAUCAAAUACAAUUGUCUCUGCUGGUUCCAAUCUCUCCAAUGACAAUUUCCUCUCUGAUCGCAAGUCCCACCAAAGGUUCUUCAUACCCAUUGCCCACUUCUAGAAAAUCCCCCCAACUCUCCUCUGGAUGACUCAGAGACCUACUUAAAUAACUAGAUAUAUUAAUAAUUAAAAUACUUUCCUUUUACUUUAAACCUUAUCAUCUGUCUUCCUAUAGUGUGAUAGUAAGUUGUUCAUUUACUCUGUGCACCAUACAGUUGUUGGAACCAAAACAGACAUUUUCCAAAUCAGACUUUCUUUGGGACCAACCAACCUUAAAGGAUGGUUGGAAAUAAUGCACUGCAUUCAUUUCUUGAACAGGGGCUUGCAGAAUCAACCAAGUAGAAAGAAAUGUUGAGACGCAUUUAACCUCAUUAGUUUCAGUAGGACUCUCUCCAAUCCAUCAGAGUUGAGCUACAUUAGAGAAACUCAACUAUUUCCAAAUCUCAUUUACAUAAUGGAUGAGAUGUGAAAUGAGCCCAAUGCAAGGGGAGCCACCCGGAGGCACUAAAGUUUAUCACAAUAUGUAAGAGUUCUUUUAGAUCAUCGCACUAAAUUUCCACUAACAAGAUAACAAAUUAAUUGUCUGUAUUACUGUACUAGCCCAAAGUCUAUUGAGUACAGAGUGUCAGCUGAGGGAGGCAGCUGGGGUUUCAAGGACUGUGGGUGGGGAAGGAUCCUCAGAGGGAGGUGAUGAAUGCUACCUUGGCUUUCUCCUGCCCCUUUAAGAAAUCCCAGGCACCUCUGUAAUCUGAUGGUGGACUUUGGCUUUAUUAGUGAGGUAAGCGAGGAUGAGUAAAUCAACUGUAUCAGACAAGCCUCAGGACAUCUAGAAAUUGAUCAUUCUGCCGAAAUAAGCACUCUGUGUUUAUUAGCUGGGAGUUCAUCACUAUCGCGUCUCCUCAUCCAAUUCCUAAGAGAUUUCAAAGCCAUCAUCAUGGUAUUAGCUUGUCUGACUGAACUACUAGAGAUAAAGAUUAGGAGAUCUAUCUAAUGAUGGGUCUGAGUUUCUGUGAUUUUUUUUUCUUCUAUUGCAAAGAAGAGAGCUUUCCUAGCACACACUCUGUCUAUAUGUGCAUGCCUGCACACAAGCACAAUGUGUUUCUGUUCUAUAGGAUUAAUUCAGAUAAUGGGAUAAAAAGUAGGUGGUUUAAAGAAAGGAUAAUCACUAAAACUUAAACUAUGAAACUUCCCAUACAUAACAAGACAGUACUUAAUAAGGAGAAUAUAUGCUAAAUUGAUUUCUCUAACCAGAUACAGUGGGUGAUAUCACACUAGAGAAAAAUAAUUAGAUACAAUAAUAUGUAUAAUUCCAACCCCCACACACACAAGGCCAGACUUCUACAGAUAGGUACAUGAGAACGAGUUCAUAUUGGACUGAUCUUUCAAAAACCAGUAAAUGUGCAUUUAUCUAUUUAUACCUAUAGUUAUAUACACACAUGCACUGAGCUCCUGAUAUCAAGCUUUUUUUCUCAAUGUGGCUUCUAAAUAAGCAGUAAUCAAAAUGCAAAUAAGGUGACCCAGUUAGCAUGGCGCUCCGUAUUACCAUGCAGAUGUGCUCUGCAGCUCUGUACUCCAGAGGUAAAAAGGAAGACCCCCAAAAAGAUGCAUAUAUUAACUGACAUUGAUUAGCCCUUCAUAUUUGAGGGGAUCUAGGGGAGAAUCUUCUAGAAACAAUGAUCCUACCGCUUAUAUUGCAUCUGCUAUGCUUGGCUUGGUCUGUUUCUAAGCUGCCCUGUGAAUUUAGACUCAAAUGCAGCACCAGAGGAACAGGAAGACUGGUUGUAUGAAGAACGUAACUCUUGCAGCACAAAGCCAACAUGCUGGCCUGAGACAAUCCAAGGACUUGGCUGGGUUCAGAGUCAUGGUUUUGCUACUAUCUGUGUGUAACUCUAAGGAAAGCAAGCUACAUCCCCUUUCUGUGGCUCAGAUAUAAUAAAGGACUGUGCUAUGUUUCCAUCCAAAUCUAAACUAAUUUACUUUGCAAAAGCUCCUGUGUGUUUGGCAAUAGCCUAUGCUAUGCUUUAUGUACUUCAUACUAGCAAAUUCCUAAACUACCUGAUCACCAAGUAGGUAAGAAGCAUAUUAGAUGCAGUAUACCACAACAUUGGUUCUAAUUAUAUGUAUACAUUUGGUCCUCCUGUGUUACUACCUUUUGCAGACCUCCUUUGUAUUUUCCAGAGAACAAGCACCCACUGCAGUUUUGUCAAGUUUGAGUGGAAUUAUAUCAACAUCAUGUUUGGUUCCAUUUUCCCUUUGUCCUUGUCCUUCUCGCUCUCUUUCUCUCUCUCUCUCUCUCUCUCUCUCUCUCUCUCUCUCUCUGUGUGUGUGUGUGUGCGUGUAUGUGAAAGAGAGAGAGAGAGAGAGAAUUAACUGGGACAGACAAAAACUUUCACCUGAGCUUAAAAGUACUUAUGAAUCUUGAGCUAAGUACAAAAUUUAUUUAGCGUCUAUAUAUUUGUUUGUCUCUCUAAGAAGAAGAUCUGAUAUCUAGGAUACCGGAAAGAUUAAAACCCAUCCAACUUGGGAUAUCUCCACUUUGCAUACACCUUUUUGCUGGCUUGGUCUUUCCACCGUAGGAUCAGGAGAAACUAACCUCCUGCAACUUAGAAAUUACUACAUAGAGUAAAAUACUCUUUAAUGUAAAGAUCCAUGUGGUUUCAGCAGACAUAGAUGCUGUCAUCUCAGCCAGUUUCUGUACCUCUAAAGCAAGAGUGACAAUAAAUAAUCCAAUUGUUUGGUGGUUUCUCUGACUCUAGAAAGCUUAGAAUCAGAAUUGUAAAGCUACAAUAGAUUCUGAGUAGGAGGAAACUGAAGCAGAAUGAAAUUCCAAGUCUUAUCCAAGUUCAUCCAGCCAGUGUGGGAAAGAGCUUGCCAUAACCCCAUGUCACAAUUCUCCUCUCUUGACUUUCAUAUUAACAAAUUAUUACUUUCUGAUGCAGUUUAUUAGCUGUAAGUAUCCACUGAAUAAGUUUUGUGUCAGUCUUAUACUAGGAAGAUACAGGAAAUGAGUAUGAAGUCUGUGCUUCCUAAGGAAUUUAAAUCUUAUAGCAGUCACAGAUAACUUGAACAUAUGAAACAGUUUAAAACAAGAAAAUUCAUACCAAAAACAAUGUAUCAUUAAAAAAAUAAUAGUGGUUAACAUAAUUAAGUGCUUACUAUAGCUAGGUACCAUGGUAAUUGCUUUUACCAAUGUAUUAGUUUUCUCUUGUUGCUCUAACAAAUUUUCAUAAAUGUAGUGGCUUAAAUAACAAAAUGUGCUGGGUGUGGGGGUGCAUGCCUGUAAUCCUCUGGGGAGGCUGAGACAGGAGGACCUCGGGUUCAAAGCCAGCCUCAGCUACAAUGAGGUGCUAAGCAGUUCAUUGAGACCUUGUCUUUCAAUAAAAUAUAAAAUAGAACUGAGGAUGUGGCUCAGUGGUUGAGUGCCCCCUGAGUUCAAUCCCCAGUACCCCCCAAAAUAAAUAAAUAACAAAAAUAUAUCAUCUUAUAUUAUUGGAUGUCAGAAUUCUAAAAUGGAUCUCACUAACCUGAUAUUAAGAUGUCAACAGAGCUACCUUCCUUUACAGAAACUUUUGGAGAAUUCGUUCUUUCUUUCUUCCUCAUCACCCCCCACCCCACCCAGUUUCUAAAGACCAUCUGUAUUCCUUGACUCAUGGCCACCUUCCUGCAUCUUCAAAGCCAGCAACAUACCAUCUCUCUGUCCCUAUUUCCUCCAUUAUAUCGAUGCUUUCUGACUCUUCUGUUCUGCCCUCUUCCUCCACCCCUGUGAUUACAUUGUGACCAUCUGGAUAAUUAAAUGUGUACUCCUGAUGUUAAGGUCAGCUGAUUAGCAACAUUAAUUCUGUCUGCAACCUUAAUUCUCUUGCCACAUUACAUGACAUUAUCAGGUUCUAGGAAUUAGGAUGUGGAUAACUUGGGGGGAGGAGGGGAGGGCAUUACCUAUCACACUAUAAAAUUCCUUUAAUCCUCACAACAACCUCAUUUAAUCAUUAAGGAAACUGAGGCAUGGAGAGUUAACCAAACUACCCAAAAUCACUCAGCGAAUAAAGUAGCUAGUUUGACUCUAGAAGAUGCAUUUCACUUCUAUUCUAUACUAUGCUGGAAAAAAAAAAGUAGUUUUAGAAUAAAGAAAUGUGUGGGCUAAAGUAGUUAAGGCACUGCCUAGAAGGUUUGUACCUGGAAGGAUGGGUGUGUAUAUUAUUUAUCCAUUUAUCCUUCCAACGUUUUGGAGUACUUAUCGAACUCAAAAAAUACUUAAUCAAACAGUACUUACUGAUAAGUACUUUGGGCAUUUAUUGAAAUAAGUAUUGGGAGCCAAAAGAAAAAAAAAAAAAAAAAAGAUGAGACAUGAUUCCUGACCUUGGAGCUCAGUUCAAGGUUAAUUAAUUUGCAGUUGCCUAGACAUUGGCAGAGAAAUGAACAAAUAAUUACAGACAGAGCCCCAGUCCUGUAGCAGAAGUGUAUCCAGGUGGAAAGACAACAGGUUGGAGGGAGGCACUAACUCUACCUGACAAAAGAUGUGGGUUUAAGUUUUCUCAGCUGCUUUUCCAGACAUAUCUCCCACUAUUAGCUUUUUAUGACUCAUCUUAAGCACUCUUCCCUCAGUAGAACAAGAAAGAACUGUUGUUCCUGCUUUAUUCCUAUCCUUCCCCAGCCCCAGCUGGCCCUCCCUCCACUUUGAGUUACUGAAGUCUACCCAUCUUUUAACACUGGGGUUUUUGUACCUGUGUCUGUUUUCCUGAAUGGAUGGUUGACCCCAUUUCAAUAUGAAGUGGCUGGGGCUUUUAUGGUAUCUGCCACUUAUGGGUUAUUAAUGGAUGUUGAAUUAAUAAGUGGACAAGAAGGAAACCACCCCAGAGCCCACUAGGAUCUCAUUUUCCUCCUGAUUCAUGAAGGCCUCCUAUCUUGUUGAGUUUAUUAGUUUUAUAAGUGUUUCCAUGGUAUCCUACUUUCUACUUCUAAACCAUCUCUGGGAGAUAGAAAUCACAACUUCUAAGGUGAGAUAGUCAGCUCUCAUAUAAUUGCUACUUUCAGAAUGAUGGAUCUUAGACCCACUGAAUAGUGUUCCACUCAAGAGUGACCUUGCCUGAAUUUUAUCUCUUAAAGUCCUAGAAUGAAGUAAAAAUCAUUUGGUACCAAAUUAAUGUUGGUGAGGCCACUGUCUCUGAGCAGGUGGUUUGGGAUCCAUAGGCACCUUGUUUGGAAUCCUUCUCAUGCUGCUUUCUCCAAGUCAUGAGCCUUGUAAUGCAUGGGCACCUAGGAAGCCAUGCCUGUGUCCAAUUUGCACAAAGGUGAGUUCUCUCUCCGGUAAGCUUAGCAUCCAUGGGGCUGUAUCCAUCUGGAUAGGUUGGUUUUGCUCAUUUACAUACAGAUGUCUCCUGAGCUGUAGAAGAGCUGCCUUUUGAUGAUUAAAAAAGCACUUUAGUCAUUGCCCUCAUAAAAUAUAAUGACUACCAUUAUGCCACAUAGAGACUAUUAGAAUGUAAUUCUUACAAAACAGGAACUUUAACUGUUUUGACCAAUGCCAUUUCCCUGGCGUAAUAGAUGUUAAAUAAAUCAUUGUUGAAUUAAUGAAUAAAAUGAUACAACAAAAAUGUUUAUUGACUUUUGCCCAGAAAAAUAUUAUUCCCAGAUUUCAAGAGUCUCCUUUAGUAGAUUCACUUUCUUCUGUAACACAGAUUUCCCUUUAUUGGACAUGAGUCCAAUAAAAAAGGCCACAAGAAAAAGGAGCAAUGGCAGGAUCUAAAUGGAAAACCAGUACAUUAGGAAAGAAUGAUUAUCAAGGUUUCAGAAACAGUUUCCUCUUGAGAAAACACAUCAUUUACUGGUUGACCCAAAAGUAAAAAUACUGUGGGGAAGGAAAGAUCAUUGAAUUGAGUCAAGAGACAUGGAUUUCAGCAUUGCUACAUCCACACGCAGAGUUUGUGUUCUUGAGCAUAUCACCUGAUCCUCUGUGCCCCUGUUUCCUCAUUUGUGAACUGGAACUCUCACCUGUUAUCCACAGAUGUAUUGGCCUCACCAUUAUUAUUAUCAUUAUUUUUUUUGUCAAAUGAUUUUUAUUUCAUUCUAGGACGUUAAAAAAUGAAAUUCAGGCAAAGUCACUCUUAAGUGUAAUGCUCUUUGAUGAGUCUACACUCAUUCUUUCUGAAAUCCACAAUUAUUUGAGAGCUGACUACCAAAACUCACUGUAAGGGACAGAUAGCAUAAUGUAUUCCAGAGCUCUUACAAGAUUAAAAACCACUAACCAUUCACUAUAUCUUCACCCCUAAUUAUUGCCAAACCAUGGCAUUCUGUAGAGAUGAUCAGCAAGGCAAAUUGAAGGGACCAACCAUCCCAGGCACAUCAGCCUCUCCCCCCAUGCUAGUCUGGGCUGUUUCACCAGGAAGCACAUGUAUUUGCAAAUAUUAGAAUUCGAAAAUUAUUGAAACCAUUCAAGGAGCCUAUAUUAACCAUAUACUACGUACAAGAUAUACUGCUCUCUGCAGUGGAUGUUGUGAGAUGAAUUACGUGGGAUUCCCCAGGGAUGAUUCCAUCAACUCCCUUGUUUUAAGGAAACCCUGUGGAAUCAGGACCCAGCAGCAAGUCAGAGGAUCUUAGAUAGUGCCAUCUCCUACCAAUUGUGAUUUUAGAGAAAUCACAUGACCUUUCUGAAACUUCAACUUCUCCUCUAAGAAAUAGGACUAAAUAGUAGCCAUCCACAAGGGUUUUUAUUUAUUUUUUCCCUAUGAAGAAUGAGGCAAAGUAGAUAACUAGCUUUGUAAACCUUAGAGCAAUGUUCAAAUGACUCUAAGGGGAGGCUGGUUUUUAUUAUCCAAGGUCACAAAGCUCAUUAAAGGGAUCCUGGGAAAGUCAGACACCAUAGACCCUGCUUUUCUGCUAUGACCCCUUUGACCUUGAGCAACCUGGGGAAGAGGUAAUUGAGCAGCAACUACUACUUCCGAAGAAACAGAAUCAAAAUAUUGAAGCUAUUGACUCACCUUAAGGCAGUAAGCAGUGCUUUGGUCUCUGACCUUUUUGCAUCCUGGGGCAGUCAAUAACCUGGCCACUAGAUACAGCCUGCUUCUGAUUUUGAUUUGGGAGUAGUUUAACCUUGAACUGAGCUCCAAGUAACCAAGGCAACAGGAAGUCAGCUUCUGCAUCGCAGGAGUUGGAAUCCAUAAAUCAAGUCCCUAAUGCAAACACGGUGUGCAGGUAGAGGUUUGAGGGGAUAAGUGGUCUAUGAGAAAUUACCUUUAAAAAUGAGUGACUGUCCCUUGAUAGGCUACCGCACAGUUUCAAAGACUUUUUAGAAAAACAAAUUUAUCAAUAGAGGUCAAUAGGUUAUAGCUGGAUGGUUUCAUAUAGGUUUAACUUCUUCUAUUUCCUCUUAGCUCUUUCUCUUAAUUAUGAACAGAUGUUGGAUCCACAAAGUUAUUAGCAUUGUUAUUUCCUCCUUUAAAAACAUACCGGCCUCCAAAUAUGCAAACUUCAGUGUGGCACGUGUUGUAUGGGGGCAUAGGCAUGCUCUGAACUCCACUAAGAGCCUUCAAACAGUCUGCUGCCUGAAUUUAGACAGAGAUCGCUUGCCAGAUCCAAGUCACCCCUGACUUUUCUCAUGCCCCAGUAUAAGCAGGGGAGCUACAUCUCAGUGGUCCAACCAGUACAAGGCUUUAUUAGGAUUCCUUUUGUGUAUGUGUGUGUGUGAGUGUGUGAGUGUGUGUGUGAUGAAGCUCCAGCCUCUAAAACCUUCCUCCUAUGGAGAGAGAGAGAAACCAAGCUCAUGCUGGGAAGAAACUCUCCAGAUGUCCCACCACUUUGGCCUCACACCCAGGAGCAUCAGAUGCCACCUGGAAUGAAGGGAAACAAACCCCCCGUGGCCACCUGCCCCAUACCCUCUCCCAAGGAGCAGUCACCCGUUCCAUCUCUCCAGACCUCUGCUCUCAGGCACAUUUCAUCAAAUAUUAAGUGUUCCUAGAUUAGCCUUUGUUGAAAAUAUCUAUUACUCUCACCCGUGUAUGUUAUUUCUGGGAUUGUUUCCAUUAUCCUUUCGAAAUCGAAAAAUUACUGAGAAAAAGUCAGGCCUGGUGUUUUUUUUGUUGUUUUUUUUUUUCCUUCUUCAAUUUGUUUCCCCAAAUUGACAACUCGCAAGCAGUACUAGAAUCGGGGAAAUCUUAAAUUAUCUAAGGGUUUUUGAAAAAGCCAAAUAGUGACAAUCUGAAUGACAGAGUGUUUUAAGUGUCAUCUUAUUAUGUUUAACAUAUUCUGUAACACAAACACUUGAGUAGCAAAGUAUGCCCAAUAGAGGUAUCAUCAGAUCAAUUUUAAUGAGAUGAUGUGGACUGAGACUCAUUUAGAUUGUGAACAUUUGCAUGAAAAUGGGUACAUCUAAAAUGACUUGAAAUUGAUUUGUUCCCAAGUGAGGGUUAAAUAUUCUUUUAUUGCCUUCAUUCCCCAUGCAUAUCAUCAUUUAAAGAAGUACCUGCCCAACCUGUGUCCACAGGUACAGAGAUGGCUUAACAGUGAGUUUUUCCAAAGGAGCAGUUAUCCAAUAGGACUGUGUUCUAUUGCUCUAGAGGUGCCAGGGAGGAUCUGCCUGCCUCUAUUCAGAGGGAAUCACACUGUGGUGGUGCAGAAGAUCAAAACAGAGAAUUGUCAUCAGACUGCUGCCUGCUCUCCCCAGCAUCAGAUUUGUUAGCAGCCAGGUGUUCAAGCUCAUCAGUCAUUCUACCCCAGUGCCCAUGCUCUGAUAGAUUUCUAGAUUUCCCCCAAACUAUGUGUAUUUUCUCAGUAGAAAAAUAAAGUUUAGCACAUAUUUAGAUUUUUUAAAAUAUAUUAACAAUAAAGAAGCUAGGGAGUAAAAGUGGACACUCUCUCCCCACCAAUCCUCCCUGAGCUCUCUGGACUCAAAGUCACCACCACUGCUUGGAUACAUUUCCUUACAGAUGAUCCUCCAUGCACUUCAAGGAUAUUAGAUGUUUGUUUCUAGCCUGCCACUAGCACAUCUGCAUAUUUUACCAGCAUAUAUGCACAAAUUUGUGUAAAUAACCACACCUACCCAUGUUUGUGUAUCUCAAUGGUUGUGCCUUGCAAUCUUUCUGUCAUAGAAUUUGAUAUUUGUUUAUCUUCACCUUCAAGACGCCAUGAAAUAUAAAAUUCAGAAAAAGCAUAGAUGGCUUUACUAUUUAAAUGUGGCAUCUUAAGCGGGUGUUUCAGAGACCAGGGUGGGGAAUGAGGUGAAGUUAACAGAAGGCAAAGUAAAAUGUCAGCGUGGGUUUCUCCUUAGGUCGUUACAAGUGCCUUUUCCAGGUAUGAUACUACAGUGUCUGUGUCCUCAGCCUGAAACAUGCUUCAACAGACUGGGGUGGUGAUUAGGUGUUACAGAGUACAGCCAGGCGGACCAAGAUGAUCCUGGGUUUUGCAUCUAUUUUUCUAGAAACUUCCAGCUCUGACAUAAAGAACAGUAUGAGUUUAUUCAGCUUUCCUUUAAGCUCUCAGAAAUGUUUUCUCCUCAUCUGUAAAAUUGAGAAAACAGUAAUAUCCACACCACAUGCUUCACAGGGUUGUCACAAGGCCCAAGUGAAGCUGAUCUCACUGUGGCAGUGAGAUAAUGGUACUCUGCAAAGGUUGGUUGCAUUGGAAAAAAAAAAGUGUCAAGAAAUACGUGAUAAAGCCCAGUUUGUUGUUGCUGCUGUCAGUGGUGUGUAGCCCACAGAUGAGGAGACCCUGAAUACCUGCCCAUUGGUGAAGGGUCACUUUGGUCAUGUCCGGAAAGAGAACUAAACUUUUGCUUACUGGUUAAAAUUAGUUCUGAGGAAGCAGUGGAUUAUAAUAAUUAUGAUAUAAGUGAUAAUAAUGAUGAUGACAAUGGCUAAGUAGUAUAGACUAUGUGACAGAUAUUGUUCUAAGCACCUUACAUUAAUUGACUCAUUGAAUUCUCUCAAAAAAUCCAACAAAAUAGUACUGUUACCAUUCCACUUCUGUUUGGGGGUUUUCUUUCUUUCUUUCUUUUCUUUCAUUUUUUUUUUUUUUUUUUUGAGACAGGGUCACAUUAAGAGGGCAUCACUAAGUUGCUGAGGCUGGCUUUGAACUAGCACUCCUCCUGCCUCAGCCUCCUGAGCUGCUGGGAACCAUUCCACGUUUUCUUCAAUUAAUUAAUUUGUUCUAAUUAGGUAUAUAUGACAGCAGAAUGCAUUUAAAUUUAUUGUACUCAAUUGGAGCACAACUUUUCGUUUCUUUGGUUGUACACGAUGUAUCAUCACACCAUAUGAGCAGUCAUACAUGUACCUAGAGUAAUGAUGUCCAUCACAUUCCACCACCUUUCCUGCUCCUGUGCCCCUUCCCCUACCCUCCCUUCCCUUUGCCCAGGCAAAGCCCAUUCCAACUUUUAAAGUUAUAAAAACAUAACACUUGAAACUGUAGUUUUAAAUAACUGUAGGUUGAGUAACUUGCUCUUGAUUUCACAACUGAAAAGUGGCAGCAUCUAUGUUCAAGCUCAGGAACAAAGUUUCAGAACAGCUCAUGAGUCUACCAGGCUUUUCAGCAUCAUCAAGACAAGUCUUGGGAUGCUUGUUAGGCUCAAACCUUCAAAGGCCCCCAGUUUGGCAUGUCCUUAGCCUUGUGACUAUUGACACGCACCAGUCUCCACAAUACAUUUCCUGCUCCAGCAGGCUGGGUUUUUUUUUUUUUUGUACAUAUAUUACUUGUACAUAUUAAUAGGAUUCAGUGUGCUAUUUUGAUCCAUUCAUACAGGUGCCCUGCUUGAAUACAGCCUCCUUUUAGCCAUCGUCCCCCCUUCCCAUUCUCUAGUGAUUAUUAUUCUACAUUCAGAUCUGUGUCUGAAUUAUUUCACUUAACAUAAACUCCUCCAGUUCCAUAAACUCAUCUUGAUGCAAAUGACAAGAUUUUAUUCUUCUAGAUGGAUGAAUAAUAUUUCAUUGAGUAUAUAAAUAUAUAUACCAUAUUUUCUUCAUCCAUUCAUCGGUCCAGGGCACCCAGGAUGAUUUCCUCUGGAUCCUGCCCAUUCUCCCAUGUGCUCUCCUUGCUGAUCUAAAAUAAGCUCUGCCAACCCUUGCCUCCCCUCUCCCCACACUGUUUUCUGCAGCCUAAGAACCUUCCGAGCACCUAGGACGAAUGAUACAUGAACUUGUGUGCACCUGCACCACAGCUUUUCCUUCUCAUUUAGUCUCAUCUACCCAGCUGCGAUGAGCAGCCUCUUUGUAAAGAUGGAUUGCUUGAUCUUCCAAAGGCUAAUGGGGGCCUGAUGCAUAUCCUCUUUCACUAGGCCUGUGCCCGGCCCCCACUUCCAGGCAGCCAACCUGGAAUGACAUCACUCCUAACCUCAGCCACAAAGCCAGUCAUGGUUAUGGCUAUUUCUUUUCCUUCAAAUUUUCUAAAAUGUCAUUUUUUUGGUACCAGAAGGAGUUCAAAUCAUUGUACUAUUUCCCAGGAUCAUAUUUAGAUUUUAUGUUGUUCGUCAUCCUGUUCCUUUAAAUCAACGGCAGGUUUUGGGUUGUUUUUUAGGGAUGCCAAGUCCCCACUUAAAAGUGGACCAGACGACAGUGCAUAGUAAGAACGAGGGCUCAGCGUCCACCGGGAUGACCAGGAAGAAGCCAGCUGUAGUUGACAGUGUUGCAAUUCCAUCCACCCCGAUGUUGUCUCUCCUCGCCGCAUCCGCAGCAACAUCAGAUGCAGGUGAGUAGUUUUCAAGUGUUUGGGGUUCGCCACCAUGAAGAUGGGGGAGGAGCAGUCCCACUAGGAGUGACCUGUUGAGUGCAGGUAAGAGUUCUCUAUUGAGCCAACUCCCAUGGACGCUGAGCAAGGGAGCAGCUCAGCACUGGGUUUUGCUCAUGGGAAGAAGAAAAGCAGAUUAAACAUGGAGCCUGGAGGUAGGGACGCUCUCUACAACUUUCCAGUUUAUUCUAGUACUGGUCCAGUGAGGACCAACUAUAUGAUAACAAUAUUCAUUCCUCUUUAUUAGCCUUAUUAAUUAUUAGUCUCUGCAUCAAAGGCCUUAUGCACAUUAUUCACAGAUCUUGCAAAGAACUCUUAUUUCUAUCCUCAUCUUCACAAGAGGAAGCUAAGAGGAAAGGCACUUGCCCCAGCAACCUGGGGACAGUCAGGAUUCCAAAGCCUAUAUUCUCCCACCCUGCAUUUCAUCACCCUGUAUGCUCAUCACUGUUGAAAAAUGGCAGUCACAGAGUUUACGUGAAGCCUUGCUACAUUCCACCCCACAAUUUCACCAACUCCUCUAUCAUUUCCAGAAUCCUUAACAGUAGUUGAAUUCCUUAUUCAGAUAUCCUUAGUUCUCUGCAGCCUGACCCCUUCCACCCCCGCCCUGUUCUACACCCCACACCACCAUCUCCCCCAGCCCCUGUGCCAACCUCGCUUUGCCAAUCUCACCUCUGCCACCAGGUGCACGGGCCUUGGUGUGACUUAACACUUGUACUUGGGGACACUCUUGCUUCUCGCUUACAUCCUGUAGCUCUUCAAGGCUCAGCUGGCAUGACUCUACAAACACCUUUAGUGACCAUUGUCUCUCCUGUGCCCUUAUUAUCUUCUGACAGACAACAUAAGAAAAGGCCCCCUGUUUAGCUUCUUCCCUGUAACAAAGUUGUACACAAGUAAGAGGCAGGGUCCAUGAUUAGAUUCUUCCUCUCUUUAUGAAAAGCAGAAGGAAGGCACCUUCCAUUGAUAUCUGCUGAAUAAAUAAAUAAAUGUGGUAAGCCUGCUACAGCAUUUAGAAAUGCCUGUCAUGAUCAGAAACCCAAGAGGAAACUCAUUAUUGAUAUUCACUCCAAACUCAUCUUCUCAUUCAGCAGGUGGCUUUAGGCAGAGAACUUGUCUGUAUUCCCACCUCCUUCGUGGAAAUCACUAGUAACCAGAAAAUGAGCACAAUUAAAAUAACAGAAAGAAAUACUUGGAAGGACACUUCCUAAAUUGAGUUCAGCAAAAUAUUGGCAGAUGUUCUUGUGAAAUGUUAUUUAGUUUAUUAGUGUGUGUGUGUGUGUGUGUGUGUGUGUGAAGCGAGUGUAGGUAAUGCUGCCUUCCUUCCUGCAAGACUUUUCUGGGUGUUUGAGUGACCUGUUCUCAUUGUUAGGCCCUGGGAGGGGAGGCACAGAAUUCCACAAUCUUAUUUGAUCACAUGACUUGUUUUUCUGGGACUAGCUUUUGAACUUAUUAUGGACACAGGAUUCUCUCCGUUCAUUUGAAAAAUAUCUUGCUUUAAAGGAAUGGGAUCGUGAACCUUUGUGCCUUUCACAUAUUGGGUGUGAAAGUUGUUUUUUUUUGUUGUUGUUGUUUUUUGUUUUUUGGGUUUUUUUUUUGGUAGAAAUGGCAGGUAAAUGAUGUCAACAAGGAGAAUAAGAUAUCAAAGAAAGGAAAGUCAGAAAGGAAUGGGGGAGGGCCGCCCCCGAGUCUUGAUGGAACAGUGGCACUUUUGUGAAAGGGAAGAGGGAAGCAUGUGGGCAGACUUCUGGAAGGGGAAACUGGUGUCAGGACUGAAACUCUGGGAAGACAUCACUUAGCUAAAGUAAAAGAUUUGAUCUGUGGACUUCACUACCGACCCUGCUAAUUUUUUAUUCAACCUUGUCAGUUAAGCAUGCAACACCUGCCUUUAUGGAGUCAGAAAUCAGCCUGUUCUGCCUUUGUGGGCCAAACAUAAAUAUUUUCUGGGGGACAAAGAUAAGUGGUCCCCAGUUUUCUACCCUGCAGUCUUUCCACUCAGUGUGAGUGACACCAUUCUUAGAUGACAUGCUUAUAUACGCUUGUACCCAGUAAUGGACACAUAUGCCGAGCAGGAGAAAGAAACGGGUGGGUAUUAGACUUUUAAACCUGCCUCUCCUGUAAUCAGAGCUAAGCCAAAACUCUCCUGUUUCAGGAUGCGGGAACAGGCUGUUUAGUUUUGGCAAUACUAAAAAUGAGACCCUCAUGAGAAUUGUACAGAUUUGGUUCAUUUCCGGAUCUCAGGCUGCCGAGCAGAACUUUUGGGGGGAAACAAGCCAGAGAUCUCCCCAGGUGCUGGAAGCCAGUCCUUCCUGAGAUUUCACUCCCCACAGAUAAAUGGUUUCCCACAAACCUGAGAGAGUUGGGAACACACUAGCUGGGCUUGUGUCCAAUGCUCUGUUUCACACAUGAAGAGACAGAUACCUCCUGAGAUGCACAGAUUUGCCUGAGGUCAUACUAUUGGAUGGGAACCCAAUUUUUUCUGAUUUACUGGUUGAUUACAAUGGAACCCCACUUCUGUCAUAGGCUCAACAUGAGCAAAAGCAGAUUUGUUUCUAACUAUGAACCUCGACUUCUUUGGAGAAUAGUCUAAUGGAGUAGAUUGUGCUCACCAAAACCAAGUUUUGCAUUUGAUUUCAUUUAAUUGGGUGCCAUAGUCAUAUCUAUUUCUGAUGAGACCCCUCGAUUGAUUUUUGUUUUCUUUAGAGUGCCUGUCAUCAUCUUCUGGCUUUAUGCAGAAAUCAAUUUAUUGAUAGCCUAUUUCCUAACAGAUAGUCAUUUCUAUAGUAUAGUUCUGAAGAAGUAGAAAAAAAAAGAAAUAAAAGUUAGACUAAGUGGUAAACAAAGCAAAAUUAAUUCAAGAAAUCACUGAGAGAUAAGAAGAUAUUGAAAUAAUCUAAUUAACUAGAAAUUCCUUUUAAAAAAAUAAUGAAUGCUAAAUGACCUAGCACAGUUCCUGACGUAUAGUAGAUACUCAAUAAAUAAUCACUGCAUAAAAUGAAUAAUGGAGAACAGGAGCUGUGUGCCUCUCCAGUAUGAGCAAGAUGGGAGAUGUCGGAAAAAGACAUGCUCAAUCUUGAAAGUACUUAACAAUCAAACAGAAAACAAUUGACAGGCACAUUAUAGGUUGUUGGUAGAUACUUGCCAAAUAAUUGAUCUGUAGUUGUUUUUUUUUAAAAAAGGAACAUUUCUCACCUUGUUUUAUAAAUCUAUGAUAUGAGAGAAAUGAGUGAGUGUGGGUAAAAGGUUUAAAAGUCUGUCCUAGCUUAAGUGCAGGAGGAACACAUGGACAUACGCAUGAACCAGGGACCACCCCUCCCGUGAGUAUUUUUAAGGCACUUUUUUUUGUUUCUCAGAGUCUGAGAUGCAUACUGAUUGUGAAGUUAUUGAUUUGUUGGAGGGACAGCGAAGACACAGGAGAGUGUGGCCACUGAAAACAUGUCAGUUCAUGAGCUACUGGGAGACUGGGAAGGGAGAGGUAGGGAUGGCAGUGGCUGCCACCAGUGCUCCAGCAGGUCAGCGUGCAUGAUCAAACUGCUCAAUGGCUAUUGAUCGGCUGCAAUCCCCUGGCACGGGAAAGGAGGUCUGAUUCAGGGGAGCACCACAUCAUUAUUGUAAGUAAUUAGGGCUAAUGCAGUAAAAGCUUCAAUAAAGUUUGUUCAAAGUGAUGCAUAAUUUGAAACAACUUCUGUAACACUUGCCCAAUAAUGAUUUUAUAAACAUAUUAGAUAAUCCAUACCAGAAUAAGUCAGGCUAAUUUUUCUUGUCUUCUGCAUAUUGAACUAACUUCUCAGAGAGGUCAUGCAAUGUAUAGAGAAUUUAUGACUUUUCUCUGAGGCAUGUGUUUUUCUUUUUCCCUUGUAUUUAAGAUGAAACUGUGUUAAUAGGUGUAAUCCAAAUUGUAGUAAGAACUCAGUAAAACAUCAGGAAACAAAAACUAUUAUGAUUUUUGCCUCUAAAGGUCUAGAUAAGGAGUGAUGGGAAAUCCAAUAUAUCCUUUUUGCACUCUCGCUCUCUCUUUCUCUCCGCCCCCCCAUAUUAUUCUCUCAUCUUUAGUCCAAGAACAGUAACAAAAAAAAGACAUGUAUUCAGGAUGCUGUUAAUGAAUCUCUAAUACUCAAGGUGUAACUCUGACAGAACAAGGUAGACUGAGCACAAUUCUCAGUUUCUAUAAGUUUUAUCUCGAGGAGAAUCCACUACUCUCCAAGACUAUGUAAUUUACCUUGUUCUAAAAUACCAUAAGUAAAUGAAUGUAUUUAAGCUUCACAAGUCUAUUAAAUCUGUAGGCAUUUUUGCUUCUCAUGACUGAGACUGAUAUUAUUAGGUAAACUGAUUAUUAACCAAACUUUUAGCCCAAUCAACAUCAACUAUACCUGUAAUCAAGAUUACAUUAAACAUUAAAGAUUAAUUACCUUUUCAAAUAAUAGCGUGAGUUCUUAAUUCUAAUGGUAUCCUAAUGAAGUCCAAUGUGCCAAUAGCUGGAAAACAAUGAUGAUGUAAAUUGUGUCUGGCACCCAAUUUUAUGAUGCCUGGUUCUUCUCUCCAUCAUCUUCCAUCUGUGAGGAGGGUCCCGAAUAGCAAAACAGUCUCUGGGUGCAAGAAAGCAAUGACUAGGAAUUCAAGAAUUGAACAAUUAUUUUUUUCACUUGUGUUUUUGAAUUUGGGUGGAAUCAUGGCCUAACAUUCCUAACCAAAAUAACAAGCCAAUUCAGCCAAUGUCUUGUCUUUCAAAAGAACCAGAGAAAAUGAAAGUAAAAUUUAAUAGGAUUUGAAACAUCCCAGGGGUACAAAUGUAUAUAUUGAAGAAAUCUUCAAAUUGUGAAAUAAAUUCCUAUGAACCUAGACUAAUUGAUUAAAAUAUACAGUACAAAACCUGAAAAGAUCCAGAGAAAAUAAAGCUUAAUUUUAAAACAAUCAUUCAAAUUGCCUGAAAAGUACCCUACCCAUAGAUGCAUAUUGGAGCAUCAGAAAAUAAGUCUGUGUCCAGAAAGCUCUGCUAGAAGUGUCAGGCCCAGAGCAACUGCUCUCUCUUCUCUCUGGGCCACUAGAGUGCCCAGCAGGGGCGGAAGCUGCUGUGCUUCCUGAGGGUCCAUCACACCAAAGCCUUUCUGAAAGACCACCAUAAUUAUUGUUAUUUUUAUCCCAAAAGGAGUACGUGAACUCUUUUCUGAUUUAAUCUGGAUAUCCUAAAUCACCAGAGCCAUUUCUGUGGCCCAAAGCUAUAUCAUUCCAGAGAAGCAUCAACUUCUGGCCUCUGCUUUCCACUGGGCCUCAUCUUGGAAAUCCUGGCCAGCUCAGCACUCCUUGGGAUCUCCAUUGCCAGAGCAUGAUUUUCAAAGGAUCCAUAUCAAAGCUUCAUGCAGCUCUUUAACAAGGAAAAAAGCAAGCUGGUAAAGUUGGUCCAAAACAGAAUUAGAGGAAUGGGCAUCAGAGAAAGGGAGGCAUUGGAGAAAACAUGUUGAGUAAGAUUGUUCAGUUAACAUCCUACUAAGCGAUAAACACAUAACCUCUAUGCUCAUCUUUCCUACCAGAAAAAAAAUAAAUUAUUUUCCUGGGAAAAAAACUCCAAGUUAAUAUAGAGACUAACAGGUUCUGGCCUUUGAGUCUGUAGCAAAUAGCAAGUGCAAGCGCUCACAUCUCCCUAAAUAAUUAACAGUCCUCAGGCAGACGUCAUGGUGGAGUAAAAGGAUAUGCACCCUUCACUUUCCUUGUUGCUAAGUUUGGGCUUGUUUUUCUUACACACCUUGGAAUGCUCCAGUUGAAUGUGCUUCAGAUUGCCUGCAUCUACACCUUGGUGAUCUCAGACUUCCAUGUUCAUGUCUGUACAAUGAGGAGAAAGUACCACCCAUGGUAGAGGACUAUGGUGGAGAACAUGUGGAAUAACACUUAGAAAAGUAGCUUCCCAUGUAUAGCAAGAGCUCAGCCAAUGGGAGUUAUUAUUGCUGCUGAUAUUAUUACUGUUAUUGUUAUUAUCUGCUUCCUGUCUGGAAUUUUUUUCUCUUCUAUACUUACCCUCCAUGCCAUUUGAUUAUCUAAUUCAUGCUUGGUCUUCAAAUCUCAGCAUAUAUAUAUAUAUAUAUACACAUAUAUAUAUAUGUCUUUGAUUCUAAGACACUGACUUUAAGAACUGUUCCAAGGUCAAUUUGGUACCACAGUCUCAGUGCCACCAUGGUGCACUGCAUAGUACAGCGUGUCUGUGUCUGUGCCUACUCCUAUGUCUUACACCGGGCUGGAGAAUCAUCCUCUCUCCAGUCAUACUUUAGUUAACUUGGAAACUCCAAUCCCUAGCACUGAGUUGGCAAACAACAAAUAAUCAUUAAAUAUAGAUCAAAAUGCAUUGUGUAACAACUGCUUCCUGCACAACAAUUUGGUAGAUGCCAAUAUUCACUCUAAUGUUAUAUUCAUUAGAGUAGAGAGACAACGAUUUCCUUUUAUUUUCCAUAUCAGCACCAGAAACAAACCAUCCCCAGGAUGCUUAGCCAAGGGUGCAACCAGGAAGGGCCCUCCAGUCUCCUUGUUCAACAAUGGCAGCCCUGUCCCAGGUUAAUCCCCCAGAGCAUCUUCAGGGAAAAUUAUUUUGGGGUAAAGAGUCAGCCCACAAGACAUUGUAUGUACAAUACAAGAGUGUAUUUUUUUUUUUCAGAGAAGAGCUGGAGAAUGUACACACUAGAUGUCCACCUUUACUCAGGUUUAUGGAAUUUUCAGGAUGAGCUAGCUACUCAGUGAAGAACUGGAGAUUACAUUGCCCUAUGCUGUACUUGAAUUAUUUUAUGUGAUGGUCUUCCACUGUGGCUGGAAUAUUGGCUUCCCUAGGCAGUGACCAUUUCCAAUUCAGAUUUUGUCUCAUUCGAUGAGUUGGGCAUCCCAUGGAUUCUUAGACCUUUAGAACAAAAGGAGUAAAGAUAAGGGAAAUAAAACCCAAGAAUGCUGCUAUUGAGCAAUUCACAGUCCUAUUUUGGUGACAAGAACCUUGUGCAGAACUGGGAGCAUAGUACAUACUCAAUAAACACACCUGGACUUAAUUUAGCUAAUGAUUUCCUCUCUAGAGCUUUGAUUUUUUUUUUUCCAUAAGACAGGUUUUAAUGACAGGUUCGAAAGUGCUGUGUCUGUGAGAUGUUUAACUCAAUUUAUCUUCUCUGAAUGCUUCAUACAGAUGAUGCUCCCAACCACCUCAUGCCACAGUCAGACUUAAAAAUAGAAUAAUGAUAAUAAUACAUUUUAUCUUCUUCCCAGUGAUAGUAUCAUUCACACCUCCAUUGAAGCCCAGUGGGAGGCUUGGCUGUGAGGCACUAGUCGCAGGGGGGGUCAGGUGCGAUUAUUGUAAUGAGCGCACCACACUCAGCGAAAUGCCAGAAAGAAAACCUCCCAUACGUGAAGCGAUUUCUAUUAAGAUACUCAUUUUAAAUCAAAUAUUCAAGCUCUUCUUUAUAAAUGGGGAGAGAAUGAAAAGAGGCUCUUCCACGGGCAGAUUUUAUGUCGCUGAGAAGGAGAGAGCGCACAUAUUUUAUGAUCAGUCUUGAGAUGAAAGUUCGGUGCCUGCCUUGUUCCCCGGCUCUUUCCAUUUCCAGAAAUCUAAUUAAAUUGUUGGUUUAAUGGUGGCGAGAUAAUUUAGUGGCAACUGAAAGCAGCUAUGUUAAUGAGAAGGGGCACCGGGCUUUGGGUUUCCUGUAAUUAAUGGGAGAGUUUUUGAAAAACUUCUUGGUUCCAGUGAAGUUGGUAGGGUGAGCCCAGCUGUUGAGACUGAGGCAAAGUCUUUCCUGCUCAUUGCUGGAGAAGUCGCCUCAGGCAUUGUGGAAGAACUGUGUAAUGACUGUCAUUAAGUAUGAUCUUGAGUGGUCCAGGCAGCCUGCAGUCAAGUCUAAGAGCAGACAGUCAGCAAGAGGCUUAGGGAGAAAGGAGGCAGGGAGAGACCAGAGUAAGGAUCAUAAGACUGUCAUACCCAGAGAGAGACAAACAGACAGACAGAUGAGAUCACUUACCCUUCUGCCCUCCCUCCUACCCCUGGGAGGUGCUGGAGUAAUCCUAGCCCAUCUUCCCUGGGGGCCUCCUUCUGUUGCUUCCACUGGAGUAGACUAAACAAGACUGACCUGGAAUAUACUAGAAGGGAGCUUUGCCAACCACUUCAUGUUGCCUAUGAGAAAAUCAAGCCCAGAGAGGUUACAAAUAUUACUUGAUCAGGAAUUAGAAACAUGGGCUCUUUCAGCCACCACAGCAUGGGAGAGUAGAAACGGGUUUGGAACUCAGGAUCAGGGUCAUCAUGGAGUUCUGAUACCCAGUAUUUCCUAAAUAAGUCCCUGAGUCUUAGGGAGACUUUCUCAGUCCCUCUUUCCUCAUCAGUGAAAGGGGGAGAAUAAAGUCUGCCUUUUAAGCAGGAAUAUGAAAGAAAUGAAGGUGAAAACUCCCAUCACAUAUUCAAAACUUAAGGGCCCUGCUCAUGUCAAAUAUUAAGUCACGGCAAGUCAUGAUUUAAUCAUGUGAAGUCAUAAUUUUGUCAUAUUAUGAGUCAGAUCAUAGCAUCCUCUAUGUCCUCACUCCCUGUCCAUAUAUCCUUAUCACAGGGCAUAGGCCAAGCUGCCUAUUCUUAGGGAUUUUAGUUACUACAUUUAGCUUAUCUUACUCCAACAUGGUUAAGUAUGCAAACCGUUAAAUAUUUGUUUCCAAAAAUUUUUGUUAUCAAUUGUCAAUUUUUAAAGCACCUGUCCCGCUGCACUCAAUCCUGAGUGACAUAUGUAGGUGUAAGAUCAGCCCUUCCCUCUGGGGAUGCUCUCACUCCCUUGAAAAGACCUGGCUCCAGAACAUGAGAUGACCAAGUCAUAUUUUUAAAUGAAUAUUUUGAGUAACAAGCUGACAAACUGACAGCUACCAUUCAGCCAUUUAUUGGUCAUUAAUUUCCAAUUAGGGGAGUUCUGAGACAGCAAGAUGUCCUGGGAAGAAAGGAGUGAAGAUGGUCGGCUAAGAAUGGGCUGAACUAGAUAAGCAGACAGAAGCCCGGAGGACCGGUCUACAACAUUUCUGACAUAGCUUAGUUUUCACCUGUUUUGUAUCAGUUUUUAGUCCUAUCUGUGGGGAAAUUAUGGCAAACGAUGCUGAAGAGAAAUUUAGGAUCAGACACAAAGUCUGAAAUUCUAGACUAAAGCCUGGUGGCCAUCCCUGAUGGGUAGUGAUAGAGCAAAAUGAUGGCCAUGAGCCAAUAUCCAUCUACAGUGGUAUUUUGAUUGUCCUGCAGAGGAUUAUAAUUUUAAAAAUUAAUUAGCAGCUGUAAAUAUCACAAGAUUUACAUAAUAAUCAAGAUUUCUGGCUUUUUGAAACACAGACUUUCUGGCAUUUUUGAACUCAGAAUCUUAUCUGACAACAAAUGGCUGGAGUGAAUGGCAUUUUUGAACUCAGAAUCUUAUCUGACAACAAAUGGCUGGAGUGAAAUAACAUUUUCCCAUUAGAGGGGAUGUACUCUCUUAGCUUUAUCAUGUCCUUCCUCCCUCACAGUGGACUAGGCUAUCAUCCUGACCCACUUCCCUCAGUAGAUUGAUUGACCCUCCCCUGUUCAAAAUGCUUGGAACCAGAAAUGUUUUUGAUUUGGAAUGUUCUUCAGAUUUGGGAGUAAUUGCAUAUUCAUCAUGAGCUAGCUAUAUUGACUAUGCUCCCUAUAGGGAGUCACCAAAGGCAUUUGACCUGGAUCAAAACAAUGAGUAGGAGCACUUACUUAGUCUAGUAGGAAUAGCAUGUGUGAUUUGUAGUAAUGCUUUCUGUUAUUCAGUUAUAGAAUUUGGGGGUUGGGAAAGUCCUUUGAGAUUGUGAAAUUGAGAGAGCUUUGGCUCUUUGGUGCUGUCAGUAGUAGCAACAAGGGUACCCCUGGUAUGCUCACUCUUUGUCUAGCUCCCUUUCUUCUGCCUCUUUCCUAUAAAAUAUGCAACUAGCUUUGAAACAGGGUAGCCCUUGCUUGAAUUGUGGAGUGGUGGCUUCAAAGGUAUGUGCCCUUGGGGAAAUUACUUAACCUCUGAGGUCUCUGUGAUCAUCUCAGUACAACAGGGAUGCAGAGGUCUCAAGUGGUUGUUAUCACAUGUGAAACACUGCAGCCUGCAUUGUAAGUCCUCCAAAAAUGAUAGUUCCUUCUCUUUUUCUUUAGUUUCAUUUGAGCGCAUGUAGGAUGCAUACCACUCACCUUAUAUGGUCUAAGAAAUGGUACAAAGCAUGGAUGUGAUGGAAAUAAUCAUUGAGUAAUUGAAUGAAAACCACCCAUCUCUAUUAGCAAAGAGAAAAAGCCAUUUUUCUCCCUUCUCCCCCACCCAAGAUGCCUAAAGUUUACCUCUUCUUUUAGUAUCCUUUGAACUAAGUCUCUUCUUCUGUUUUAUGAAGUCUACUUUGGAAAGGAGAUGCAAAGAAACAGGUCAGAGUCUUCCUAACUGUCUUAGAGUUUCUCAAUGAUUGAAGAAUUCAUCUUGUCCAGGAAUUAUGUUUUCAUGAUGCCUCUUUAAACUAAGAGGUAUCAGAUGUCUUUCCUAUGACAAUCAGGAAACAUGAAUUUUAAACAGUGAGUUUAAAAGACAGAGAGAAAGACUGAACUUAAACUGUGUGAUGCUAUCAGCAAAAUGUGUGAAUACUCUGUGGGUCUGGAUCCCAGAAAGAGGACAGACCUCAGAACAAAAGAGAGAAAGCCUGCCUGCUAUUCCCCAUCAGUCCAGCAGGGGAUCCAGAUCAGCCUCCCUGGUGGUGAUGGGGUUGGGGGUUGGGUAUAGUUUUGUUGCUCAGAAGCACCCUUUCAAAGGAUCUUCGAGUCCUCCCAUGGCUGAAGAUGUUUUGAGAGGACUUUUCCUUAUUUUGAAAUCCAGUUUUGUUUGUGCCUAAAUGCCCACAAUCCUGGUCUUUGUCUCAUGCAAGUUGCCAGAGUGAAGUGAUUUGGGCUUUACAUAUGGAAAGUUCAUUUUGUUGUGUAAUUAAUGGGAAGCAGACUUUGGAAGCUGAUGAUCCAGGCCCUUAUUUAUAUGAGAGCAUAUGUCUGUGUUUUGUUUAUGACUCACUCUCUUACUCCACGCAUCGUAACUUGGGUUUGUUUACACUAACUUUUCCUAGAAUCUGAGCCACAUGGUAUAGGAGCCAAUAAUUUAUAGUCUCUAAAAGGGAAGCAUGAUGAAUGAGCUUUUUCCUUUCAAAUUGUCAAAUCUUAAAUUGAGGGAAAAGUAUUUGGUGCAUUGAGUCUGCCCAAGCUUAUAUUGGGGGAAAAAAUAAAAAAGGAAAAAGUUAAAGCAAUAAUUUUUUUUUUCAAAAAACUACUGGUAUAGUGCUCUGAACAUGAACAUAAAUAUAUUUGCCAAGACAGCAUAUGACCCCUUACCACAAUAAAACCAUUAUAAUUCAGAUUCAAAUGUUUAGCAGUGAAAACCCAUUCAUGGUACAGGCUAUGGAUGUUUGGGGGCAAGGGACUGCACAGGAAAUCUCUGUACCUUCUGCCCUGUUUUUCUCAGAACCUAAAACAGCUCUAAAACAUAAAGUCUAUUUUUUUAAAGAGGCACAUUAAUUUUCUUUACAUCCAUAUCUAUUUAUCUAUCUGGUUUUGGUUAUAUAUGUAAAUAAAUAUAUAUACACACAAAUACACACUUUUUGUGAGUGUGUGUGUAUGUGAGAGAGUCUUGGGGGUUAGAUAACUAACAUAUGUUUUCGUGUUCCUUUCUAGGGACCCAUAGUUUCAAUCAAUCUGUGGUUUCAAAAUGUUCCUGCUGAUUUUUUUAGUAGCUCAUAAUAAGUUCCAAACUUGUUUCCGUCUUUUUUUUUUCUCAAUGGUGCCUUACAAUUGCACUACAUCCACAGUUCUAUUUAUUUAUGUAUUUAUGUAUAUAUGUAUGUAUGUAUGUAUAUAUUGAGGCAGUCUGGCCUUGAACUUGCAAUCUUACUGCCUCGGCAUCUCAAGUCACUAGGAUUAUAAGUGAGUGUCAUGCCCAUUUUUGUCUGUGUUCUUGUUAUUGAAAUUCCAUUUGUCCCAUGGAGGAGUUUGGCUACUCAUCUAUAUUUCACAGUAUUUUUGGUCAGGCCUUAGAGAGUCCAAAUAGUUAAUGGUGCUCCGAGGAAAGCAGGAAACAGCUGAAAUAUGUGAGGAUCUAAUUUAAUUUACCAUGAUUUGGAUCUUUUUCAAAAAACCCUUUCAUGUCCCACACUGAUUCUGGUAAGUGCUGGUUUAGGUCAAGUCACACAGAUUGAUUUCAGGACAAGGAAGUCAGCUCUGUUCUGUUCAUGGGGAGACAGUCACAGAAUUCCCUGCCUCACACAGGGCCUGGGACAAUGAGGGGCUUCAUCAAUAUUUGUUCCGAGAGUGGCUAAGACAUGAUCCUGGCCCCUUAGGAAAACACAAUUCAAGGAGAGAGAUAAAUAUAGAUUCAUCCCAUAAUUUUCAUACAGGAUAGACUAAGUGCAAUGCAAUUAGAGCGAUACCAGCAAUGUAGAGCGAGAAGAAAGAUGAGUGUGGAAAUGGGGAGGGGGGCAUGAAUAGCUCUUAGGAGGAGGACUUAAGUGGAGUUUUGAAGAAUGGGCAGGAUGUCUCUGGAUGUAAGGUAUUAAUCAAAAGCUGUAAGACUGAAUUAUAAACUGAAUCCCAGAAAGAAUUUGGAAGAACCAGAACCACAAUGAGUAUUAUUUUGUUCUGUGUCCUUUUUUAUUAUUAUUUUUCUCACUAGGGCAGGAGUGUUGCCUCUGGAUAAAAGAAAAAUGCAAGACUUUUCUCCCUUUCUGACAUCAGAUGUAAUAUCCUCUCUAUCACUGACAGAAAUAAUAGAAUUGGGCACACACCUGUAGGCAAUGCAAAGUUAUUGUUUCUGGGGUACAUCCAUCAUCCACUAAGCAUACAGAUACAACAAUAUGAGAAAGUCAAAAGCAAUGGGUAUAAUUGUUUUUAUGAAAAGUACAAGAAUACCUUAUUGUGUAAAUUGCCAUUUUUCUUAAGAGUCUUCAAUAAAAAGGAAAAACAUGGCCUGAUUUUAAGUCUCUUGAAUCAGCUUAGAGGAGUUGGAAGGGACAGUCAUUAACUUUAAGAAUAUUUAAACCCUUUGAAAAACAUCCCUAACAACCUGAGAAAAUAAAAUUUAAAUUUAAAACUUUUGCAACAGACCAGGCACUGGACUAAGAUCAAUACAAUUAAACUUUGCAGAUUUCAAUGGAGGCUUGCAUUUAAGCUCAAAAACCAAUUCUGUGUAGCAAUGGCCAGGUUUGGUCACAGUUUUAGUCACAGGUUUGGUCGCAUUAAGGGAACUAAUUGAAUCUCCACCUAAUAUGAGCCAAUAGUAUGAUGUUAUUAAAAAAAAAACUUAAGGUAUUUUUAAAUGUGGACUUUAUUAAUAUAAGUGCUCUGCCUUUCGCUCACUGAAAUUAAUUAACCCAGUUUUUCUGUACUAAACACUUCAUGCUUGGUAAAUGAGUUCAAUUCUGAGCACCAAAAUUUUACAAGAGCUUUGACAGAUGAUAAAACCUCUAGAGGAUGGUGAUCAUCUAGAAUUCACAUAGGUGAAGGAAACAUAGAUGAAGGAUUUGAGGAUGUCGUACUGAGAACAGAGAAGUCUUGGAAGUAUAUGAGUUUUUACACAUCAUAUUUAUUCAGAAGUAAGGCUCCUUCCACGAAAUUAAGAGAUUUGUCUGGAGACGCAUAACAAGUUCAAACUAGAAUCUCGUUCUUCUAAUGUCCUAGUCGACAUGUUUUCUCUCAUGUUCCCAACAACAAACCUGAAUAUCACAUAAGCAAAAGCAGUUAUUAAGAACAAGAAGAAAAACAGAGCAUGGAUGUCUACUGUUUCAUGUAAUUCUUUAAGUUGUAGCAUGAGCAACAAAGAUUGAUUUCAUCUGAGCCUAUAUAUUUAAAAUGUAGAAAUUGUUCUGAGUUCGUGUUGGUGUGUUUAUUCGUUCUUCCCUGCAAUUUUUUUCCCCCUGAAAUUUAAAAGAAAGAAAAUCUUUCUCCAUCAGGUAAAAACAGGCAUGUGUAGUAGAAGAUUAUAUAAGGAUGAUAUUUAUGGUUAACGAUAAAGCGACACCAGAUUUGAGAGGACAGAAAAAAAGAAAUAUAAAGAGCCCUUUGAGAGGGUGCGCCCACCCCCACUGGGUGGCCAACUGGCAUGCUGUGAGACUUAGCAGAUGUAGCUUCAAGCAUGUUGGCAUUCACUCCAUUUCUAUCCAGCACCCCCCAACCCUAUGUUGUCUACUCAAUGUGCUGGGGCUUGAUCCACAUUGCAACAAACAAAGGCUGAGAUCCACUGGAACAGAGUAGGGCUAAAUGGCCUUCAUCUUCCUCAGUUUACCAGUGCCACUCCUUUCAAUUAACUCCCUAACUAAAGUUUAAUAGAUCACCCCCAGAGAAGCUCCCACACUUAAAAGACUCUUCAGUUGUCCCUUCCUGGGUGAUCCCAACAUGAACAGUGCACUGGUGAAUAAGCACCAUGCAGCUUUUAGGGAGCUGUGAUCUCCUGUUUUGAUUGUUCUCUGAUCUCUGGGCCUGCCAAAAUCCAUUUGCUUUUGAUAGUGGUUCCUUGAGCAACCUAGUAAUGUUCCUUACUCGGCUCAGACUCACUCCCAAGUGAAUGAAUCACUGCUGUUUUUACUUGUCCAAAGCCACAGAUGACUUGUCCAACCCCAGGCUCAUGAGAAGUCAAGGACUUUGAAAAACCAGGGAGUAGGACUAGAGACUUCCCUAACUACAUGAAGGAUAUCAGCAUCAAUCUCAUUGUGGGAGCACUCUCGGGCAGGCCGCUCUUGUGAGGGCCACGGAAUCACCUGCAAUUCAAUUCAUAAUGCUCUAGGGAAUGUCAGGAUUCAUGGUACCCAGUCUUGUUCUUUAGGAGUUCAAAACCUGAACACUCUACAGGAAAUAUUAAUCAGGCACCUACCAUGUGCCAGGAGCUGCAGGACAGAACAACACAUCUCUGUCUGUCUUUCAGAAGCAUUAACUCUUCUUAGUCAUGAGCACAUAGAAAGCUGAAAUCCUCUGGGAUCAAAUGCUGAGUGAAUGAAUGAAUUCUUCAGGAAGUUAAAGAAAAGAAAGGACAUUUUUAAGGCAGUGGUCUCCAAAUUUUUUGAUCCUGUAAUGAGAUCAGUAACAUAAUUUUGAAUAGUCACUCCAUUUAAAUAUAUACUUAGAAUUUAUGCAAUCUUUUUUAAAACUUAAACUUUAUUUUUUAUUCCUAUUCAUCUUGGGAGGGAUUUAAUUUUUUUAUUUGCUUUAAUUAGUUAUACAUGACAAUAGAAUGCAUUUAUGUACUUUGAUAUAUCAUAGAUGGGAUAUAAUUUCUCAUUUUUCUGGGUGUUACAGAAUGUUGCAGAAUCUUAUUGGUCAUGCAGUCACAUAUAUACAACAGUAAUAAUGUCUAUUUCAUUCUACUAUCUUUCCUAUCCCCAAAUACCCUCCCCUCCCCUCCCAUCACUUCCCUCUACCUAAUCUAAGGUAACACUAUUCUUUCCUAGUGCCCCCUGACUUAUUGUGAAUUAGCAUCCACAUAUUAGAGAAAACAUUCAGCCUUUGGUUUUGUGGGAUUAGCUUAUUUCACUUAGCAUGAUAUUCUCCAACUUCAACCAUUUACUGGCAAAUGCCAUAAUUUCACUCUUCUUUAAAGCUGAGUAAUAGUCCAUUGAUUUUAUCCAUUCAUCUAUUGAGGGACACCUAGGUUGGUUCCAUGGUCUAGCUAUUGUGAAUUGAGUUAAUUGGUUUCUUAUUAUAAAAUGUUGGGUAUUCUCAUAUAUUUUAUUUAUUUAAUUAAAAAGGUAAACCUGUUCAUUUUUAUCGAAUAAUUUUCUUGAAUAAUUUUGGACAUGUAAACAGUGCUUCUGAAACUUCCUUUUUAGUUAAAUAAAUAAAAUAUAUGAGAAUACCCAACAUUUUAUAAUAAGAAACUAACUAACCCAAACACAUGGAUAAAAGAAUUUUCAAGGUAACUGUAUUAUUAACUUAAAGCUACUUCCUUUUUGUAAAACUUAAACUUGAAAAGAAUGAGAUAAACCUGCAAUAAAAGAUAUUCUUAAAAUAAUUUUAAUUUCAUUCCAUUUACUGUUAAUAAUAAAACAAAAAUAUUUUGCUAUCAUCAAAAUUUUAUAAUAAUUGUAAUAAUUUAAUAAUGUUUUAAGGAGGGCCAAGAAAUUGAGUUGGUGUAUUUUUUUUUUUAAUUUUGGGGAUUCUUUUUUAAUACUUUUCAUACAGUAAUUAGUAGGUCUGAUACUGAAUUCAGUUUGUUUCAGUAUUUGUUAGUAUAUAUUGUAAGUCCAAAAGGUAUUUUACAUGGAUAUAAAAAAGAAACAGUGUAACUGUGCUGAAAUCAUAACACUAUUAUUUUUUUAAUCUCAUCCCUUAGUUAAGCAAGGUUCUUGUAGAAGCUUGGCUAACCAUCAUCCUUAUUAACAAUUAGAUGGUCUUGCAAAUCAGAUGGCAAUGCAUUUUUUUAAUGAGUCCUAAUCUCUGAAAGUCUUCAUUUGGAAGUUAGCUCUAUUUAUAAGAUCUUUAAAUUUGCAGAUUUAAGGGAUUUUGUAACUUGUAAUAUAUCUGUUUCAGCAACAAAAUCGCCAAACAAUGGAAAAAUUCCCAAUUACCAGAAAUGCUCUUUACCAUAGUAUCAGUUUUUUUUUUUUUUCUGGCCCACUUUACCCUAAAAGGGCAUUAAGUGUUUUUGUUUGUGUUUUAAUAACUGAUAGAUAACAUUACUGACAGCCCAUAAACAGCACAGAAAAGGUGAGAACAUUUAGAACAUCUUUUUUAUUUAAAAGUCUUGUUUUCAGAGUUAAUGAUAUAGCUCAGUGAUAAGAGUGCUUUCCUAAUAUGCUCAAGGCCCUGGGUUCAAUCCCUAGCACUCCUGUGUAUCUAUCUAACUAUAAAUGUAUGUAUGUAUGUAUAUGUAUAUAUAUAUAUAUAUAUAUAUAUAUAUAUAUAUUGUGUGUGUGUAUAAUUUUUCUAAAAUUUAUCAUGUAGGCUUAACUGCUAUAGCAUUUAGAAUACAGGACAUUGAAAAUGCUCAGAAAUUAACAAACUGAUGAGAUGCCCCACAAACCCCUGGAAUUCAUGUAGCCUCUCUACCUUCUCUUUGAAGCCUCAUGCCUAAGUAUGACAGGUGACCCAUCAUCUGAUGUGCUGGCCAAAUAAAGACAUCAUUGUUGUUCCAUAUAUAAGGCAUUAGAGGGCUGAGGCUGUAGCUCACUGGCAGAGCACUUGCCUAGCAUGUGUGAGGCACUGAGUUGGCUCUUUAGCAUCACAUAAAAAUAAAAACUAAAAUAAAAGCAUUCUAUCCACCUAUAACUACAAAAAAAUUUGUAAAGCAUUAGAAUGCUUGAUUUAGUUUUUAUUUUUUUGAUAAACUAUAAACAAAUAUAAAUUACUAAUGUGUUCUUCCUUCAGUCAGCUGACUGAAUAAUCUGGCUUCCUCUUGGGGGAAUGUGUACCCCACUUGGGAGGCUAUGAGGCAGAGAGGAACUGAGCAGAGGGCUAUAUAGCAUAAGUGGCAGAGCACAUGGCAAAUUUCUCAAUUCCUAACCCCACUAAUGCCUCCAAGCAGAUCUGGGGAGGCUCCUGAGAGCACUUCCUACUGGGUGUCCUUUCCUACUUCGGAACUCAUAUCAUGAACAUGCUGACACCUACACACCCUACUGCUUCUCCUCUCCAUCAUCCAAACGGCCACCCUCAUCCCAUGCCUUGUCCUGGGAAAAAUGUGAAGUAGGAGCAGAAUAAUGGCCAGGGUCCUCAAACCAUUGCAGCUGAGAGAGGAUGGUCUCCCAUAGCACAUCCCUCAGAGGGAGCUGGUUGAACAGUGCAGCAGUCACUUGUGCUUUAAACAAGCUGGUCACAUUUUCAAACAAACCCCAAAGUACUUAAGGAUGACUUUAAGAAACAGAAUGGAAACACUGCCCUAUCCUGACAAAUCCCCUACAUCUGCUAACUCUUAAUUCUAAAUCAAUGCUUUAAAUAUGGAGAGCAGAACUAGCACUUGUGUUGAUAACCAGCAGCCACUCUAAUGUCCUCUACCUUGCAGGGGCCCUCUGAGCAGGACCUUAGAAGAAUAAUUUAAAUUCAUGGGAUGGAGGAAGAAAAUUUACAUGGAAAGCCAAUUUGCCUCCUAAAAAGCAGCAUUAGGAGAAUAAAGACCAUUACUUAGUCAAAUUCAAGUUCAAAGUAGCAAAAAAAAAAAGAAAGAAAAAAGGCACAAUUUACAUUGGAGAACAAGAAGACCGUUGAAUUCCCUCAAGCUUGGUAGGAUGUACCAGAUCAUGUAUCGCUAUGUGAAUGGGCCUCUGCUGGGAACUCUGAAAGUACAGAGAAAAGAUGCGGUGUUUGCCUGCAAAGAACCUUCUAACAUGCAUCUGCACACAAAGCAACUUGCACUGCAGCUCUAGGUCUAGAUUGAGGCCCAUGGUGUUCCAGCCUGACCAUCCUGAAAGGCAGUUCAACUCCAGGUAGUCUGACCUUCCCCAACAUCUCCCCACCUCCCCAUAGGAAUAUUCAAACAGCAAGGAAACCUCUAAGGAAUCUAGAAAGAAAUCUACUUUCUCUACCCAGAUCUUUCUUGUAAAACUAGGAUGUGUCUUGCACAUGUGCAAAGUACAGGUUACCAACAUUAACACCCAUUUCUUGUGAACCAUUUAUAUAACUAAGCCUUGUCAGCCUUUGUCUUUGUUCACAAUGCCUAUACUAUAAGUCUGUGUCCAAAAAGUACCUGCAACCUCAUUCUUCAAUUAUGUGACCAGUUAACAGAAUGCUGAUGGACCAGUCCUGAUGAUAAUGGGAGUGAAAAGGAAGUCUUGAUCUAGAUCAAACCAUUUGCAUAAUCAUUUGGGGGUCUAGAAAACCAUUUGUAUUACAGAGUUAUUAAGAAAUGAACUUGCAUUUUGCCUGGGCUACUCAUAAUUAUUCUUUAAAACUCACAAAGAACAGGCAAGAUAUAGGACAGUUAUAGGAAGGAGAGCAAAAUAUGGAAUCAAUCUUGCAGCAAGAGCCCAGAAAUUACUGUCCAAUAAUGAAACAAUUUGAAGAGAGAAAAAUCUGUAAACAUUUAGAGAGACAGUGAAAUCAUAAGCAAUAAGGAGAAAGAUUUGUGAACAUCCAGCCCUGCCAAGUCCAAAGUCCUCCUCCCCCCACACUAGGAUUUCAAAAUUAUUGCAUGAAAUAAAUGUUUUAGAAAGCACCACCCCACCACCAUUGCAAGAAGGCAAAUGAUACUGAAUAUAGGAGAGGAUUAUAGCAAUUUCUACAUCCAGAAGGGAACGUGGAGCCUAUAGUCCACUCAUUCAAUGUAACAGAUGAAGAGAGACCCAGAGGGGAUAAAGAGUUCAUCCUAGUUCACUGUCAUUUCCAGCUCCCCCUGUGCAAAGUCAUUUCUACUACACUGCACUCUGCUGUUGUUCACACACGGGGAUAACUAAUCUGAACUGAAAGUUUUGGUAAUAAGCAUAAAAAGAAAAUAAAAUUCAGAUGCCUAGUAGAUGUGAAAAAUCCCAGAGAUCAUUAUGUACUAAUGAAAGAGGGAUUCUAAGCUGUAACACCUGAUGCUCUUGAUGGUGGUGAGUUAGCUCAUGACCAUGACGUAUUCUGAUGCAGUUGGUCAACGCGUAAAACACAGAGAACGAAUUGUUCCUCCUGUAUCAUUAAUCCAGGAAGGCAGCAACCAGCAGGAUCUUUCUAGGGAAGUAGCAGAUGUAUGUCCCUUAUUGAACACAUCACAUCUCUUAACCUCCUGGAAUUACCUAAGUGAACUAGAACCCCAAGAGGGUGAAAACCAGAGCUCCUACCAGUCUUAGAUUUCAAGAACAUCUCUUUUUCUUCCAGUUAUUCAUAAGUUUAGGCUUGUAUUAUGGAAAAUGUCAUGCAUAUACAAAAGUAGGCAGAAUAGCAUUAAUAAACCUCAUAUACCCAUUGCUCAUCUUCAACAAUAUCUACUCAUGAUCAAUCAUGUUUCAUCAAUAUGCCCAUCUACCUCCUUCUUCUUAUUUUGAAGCCAAUUUCAGAUGGUAUUGUGACUUCAUCUAUAAAUAUUUUAGUAUACAUUCUAAAAUAUAGGUGCCAAAGAAACAGAGAUGAUCACAAUGCAAUGACCACCAUUGAAAAGUUAACAAGUAUUACAUCAUGAAAUGUCCAGGCAGUGUUCAAAUUUGGAGUUGUUUCAUGGUCUUUUUUAAUACUUUGUUUGAAUUGGCAUCCAAGUAAGGUCAUUUUAUCUUAUCUCUGUAGUCUCUUUUUAAUUUAUAGUUUCUCCCUCCACUCACCCUGCAAUUUAUUUCUUGAAAACACCAGGUUGUUUGCCUCAUUUCCCACAGUCUGCAUUUUAUUGACUAAAUCCCUGUGUGUCCUCUAUAUUUUGAAGUAACUUGGUCUAAAGCUGGGCUUUCCAGUACAGUAGUCACUAGACACACAGAGCUAUUAAAAUUAAAAGUUCAGUUUAUCUGUCACACUCACCACAUUUUAAGUGCUCAGUAGCCACAUGGGGCUAGUGGCUACUGUAGAUAACAGUGUGAAUAAAGAACAUUUCCACUAUUCAGAAAAUUCUAGAAUGUUCUAGAGGCUAAGUUAAGUUCUAUGAGGUAACUUUGAAGGAAAGCAGAUAUUAAAAUCUCCUUUUUCAAGGCUUGAUUCCCAGGCAAUCUUUCUCACAGUGGUCACUCUAAACCUCCAUAAUUGAAUACUGAAGAUGAAAUAAGAAUUCAAAUGAUCAGUUUGUUUUUAAAUUCACAACACUGGUAUACUUACAAAUAUUUUUGCAAUUUGCUUUUUUACUCAACUCUUUAAAUUUAUUUAUGUUGCCAUAUUUAUAUGUAGUCUUUUAUUUUAAGAUAUGUGUAAAAUUCCUUUGUUUAAAAGUAUCACAAUUUAUUCACUACCUUUUAGUUAACAUUUAUAUUAUUUUUGUUCUUCUGUAGCAUACACUGAUCUUCAAGGGAUGUGCUUUUAUGCCUUUUGCCUACUGUUACAGAUGAGUAAAGGAAGAGGCAAUCUUUAUGUGGACUUGCUGGGGCUUUAAACUGGACAUUUUUAACUCUAACAAGUAUUGCCCUAUCACUGUCCAAAGUGAUUAUAUCCAAUUUACACUCCCACCAGCAAUCUGCAAGGAUUCCCAGUUUUUUACAUCAUUCUCAAUGUUGGAUAGUAUACAGACUUAUUUUUUAUCAGUUUAGAUCCACAUAUAUUCAACAAAAGUAAAAAUACAACCAUGUAAAGAUAAAGGAAUGGAAUAGAGGGGGCAGAAAUGACUUAGCUCAAUCUAUAAUUCUUUAAAGAAAACAAAAGCUGAUAGGACAAAACAAGAGCAUCCAUUAAUUAUGAAUGGUAGGUGCAAAGAAGUUGGUCAUGUUAUUUUCAGUCCUCUUGGUGGGUUUAUGCUUUGAGAAUUUUUUUCAUAAUCUUUUUUUUUUUUUGUACAGGGGAUUGAACCCAGGGUUGCUUAACCGCUGAGCCACAUCCUUAGCCCUUUUAUUUAGAGACAGGGUCUCACUGAGUUGCUUAGGAUCUCACCAAGUUGCUUAGGCUGGCUCUAAACUCGAAAGAUCCUCCUACCUCAGCCUGAACCUUUGGGAUUAUAAGCAAGCCACUGUGAUUAUAGGUGUGCACCAUUGCACCUGGCUCAUAACCAUUUUGUAAUGCAAAGAUUUAACUAAAAGUUAUUCAGUAAACAAAAAAAUUUUUGAAUAUGAGAUCAUAUAUUAGUUUUUUGUUUGCUUUUUAAUUUUUAGUUUCUGGGUUAUUUAUUUAUUUAUUUAUUUAUUUAUUUAUUUGGCUUGUCACUUAAAAAGAAAAUGCUUAGAGGGAUAAUUCAUUGGUUAUAUUUGCUCCCAAAUGACCUCCAGCUCAUGAGUGUUUCAAUCAAACUUCACUCAGUGCCAGUGAAUUGAUUUAUUUUAUACUUGGAUGCUCUAUUAUAUGUCAGCAGAAUUAUUUACUUUCUACUUAGCACUCUGUAUUAUAUAUCGCAUAGCAUUUUCUUCCUUGACGGACGAUAUAAACUAAAGCGAGGGAAAACUACAAAUGGAUCCUGUAUUUGAAAUAAUGCCAGAAAUUUUGUGGAUUAUUUCUGAUUAAUUUUCAUUUACUAUGUGGACGAGGCGCAACACUUUCUCUAACACAGAGGGCUGCUAACUCUUAGCAUCACUGUAUUUGCAAUAGUUGCUUUUAAAAUCCAAACUAAAACUGUUUUACAGGAUGUGACAACAAAGCAGCAAUGAUGAUUCUGAUUUGUUAGCACAGAAACAAAUUUCAAAUCCUGUCCAUGUACAAGGCACCAUGCUAGGCCCUGUAAGAGACAUAAAGCCAGACAAGAAUCUGUCCCUGCCUCUGAGAACUCAUAAUUGAGCAACCUUUUCUUCUUGCAAGACUAACUACAAAAGUUUUAUUUUUAUAGUCAGAAGCUGGCUCUGGCUUUGUUCUGCUCUGAUCUUUGUAACUUGUUUUAGAGAUUUCUCAGUAGUUAUUCAUUGCUCAGUCAGUCUUGCUGACCUUUGGCCAAAAACAGUAGCAUUUUGACCUGGCCUAUGGAACUCGGUGCUUCCCACUCCAUGAAGCUAGUGGCAUAAAUAACUUCAAAUAAAACCCUCCUGGAGAUGUGUGAUGGCCACAGCAUGAGGGAGAAAUGGGGCAACAGGGAAAAGAAAGAAGUGGGAGUACACAAGAAUAAGUGGCAUGGCAUCCAUGUUUUAAGCAUUUUUCUCCUUUUCUCCCUUAAGAGAUUUAUUGUUUCUCUACUAAAUAAAUGAAAGGAAAAAAAAAAGUGAGGGUGCAACACUUCAAACCAAGAUGCUAAAAUUAAAUAUGUUCCCUUCUACACCUGGGUCUUUUAAGUGGGCUUCUUUGAGACUGGAUAUUUAGGGUAAAGAUGGAUAUUUAGCAUAGAAUUUAGUAUGGGCACACUUCAUAAGUUCACAGACAGUCAGAGGGGAGUGGCCAGUAUGAGAGGCAGUGUGCCUGUGUGUGUGUGUGUGUGUUCUCACACACAGAUGGGUACACAUGUGCCUGCUCAUGAGCGAGACAGGACAAAGGAUGAUCUAAAGGGCAAAAGGCCACCUACGUCUUGAAGCCAUUCACACUUUAUGGUGUCUAAACUUCAAAACGAAGCAGUUCUGAAGGCCAUUUAGUGGCAGCACUACAGGACUUCCUGAGAAGUUAGGCUUAUAAAAUAAAGACGCAUCUGGCCACCAGCACAUGAAAAGAACUCUUUGCAGACAACAGUUCAGUAGGAGGAGUGUAAAUGGAUUCAAAAACACCUGGCUGAUGUUUCCCUUGAGGUUCACAGGGGGUGAACUGGUUAAGAAAGGCUUGGUUAAUUGGACAUCAUCAGGCAAUUCGACAUGUCCAUAAUAUUGGGAAGGGACCAAGGGAGUGUUGAUGCUAUCCUAGUUAGAGUAUUCCAGGAAAUAAUCUUCCCCUGGGUUCUGCCAUGGGUGCCAAAGCUCAGAGCAGGUCAGCUCAAUAGCCUGAGCCUGUUUUCACAUCUCCAAAAUGGGAACAACAGUAUUUCACAAAAUAAGGAAGACUGAAAUAAAAUAGAAAGGCUUUGUACAGGUAUACAAAGCAGGUAUACAGCCAAUGUUUCUUCUUAUUUUCAGCUUUAAUAAAUAAAGAAAAAUAUGAAAUACUAUCCAUAGCAAUGAUGCUCCAUAAUUCUUGUAGCCAAAUAAAACACCAGUGUCUAGUUGUCCCUGUCUAGUUGUCCCGCAAAGACUGGGUGUACCAGAGCUCAAUUUCUUUUCUCUCUCCCACCCCCCAUCCCCCCUUGCAGCGAGCUCCUCCCUGAAGAAGCGAUUCAAGCGACGGGAGAUCGAAGCCAUCCAGUGCGAGGUGCGGAAGAUGUGCAACUACACCAAGAUUCUGUCCACCAAGAAGAAUCUGGACCACGUGAACAAGAUCCUGAAGGCCAAGCGGCUGCAGAGACAAUCAAAGACAGGCAACAACUUCGUCAAGAAGAGGCGAGGGCGUCCCCGGAAGCAGCCCAAUCAGUUUGAUGAGGACUCCAGGGACCAGAUGCCGGUGCUGGAAAAAUGCGUCGACCUGCCCACCAAAAGGGGUCAGAAGCCCAGCCUGAGCCCGCUCGUGCUGGAGCCGGCCGCCAGCCAAGACACCAUCAUGGCCACCAUCGAGGCGGUCAUCCACAUGGCCCGCGAGGCACCGCCCCUGCCACCGCCGCCGCCACCGCCACUGCCACCACCGCCGCCGCCCCCACCCCCGCCGCCGCCGCUGCCCAAGACCCCCAGAGGCGGGAAGAGGAAACACAAGCCGCAGCCACCCGUGCCGCAGCCGCCACCGCAGCAGACCCUUCCCCAGGAAGAGGAGGUCAAGGCCAAGAGGCAGAGGAAAUCCCGAGGGAGCGAGAGCGAUGCCCUUCCCUAGGGCUGUGGGCCCCUGAACCUGCAGCUGGGGAACUGACGAAUUGGAAGUGCAGUGGGCGGGGCGGGGGGCGGGAUCCCCCACUGCAGGGACAGCAAUGCCCUUCUCUCCAGAAGCGGGCGGGCAGAAUCAGGCCAGAUGACGGGGUUGAGCCAUCCAGAGCUCCUGGGAUAGCAAGGCAGGGGGACACCUUCAGAAGAAGCUCGUCUGUGCUGUAAGGCAGUUCCCAGUCCAGCGGCCCUUCAGUGGGGCUGAGUCCUUUUCAGGCGAGAAGACCCAUCCGGGAGGAGGAAGCUGGUGCUCUCUGAAGGCCACCUGACCUCCACCUCCAAGGUGCGCCCUUGAUUCCGAUUUCAUUUGCUGGCCAGGAAAAUCAAAGGGAAACACCCUCAAUUAGGAAACAUUCCAAGGGGAGAAAAGCUGCACAUUUGUCAACUGGCUUUGUUGUAACCCACUUCACUUAAUUGGUUUUAUUUCUUUGGGUUUGCAAGCUCUGCUAGGCUUUGGGACACCAGUAUCAUCUGCAGGUGACCUGAAUCUUUCCGUUAACAACAGUACAGUUUCUCAGAUGGAAGCGAGAGAUCGGAAGGUGGGAUCUAGUGAUAGGCGACCUUAGACCUGCAUUCACGUUCUUCUGUAUGCCUCCUCUAUCUCUCACACACUGGUUUUUAGCAUCGUCUGUUCCUGCUUUUCCUUUGUCCAUUGUACUUCCAUGUACCUAAACUAGCUGCCUUCUUUUCUUGGUACACAUCUAUCUAACCUAAUUGUUACCUGUGUUGUAAAGCUUGCCCUUGGCACCUUGUCCCAAGGAACUUGGCUUUGAAUCCCAAUCGUUGUGAAGAAGAUACUCAGUAUUGAUAGAGCCUUUUUAAUAAGUGACUCAGAUCAGCCAAGGAUAUGUUGACCAAGAUGUCAACCAGGUUAUUUUUAUACUUAAAACAUAUCAGUGGGAAUAGGCAGAAAAAAAUGGUUUUAAUACCCCAAUACAAAUGGAAUAGCUGAUGAGUCACCAAAAAUUAAACCCCUGACCCACUAGAAAGACAAGUGUCCAGCAAUGCCUUGGUACCUGAUUUUUUUUUUUCAUACAGAGCUGUCAUAGGUUGUUGAGAAAAGGAAACAAAAACAUAAUAGAACAAGUCCAUAUCUCUUGUUAAUUAUUUCUUAAAAGCAAAUGGGAGUAAGUGUUCUUAUCAGAAAAAUAAAAAUAAAAUGUUCAAAGGGUAUCACCACUCCAAUUGUAUCAUGCCACCUUGGACAAAGUAUCCAAAUUGUGGUUGCCUUAAUACACUAAAACAUGUUUGUACAUAAUGUAAUUAUAAAUCUAUCAGUCUGCAUGGAUGCAAACUGUGUGUGACAAAUCGUCUUUUAAAUGGUCAAUUUCAACUGUACAUUUCUCAUCCAAGUUGUACUCUAGCCAUUGGUUUAGCGUGGUCAGAUAUUCCAUCUCUAUUAUCCAUUUCCACAGCCCAAGUUAAACAUGUUAAGAAGAGUCAGAAUGAAUAGGAAGUUAUCCCAUUGCCGUAGAUGUUUUUAAAAGUCAGACGUGGAAAUUUCAAAUAAGUAUUUCCAAUUUCCUCCCUCCCUCUUCCCCUCACCUUCCCCAAGACAUCGAAUACCUGGCAGGGUAGAUAGAGAGACACUGAGAGAGAGAAUGAAAUUUUAUAAUGGGAAUUAGAAGAUCUGGUUUACCUCCAAAUUAACUUUCUUUUUCAGGAAGUUGGGAACAGCUGGAAAUUGUAUUAUCACUUCAGAACACAAUGUUAUUUUCCUUAGAGAGAGAUGGAUCUUUGUUGGGAACAUAAGAGAAUAAGUGAUGGGGUAUCGAUGGGAGUAGAUUUUUAAAAUCCCAAAUUAGUGUGCUCACAAACAUCACUGCUCUGUUGUGGCACCAGCAGGUAGUUGAAAUCACAUACAGAGCCAUCCUGUUCUGAACUGUCACCAUGGAGCCAUGGACUUCCCGUUAUUUGUCACCCACUAGGUCAGUUGCACUUAAUCCUAGCAAUAUGUAAGUUUAAAGACUGUAUUUUAAAUCUACUAUCCUAGGUACUCAGUUUGUGACCUGGAUUGACCUUUGGCAUUUCACACAAGUUGAACAGCAAAAUCAAACCAGCCAUUUUCAAUCUGUCAUUCCCAAGCCAUGUCUGAGUGGUUUCAAAGUCACCAGAGAGGAAGGUUUAAAUUAGCCCCUCUCACCCCACCAUUGCUAUGAAAGAGCAACCAUUUUCAUUCCAAUUAAGCCAUAAAGAGGUUUCUCUUCCUGUUGGAUUUGAAAAUGAUUUCUUUCAUUCUUCCUUGCCCUUCUCUCUUCCUGUAUUGUACUGUCUCCCAACCAAGUCUGUAAGCAGACUAUAUCUUAUUGCAGUGGAGAACAAACUGGUGCCUGCUAAACUUGUUAAAGGAAGACCCAGAAUUUAAUUGGCAUUAAUCUCUAACAGGUGAACAAUUCCAGAUAACUUUGGGAUUCAUUAAAAUUUCCAAACCAAUGAAAGCUAUUCCAGGAGAAAUACAGCAAAGUUACAACUUAUAUGUGAAUUCAGGUUCAUGGUUGGCAUGUGAGUUACAUGCAAAUCCUCCACAUAUAGAUCCUAAGAAAGGAUCAAAGGACCAAAGCUGAGGCAUGCUAAAUAGUGGCUUGGAGGUGGAAGCAAAUCCAAUCACCUACAUACCUUCCUCUCUGCUCCCCAGUGACUCCCUCAGUGUCCCAUUUCUCUUCUGCCUUUCACUAACCUGACUCAUCUCAUUGGUACACCAUUUUCUUAUGCUCUAAGCUUUCCUAGGCCCCUCCUCUCCUGUCCAGGCUCUCCAUGAGGCCAGUGUAGUUUCCCAUUUCAUUGAUUGCAGAGCCAGGAGGAGAACCCAGCUCUCAUGAUCCAGAUUGCCAAAGUCUUAAACUCUCCAACACUGCCUACAGGGGCUGCAUUUUUGUAUUUCAGAGAGGUCAUUGGGGAUGCACAAAAUUCCUUAUAUGUAUUGUAGAGACAAUACAUUUUUUUGAAGAAAAAAUUGUCUAUCUAUGGGAGUCAAUUUUAAAAUCCCAAGUUAAUAUGCUUGCAAACAUGAGAAACCCCUUGAUUUCCUUUUUUCCCCCCCCUUGUUUUUUUUUCCCCUAGAGUAUUCUCCUUUAGCAAGCAGAUACGGACCCACUUAUAAUAUCAGGAGUCCCAUUAGGGAUGAGAAAAGAAUGAAACCUAGCUAUGACAGCCUCCUUGAAGGUGCUGAUGGAUCAUUAAUCCACUGUACUAAGUGGUUGGGUGGCUACUUGCUUUUCAAUCCCUCAUCUCAGAUGAGAGGAGCUGAAGUUUAACUUCCUCAAAUAGCCCAGCUCUGGCUAUAUCCCAAGAAAGAAAGGUCAAAGGAAAGGAGAGCAUGCAGGGAUGCUUUGUGACUUGGCAGGACCAGGACUCAGCAGCCUCUGGCAGCCCAAGGAAGGUGACUAAGGGCUGGCAGAAGAGGAGCAUGUUAACUUGGCCGCUGCCUGGAGUGGAAGGCCACGCUCAGUGGCAGUCAGAAUUUGCGUUCUGCACAGUGCUGAGUCUAUAAAUAUGAUAAGCAAGUGGUGACAGAAUUAUAGAAUAAGGUGAUGUAUUACAUGCAGAUCAUAAAGGAUUUGGUAUUAGGACUUAAGUAGAAAAUCCCACUCCUAGCUUAUUACCCAACAAUAUUCAGAUAAUGAGCUUUUGGAGAAUUUUUUUUUCUCUAUCACUAGGAAGAUUUACCUGGGAACUGUCUAAAGUCUAUACAUAUAUUUCCAAAGCCUUUAAAUGCCAACCUUAGCGUGGAGAGGGAGGGGGUGGCAGGAGCCGAAAUGCCUCAAAAGCCAUUUAAGUGUUACGUUUGCAGGAUUUUCAGUCCUACUCAUUAUGUAAAAGUAGAUAAAUAUAGACAUUUUUCUUAACACUACCCCAUCGUAUCACAAUGGUCCAAAUGCCAGAGCUUACAGAUAAUGUCAUCACAGUGCCUAGCAACUCAAAAUGUAAUAUACCGUAGCAUUUUCUUGGUGUUUCUUAAAAAGUUUCUUUCCACAAUACAAGGCUUCCUCUGCCUCUUGUUUCUUGGAGAGUUUACCCCACUGGCGAGUCUACCUUCCCUAAUGGACACAGUCAUUUGGGGAACAGUCUUAGAAGCACAUAUCAACCAAGGAAGAAACUUCCUGGAUACCUAUUGCCCACUUGCCCAGGUAUAAUAAACACUAAAGGGGGGAAAAUUGAACAGAGCUGCCAACUGGUCAACUUCGAAAGGUAGCUCCACCCUACGAUGGUGUCUUUCUUUUUUCUUCCUUUUUUUUUAAAAAAUCUAUUUCUUAAAUAAUAAUAAAUGCACAUGAUGUGUUAAAUAUGUACAUAUAUAUUUCAAAAGAAAAAAAUGGGGCACAAGAUUGUCUUACAAGUCGUGCUGGCUAAUUUUUAGUUUGUAUUCAUAAGUGGUUUUUAAAAGCCUUUUUUAAAGUGUAAUUUGCAUGUUCUACUUUGAUUGUAUGUAAACAUAUUUUAGAACAAAAAUGUAUUUGUAUUUUAUUGAAUAUAGAGGCAAGAAAAAUUGUACAUUGUUUGAAAUGUUCUUUUGUAACAGUUUUUAUUCAUAAAGCAUUUUUGUACAUUUAAAAUGAACAUGGACUUGCUGUUAUUUGAGGCGUAGAUACAUCUGGCAUGCUUUACUGUCAUGCUCCUCCAUGGUCUUAGAUGUUGGGUUUUAAACAUUUUUUUCUAAAAGAAAGCUCAGUCUUUUUCGCUACCAGAUCAGGUUAGCACAGUAUAGAGCACUUAACUAUUAAAAAAAAAGUUAAUCCUAUUCAUAUGUUAUUCAUUGUGUGAAAUUAAAGACAUUCAAUUCAGUCUAACAUGAGUUGUGAA
rnacentral:lncRNA from 1 species